UUUUGUUUUUCGUUUUUUUGUGUCGUCGUCAUCUUCUUCUUCUCCGUUCUCCAAAGUUUCCUUCAUUCUGCAUAAGCUAGAAAGAAAACGAAGAUUAUGAACAAAGAGAAAAAAAUCAAAGUAGAAUGAGAAAUAGGUAAUUGAAAUGAAAAAUAGAAACAAGAAGUUAUUCAUAAGCGAGAAAUAAUAUUUAAACACAAAGAAAAAAAAAACAAGAAAUAGAUACUUGAAACAAGGGAGAAAAACAAUAAAGAGAAACGAGAAGGUGUUCACAGGUGAGAAAAAAGCAAGUAGUGCAAAUUUUGAGUAUGAUGUUGGGCAAGGACAAGUAACGAAAGGUCGAGAAUGAGAAACGAGAAAUAGAAACAAUAAGAAGUUUAUAGCAAAUUGGUCUCGCGUGCAGAUGAGAUUAUUUUGGUAAAUUCAUACGUUGUUGACGUCAUCAUAAGGUCAUUACUCAUAACAAUUUGAAUUGUGGAUCAAAUUUCAUUUGGACCACCAUUUGGCGGUCAUUUGUACAAAAACCUCAAUGAUUAUUCAAGACUAUAACAACCAACUCUCUCUAAUGAAUACUAUCUUGUACUUCCUAUUUGCCUACAAUCAACACUAUUUUAGAACCUCUAAUUUGUAAUAGCAUUUACUAUUUUACAUUCAUCGUUCCUUUUAUUAUUUGAUUUUCUACCAUGUUUACUAUUUCAUUCUUAAACUAAAUUAGUUUAUAGCUCAAACAUUAUAAUCUAAACUAAAGUAAUCUAAAUCCAAAAUACAAAUUAUUACAAUCUAUUUAUAGUAAUCUAAUAUUAUAGUAAUCAACUUCUCAUACCAAACGGGAGCAUCCAUUGCUCCAUCUUUCCCUCAUCUCUUGUGAGGUUUGUUUUAUAGAGUUUUUCAGUGCUUGACCUUGGCCUUCUCAGCUUUUGGCCCCAACAAAUACACUUAGCUUUGGACCAAUAGAGCAAUUACAUUUGAGCUAAACUUAUGGUUACGGUUAUUUUAGCUAUUGUUCUUAUAGAUAUUCGUAUUCACUCUCACCCAUUUCAACUCUCAUUUAUUUCAAUUUUUAUAUUUUCUAGAAAAUAACCUUAAAUUAAAAAUCAUGAAAACAAUUUUUUUUGGUAAAUACUAAGUUGAAUAUCUAAAAAAUAUUGUAAUUGAUUCAAAAUAUUGGGAUAUAUAGUAACACUUUUUCUUUUUUAAAAUGUAAUUAUAGCAAAAACUACGUCAACAAACAUUGAUUUAUCAGUAAUAGAUCGUAAGAACCUAUCCGUAAUAAAAGUCCAUCCCAAUAGACUCUACCAUAUAAAGUUACCACCCAUUAUUUAUAAUAUAUAAACUAUAGACAAACAAAAGUUACUAAAGAAAAAUGUUAUUAAAAAGUAUCAUUUUUAUUUAUACACUUUUCAAACUUUCUUAAUAUUUAAAAAGAUUACUUUGAGUGAAUUAGCAAAUCCUUCCUUUUUCUCAAAAUUAUACACUUAAAAACGUACCAUAAAUUAUAACCAUCAUUAUACAUAUCAUAAAUCAUAACAAUCAUAUAUAUAUUGUUUAGGGUACAUCUAUUAAACUUGUCAUACCCCUAAUGUGUCUAUACUUAUAAAAUCCAGAUUUUUCUUAUAUUUUAUAAAUAUUUUAACAACUUUACCACAUAGACUAACUCCUCUUCCCAUAUAGCAAUAUACUUAAUUUUCACUUCUAAAGCAAUACUUCAAAAGAAGAAAAACCAAGAACUCAAAAGUUCCAAGUUUUUAUUUAGUACUACAAAUACAAAAGUACAUGCUCAAUGUAGUAGUAGAACUUCAAUAUUGCCUACCCAUUAAUAGUAAUUAUUUUAAUUUCUAUGGCAUGCUUGUGUGAUUGGAAUAGGAGGGCUUGAUAACGAACCACUGAGAAUGUGACUUGCAACAAAGUGAUUAGCGGCCUCAGAGUAGUGGACUCCAUCCCAACUCACAUAUUGAGCUCUGUUUUCACAUGCAUCUCCAAACACCAAGCUUCCAUUUAUGGGUGCUUUCGUCCCACACCACACAUGGUCAUACCUCACAUGGUACCCACAACAUACUUUGAGAGGUUCCGGAAACCCUGCAAAAAAGUUCGAUAAGUGAAAUAGAUGUUGAUUCAUAUUUUGUAUAUCUACACCAUGGUUCAAUUAGCUUAGAUCUUAAGAAACUUAGGACCGAGAAAGAUAGGUGUAUCAACCACUGAGAAACACGACCACUUUGUAGUUUGCUAGCAUGUCCAUUUGAGUGUUAGUGCAACGGAUAGUGUUAGAUAUUAGUUAGUUUUACAAACUCAAAAUAGGACCAAUAUUUAUUAGAGAUGGCACGUAUAGGAGGAUAAAAAUUAUAAAAUUGAAAUAAAUACAUGGAACUUAUUUUCUUAGGCAGCCUAACUACGGGUAUUUCUAUUCUUUCAUUCCUCAUCUCACAAUUCUAGGCAAUAGACUCUCAAUUCUUUGUUUGCUAGAAGAAAAACCACGAAAAUGUGUAGUAGAAAGUGUUAUUGAUGAUUAAAAGAUGGAAGAAUAACCUUGAGUUUUGCCAUUGCUGAUUAGAGCAUACUUGGCAGCAUAGACAUCCACAUAGGUAAUGGCAGCAUCUGGGAGCUCUGCCCUAAGCUUGUCCAAUUUUGCUUUGAGCUGAUUAUUUAACUCCAUUGAAAUAUCAUUUUGAGCCUUGAUACAACCAUGCUCAUCAAGGAUGCCAGGGGGAGGGUUCAGAUUGUAAAAUUGGUUCACUGGGAGGCAACCAAAUGGCCCUGUAUUGUGUAUCCAAAAUGAUCUCCCUCCUAGCUUGUAUAUUCUCUGUAAUGAAUCAAAUGACAACCAGAUUUCACGUUCUCAGAAAAUAACAACAAAACAAAACUAUGUUCUUCAUCAGUUUGAGCUUGUUUUCAUUACAGAAAAUAGAGGUAUCUUUUUCUGGUCAAAACCCAGGCUGAACAACAUCAAACCGAGAUUUAAUAAUGUUCAACACACAUUGAGUAACUGUCUUCUAGAACUCAUCUCUCUUAUUUUCUUCCCACAAAAGACUUCUCUAAGCACAAUCGAAGUUUGUUUCUCUUCCUCUAAUGCACUACCUACAUUUUGAACUUUUUAAUAUUAAAUCGCCGAUUCAUCCAAAAGUAAAAACUUGAGCUAAUGGGAGAAGAUUAAUUUAAUAUAUUAUCAACACUCUAACACUUGUCUAAAAGAAAGAAAAAGAGAAAUCUCACCGGUUUUUAAAACAACUCUAUAAAAGUAGCCUAAAAACUAAACAGCCCACACCAACAUAUGACCGCAUGGCAGACAACUCCGUGAGAUAUCAAGAAUGACAAGGAAACAGCUCUGUGAGAAAGAAGGGUGAGUUUUCUUCUGCUUACUUGAAUUGCAGAGGCAAACUGGUUAGCAAUGUCAGGCAAAGCAGCACGCAGUUGAUCAAUGCUCAGCUUUCUAAACCCAACAGCUAAAUCAUUUUGCCCGAUAUCAAAAGUGUAGAGUGCUUUGGAGUAAUCCUCUGGCCUUGUAAGUUUCUCUCUGUCAUAUGGGUUCUUGGCUAAAAUCAUCAACAACAACAAAUUUCAGUAUAGGAAAAGAAAAAAGGUCAACUUACAAAUUGCAAUUUUAACCCCGAACUUUGACUGUUGUGUCAAUUUAAACUUUAGUCUUUGCAAAACAAAACUUCAAUUGUAUCGUUCUAUUAAAUCUACUUCAUUAAUACCACUAUUUAGUACGUUAAGAAUUAAUUUAGAAUGGUGACUUGACAUGCUUAUUGAUCAAUGACCUAAUUCCAACAAGUAGGUUGGCAUAAUGAAAAGAUUUGAUAUGUUGACUUAACACAAAUAGCAAAUGUUAACUAUAUUUAAUUAGAAUGAGAUGACAAGGGUCAAUCGUUUUAAUUUAGUACCCUACCCCAUACAAAUAGUAUACACUUGGAUAAAAUCAUCAGUCUCAAUAAAAGCUAGUUCACCACUAGAUUUGUUGUUAAAUCACACAGAAAGUAAAGUAAAUGAUUGAAGUUAUGAGUCUUUGGAACCUUGAUUGUAGAGAUCAUUGGAGCGAGCUUUGAAUUGUUCAAACUGUGUAACCUGCAUAUCAAGAAAAAACGGACUAAUUCCAUACUCAUAAAUCGUUUCAUUCGGCUUCCGUACAGUCGACCCCCCGGUAGCGAAAUUGGCGCCGUGCCGGAAAUUAGCACCAAGCGAAUUCAGAUAAGCACUCAAAUACGGCAAUCUCAACUUCUCGGCUACAAAAUCAUCAAGAAACCCCAAAAUCAACACCAACAAUCCCACCCGUAAACUAAGAGAGAGAGAACCGGAAUCAAUGUUGCGUCACUUACCGAUGAAAUCAAUGAUCAGACGACCAUCACUAUCUCUUCCGGAUGGCUUGUUGAAGAAUACAUCACCAUAUGGCCAUCGAAUGGGCUCGAAAGCGGCGGAGAUGGCGCCAGUAUCGGAAUUCGAGUCACCGAAGUUGAAAAUCACUGGAAAGUUACAGUCCGGUGCAGCCAGUGCAACGAAAACGUGAAAAACCAAAAAUGCCGACAGUGCCGUCGCCGUAAACUCCAUUUUUGCCCUGCAAGUGAUUUCUGGAAGAAGGUUUUAGAGAAAAUGUAAUAUGUUCAGAAAAUUUAACAUUUAUAUAUUAUAUAUAUGAGUGCUCUUCACAUUUGCCACACACAUACUCUCUCUCUCUCUCUCUCUCUCUCUCUCUCUCUAUUCGUACAUUAUCUUGUUCGAAGUUCGAAGGUCUGGUGUUGUGCGGCCAUGGCCAGAGCUUCAGCGGGAGUGGGGGGAAAAAGUUAUCUUAACGUUUUGUUAUAAUGUCGGUGAAGAGUGGAAAGAUUGGGUGGAUUGGGACCGUUUGAUUGGGAUGGUGAAUGGUGAUCGUCCGGCUGUGAUUUGAAGUUGGGGGAAUCGAGGAGAAUAUCUCAGCCGUGGAAUGGAUCGACGUGUCACGUGAGUGGAUAAAUAUAUAUUAUUUAAUGCAGACUCUCUUGUCCUUUUCUCAACGUCAAUCAAACAACCCAAGUUAGUAAUUCUAUCGUUAGAAUUUGGUUUUUGAUUUAUUGGUUGGUAAAUUCAAUUUGUAAAAUUGAAAGUAUUAUGUUUAAUUAUUGAUAUGUGUAUGUGGAAAGUUAGGGUGGAGUAAGAAUAAUUAUAGUAUGGAAUAAAAUAAUUAUUAAAGAAAAAUAUAAAAGAGACGAUAGAAUGGGUUAAUUUCAGUUUUGUUCGUUCUAAUUAUCAAAUUAGUAAAUAUUAUAAUUCAAAUACAAAUAAAAGUUUAAACACACAACUAAUAUAAUAUAUUAACAUCUCUACAAGUUAAUUUGCUAUCAACAAAACUUCUUUCAAACGUGUAUACGUUGUAAAGGAGAUGUUAUAAGUGUGUCAAUAGAUCAUAGCUGUGAAAACUCGAUGAAACAAUAGAAAAUCAACGACAAGCGUGCAUGAUGGGAACUUGGGGGUCGGAAAAUGAGCCUUUAACAAUUUGAUUAGCAAUCCAUUGGUUUGCAGCUUCAGUAUAGUGGACUCCAUCCCAACUGAUGAAUUUUGAAGGAUCUUCACAAGAUCCAGCAUACACUUCGCUACCAUUUAUGGUUUUUCUGUUCCCACACCACACAUGGUUAAGGCCUUCGUGAUAUCCACAACAUAUUGCUCCCUUCUCCAUAAAUCCUAAAACCUCAAUACCACUCAGUCAAGUUCACUUAAAUUUGUAAAUAAUAAUAACAUUUUUAAAUUUUAAAUUUAAGCACGUAUUUUUAGUGUAUAUAAUGUAAGUUAAGGUUAAAUUAUAAAUUUGGUUAUUGAUGACCUUCAACUCAAAAUUCACCAAUUUUCAAUCUUGCAUAUCUUAUAAUAUUAUUUUAGAAUUAAUAAAUCUAUUAUAAACUUAAUUUUUAAAAGUUUAGAGAUUUUCUAUGCACAAAAUUAAUUGUUAAAAUUUUUAUUUAUUUAAUAUGUAUCUUAUAAAUUAAUGACUAAAACUUGUAAUUUAAUUUACAAGUUAUUAUUCAAUUAAGAUAAUAAAAUAAAAAACAACAAAAUAAAUUUAUGAAAAAUAUUUUAAAAAUUUAUGAAAAAUUAAAAUUAAAAUUAAUAUAGUUAUAAAAUUGGAAUAUUUUUAAAAAUAACAAAAUAAAUUAAAAUAUUUACAAGAUAUAACAAAAAAAUUUAUUCUAUUAAUGAUAGUCUUCUAUCACUAUAACAUAUCAAUAAUUAUUAGUAAUAGAAUUUACUAUUAGUUGUAAAUAUUUUAUAAAAUUUGCUAUCGUUGAAAAUUUGGUUUAAAUUGAUAUAAUUAGGAAUUUAUGAUAAAAAAAACAAUAAUUUAAAGGAUACAAAUUAAUAAUUGGUCUGAAAAAAUAGAAUCCAUUUCAUAUUAUAUAUAAAAAAGAAAAUUGUGCAAAUAAAUUUACCUUCUUCCUUUGCAUUAGCUAUGAGUUUGAUCUUAGCUGCAUACACAUCCACGUAAACAAGAGAGGCAUCUAACAGAUUUGCUCUUAACUUAACCACCCGUUCUUUAAGCUGUCUAUUGAACUCCAAAGCGGCGUCGUUUUGUUCCUUAACGCAGCCGUUUCGAUCCAAAUCUCCCUCCUUGGGAUUGGAAACGCUGCGAAUUGCCACCGGAAUGCACCCAAUGGGCCCAGUGUUGUGUACCCAAAAUGCCCUUGCUCCUUCUUUAUAUAAAUCCUAUUAAAGCGAGGGUAAACUUGUAGUUUUUAUUUUCUUUUUAAGUUGAUGAGAUAAAGUUUAAGAACAUAUAUAGAAAAUUGAUGGAUUAUAUUAUUGUCCUUAUAAUUUAACCUUUUUGGACGUUUGAUAUCGAAGUAUAAUAAUAAAACAAGUCAAAAUAGAAGGACGAAAUUGAUGUUUUAACCAUUUUUUAUAAGGGAAAGUACAAUUUAAUUGAUGGGAAUUGACUUACUUCAACAGCGGUUGCAAACUCAUUGAUGAUAUCAGGAAUCGCUUUUCGAAAUUGGUCGUUCGUCAUUUUUCGAAAUCCAGCCGAUAGAUCGUUUUGGCCAAUAUCGAUGGUGAAAAGAGCCUUGGAGAAUUCUUCUGGUACAGGAAGAGUACUUCUAAUGGAGUCAUCUAUUGCUGCAGUGUACAAGUCGUAAUUAAUAUGAAAAACCACGUACAUACAAAAAAAAAUUCAUGGAAAAACGUUGAAACUCAACCUUCGACGUAUCGAUCAAUUGUGCGAUUCUUGAAUUGACGAAAUUGAACGACUUGAAUAUCAAGUGAAAACGGACUAAUUCCAUUCUCAAAUACUGAUUCGUUCUGACGUCGAAUUGUGGAACCACCGGUUGCAAAAUUUGCACCAUGUCGAAAAUUUGUUCCAAUAGAAUUGAGGUACGCACUUAAAUACGGUAACUCUAGUUGCUUAGCUACAAAAUCAAAUUCAAAUUAACCUCAUCUUAGUUUAUUAGUGACAAAUGAUUUAUAUACUGUAUUGCUCUUUGAAUUCUUAUGCUAUCUUAUAAAUGUUUAAAUAAAUAAAUAAAUAAUAAAAGUAAAAAGGAAUUUAAAUAAAAGAAAUAUAACCAAUGAAAUCGAUGAUGAGGCGGCCGUCGCAACCCCGACCGGCGGUUUUGUGGAAGAACGUCUGACCGCAGGGCAAUAUGGUUGGGUAAAACGCGGCGGAGAUUCCACCGGUAUCGGAAUUGGAAUCGCCGAAAUUAUAAAUGGCCGGAAAAUUACAAGCUCUAGAAUCCGCCAUUGAAAUCAGAAUAAUGGAAGCUACACUAAAAACCAUCUUCAUCUUCAUAUUCAUCUUCAUCUUCAUCUUCAAUCGAAUGAAUUAGAAAGAAGAACUGUGUGUCUUCUGAGAAAUGGUUAAUGGAUCGUUUUGUUUUGGAGGAUUCAUGGAAUUUACUAUUUACAAGAAAAAAAAGUUGAAAGUGGAGAGUGAGAAAUCCAUUUUUCUUUGAUGGGUUUGAUUGAAUUGUUUAAUUGGUGCAGUUUUUUAUGAAUCAAUUAAAUAGACGUUUUUCUUGAUCAUUAAAAAUGAUAUUAAUGAUUCUUGGUUUGAAAUCUGUGUAAGUGUUGUGUUGGAUAUGAUUAUUGUAAGUUGAGGAGUCCAAGAUUGUUUGGUCAAACUGAACGGAUUUAUUUAUUUAAUUUCAUUGAAUUACCGAUUAUCAUUUUUUCUAUAUAUAAUUUAAAAUAUAGAAAAUAUUAGUUUAAAUUGCAAAAUAUUUAUAAAUAUAAUAAAGUUUUAUAAUCUAUUACAAAUAUUUUGGUUCACAUUAUAUUAUAAAAUAUUUAUUAAUUUUUUUUCGUGUAUUUACAUUUUUAUAUUUUAUAUUUUAUAUUUAAAUUGCAAAAUAUUUAUAAAUAUAACACAACUCAAUGUUCCUAUUUUUCAAUAUUUCAAGUUUAAUCAUAUCAUUAUUUUAUUUUUACUUUAAAAUAUCAUUUUAAUUUGUCCUCUUUGUUUUUUGAAAUUUGUUAUAGUGUUAGUUUAUUUUAUUCAUCCAACAGUGUUAAUUUAAACUUGUCUGGGAUGAUGCACAUUUAUCUAUAAUAAAAAUAGUUGAAAUUUUUUUAUUAUCUAUUAUGUUAUCUAAUUUGUAAUAAAUUUUUCAUUAUAUGAUAAUAACAUUAGAACAAAAAUGGUUGUAUGGUUAUGAUAAAUCUUAACUUAGGAAUACUAUGUCUAAUUUCUUGGAGGAGAACUACUGUCCUGAUUAUGCUUAGUUUAGAUUAACAUAUAGAAUGGUUUAUUUUAACGAAAAAGUUAUUUAAGUUUAAAUAUUUCAAAUCAUAUUUGUUUAUUUAUUGAUUUUGACGCCUAACUUCUAGUUGAUCAUAUAUUACAAGUUAUAGUGUGGUUGACCAUUAGGUGUCAUUGUUAUACCCGUGAGCAAAAAUAUUGAAUAUUUAAAUUACACUAAGAAACAAUGUCUUAGUGACUAAUAAUUCAAAUAACAUUAUUAAAACAAUAAUACUUAGAUACAUUUCAAGAUGUAAUUAUUUGUAUGUAUCACACUCUCAUCACAUACAUAAAAACAAAACAAAAAUUAUUUGAAGAACGUAGAAAGGAUAAUUCGUUACGUGAAACAACUAUAAAAAAUAGUUGGUGUUUAAAGAUGCAUGCAACUUAAACCGAGUCGAUAAAAAUCAACUUUAAUAAGUAGUAGAAAUAUUUGUUAGUAUUUUGUAUUUUGACUAAGCCAUAGUACAAAAUCAACAUAAUUUUCUCCACCGUAGAAACUUCCUUUCAUGAUCAUAAAUGUGACCAAUUUAUAUCAUGAUUAAGUACAUAUAUAUGUGUGCUCCAACAUAUAAAGGUAUGACAUUGAGGAGCAUGUAAAAAGGGGAGACAAAGCAAGUGCUCAUUUUCAAAGAGAGUAGGAUGAGUGUAUCCCCCAUGCUUUCAAUAAGUGGAUAGUUAGGUAUUUACAACACAAAGUGGGUUAAGUCAAAUCUAGUGCACUCUAUGCAACAAAUUGCAAAUUGCUUUUCUAAAAGGCAAUUGAGCAAAAGAAUGAACUCAUGCUAGGAAAAAGCAUGAACUCAUGCUAGGAUUGAUAUUCCCUUUUUAUUAUUGCUUUUUUCUUUUGGUUCGAUGAAGGGUAAUUAUAAACUUUGUAGACGUUGACAAAACUUUAUGCUAGUUGAACUAUGUUUACUUUAUCGAUUGAUUGGUGUCUCUUUAAAAUUGAGUAAAAGAAUGAAGUUUAGCAAGUUAUUAAUUUGAAAGAUGUCCGAUGAUUAGCCGUUUUUAGUUUAUGGUGAAUGUAAUUCUUAUUAUUAACGUAUUAUUCUCAAUCGUUGGUGGAUGAUUUGAAGAGUUCACACUGGUUAAGUACACAAUGAUUUAUUUUUCUUUGAAAUAUUACACACUAGGAAAUAAAGAUUGAACUCGUGGCCUUUUAUGAAGAUAAAAAUGUCUCAACAAUUGAGUCGAAUAUUCAAGUUGGUUUAAGAAUGAUAAAGAUGUCUUUACAAUUGACAUAUAAUAUGUGUUAACGAACAAAAUGUAAAUGAUUUGAAUAAUCUACUAUGAUUAUUGACGUUUAGCUUUUAAAACGAAUUUCAUAAAUAUCUAUCUUUUUUUUUGCGAUAUACUUUUUACCAGUGUUUUCAAAAUUGGAACGAAGUUUUAAAAUUAAAUUUAAGAAAGAGUUGUUUUUAAAAUUUAACUAAGAAGUAAAAACCGAUUAAUUGACGUUUCUCCCAUUUGUACAUCAUAUUAGGACUCCACUAUGGUGUCGACUACUGCCAACGAGAGACAAGGUACAGACCUUCUAGGCCAACUGAACUUCAUGGAGCUCGACAAUGCUUCAUAUGUUUGACUUGGAAGUGUAGAAGUGAGAAAUUGAUAUGAAAAUGAGGUUAAGAGACUGAGUCAUAUUUAUUUGCUUAUUGUUCUUUGCGGGAGCUGAAAUGAGAAUUUGAUUAAUCUUGGAAGUUGGUAUUCUAUGUUUUUCAGAAAUAGUGGCAUUAACUUUGUAGUAUAUUUGAGAUUUGUUUUAGAAUAUAUGCACCCACGAAUUUUUGAAUACAAAUACUUUUGGGAGAACAUGCUUGAUAAUGAAGUGUAUUGAUGAUCGGUGUUUUUUGAUUGAGUUAAAAACACUCUACAAGUGGACACUAGGGUGGGAAGAUCACCUCUAGAUACUGCCUUUGCCAGAUUAUUUGCUCUCCCUAAUCAUAAGGAGUGUAGAUUGCACAAGCUGUAACUAGUUUGCGGUAAAAUCUAAAUGAAGAAGAGAAUUGUUAAUGGUUUACACUUUCUACAUUACUUGCUGCCCCUAGUAACCCCAUGGCCCAAGUCAAAUGGAGAUGGAAAUUAGAUACAUCGGGUCAGUUUACUGCAAAUUUCUCACAGACUCACGCAUCUUCUUUCAUCAAGUGGUAGUAAACAUAAUGGUCUCCCUGAUAAAAGCUUAUGGAAAGGUCCAAUCCCAAAGAAUAUUCAAUAUUUUUAUGGGAGGUUAGCCAUAAGGUCAUUAAUAAAGCAGGAGGUUCUUAUCAAAAAGGUCCCGUCGAUGGUGUCUGCCUUGAGCUGGUGUGUUCUGCAUCUUGCCUUUUCGUGUAUUUACUCAACUAUUUUGGAGGAGGAUAUUAUCUUGCCUCAAAUAUCCUAUGGUCUUCCUAAUGACCCUCUGGUUCUUUUGAAUAUGUUGCUUAUUGGUCAUCCAUUCAAGAAUUAUAAGCCGAUCUGUGGACCUUCAUCAUCAAAGGCUUUCUUUGCCCAUUUCGAAUGAGUGAAAUCACUUUACUUUUGAAGAUAGAGAUAUGGAAUUCACUCAAUUUUUUUUUAUCAUCUUUAAUAUACAUCUUUGUCUUGGUUUAAAUUCAACUCCUCUUCUUGUCAUUACAAUCUCACUUCUCUUAUAGCACAUUCGAAUAACAAUAUGCAACUCUUAUGACAUUUUCUUUGCCCUUUUAUAAUUUGAUACUAUCAAUGAAUUUUCUUUGCCCUCUUAUGGUUCACAAUUUAUAUGAACACAUUAUAUUUCAAUUCUCAAGGAAUUCCAAUUAGAUUGGGGUGUUACACGCAUUGGAUUAACUCAAUUAGAUUGGCAUCUUAUUACUGCAAUGGUGGAGCGGUGGAGACCUGAAACUCACACGUUUCAUAUGCCUGGAGGAGAGUGCACAAUUACAUUACAAGAUAUAACUAUUCAAUUUGGAUUGUCGGUUGAUGGAAAGGCAGUAACUGGAUCAUUACAACAUGAUUGGCCAAUGUUAUGUGAGGAUUUGUUAGGUGUAAGACCUCCACAACCACAAUUCAGGAGGUCUAGAUUAAGCCUACCAUGACUAACAUCACAUUUCACAAAACUAUCCCUCGAAGCAGACGAGGUCAUGAUCAAACAUAUACUAUGGCAUAUAUAAUGCAACUUAUGGGAAGAUUUUUAUUUGCAAAUGAGUCUAGUGCGUUUGUUCAUCUCAUGUUUCUCCCUUUCUUAAAUGACUUUGAAGAGGCUGGACGAUAUUCAUGGGGGUAGUGCAUGUCUUGCACGGUUGUACUGUGAAUUAUGUCGAGCCAGUCAAAUUGAUACAUUAGAGAUAGCAAGACCUCUCAUAUUAUUGCAAGUGUGGGCUUGUGGUAGAUUUCCUACCACUGCACCACAAUGCAAAUCAACCUCUAAUGAAUAUGUUGGAUGCCCACUUAGUGCUUGGUGAGUAUUUUGUUUACCUAGUUGUUUUAUAUUGCAAUACUAAAUAACUAGAUUCUCAUUCACUCAACCGAUGGAGUGGUUCUUUAACUGCCACCAAGGUAUCCACACAUGUACUAAGCAGUAAAAUUGUUUGGAAAUAUUUAAAAAAUAACCAUUUUUUUUAUCUCAUGAUAUAUUUGAAUAGACAUUUGUGGCCAUAGAUGUCUAUUAUGAUAGAAAAUACAAAUUUAUUUAUAUGAGUUAAAAAAAUAAAAAAUUAUGACAAAAAAAAAUUAAAAAAUAACAACUAAUAUAACAUUAAUGAAAUGUGCUUUAAAUUUGUUAUUUUUCUAAUUUUAAAAAUAUAAGUGACAUUAGUUCUAUUAUCAUAAAUUAUUUUUGCUAUGGUUGCAAAACUCCAAAAAAAAAAAAAUGUUUGCUAACAAAUAUGUCAAUAAUAACUCUAUCGACUAGAUUAAUGUUUAUUUUAAUGGUUUAUUUACACUGUUUUCAUAUAUAAGUAGAUUUCAAUAAUAUUUUUGAACCACUGAGACAAUAAAACAACAUUAGAAGAUAAACACGAGUUCAUAUUGAUAUAUAUAUUUUUUUUGUUAAUGUGUGAGUGUUCAUAUUAGCAUCUUGAAUAACUUUUUGGGAUCAUUUAUUCAAUCUUACAACAUUUGAACGUGGGAAUCAAAUUAGAACGUAAUUUGUUGGAAAUUACGGCUAAAAAAUCUAGAUAUUAAAAGAAUAGAAAAUGUUAUAGUUUCAGUUAAGAAAUUAGAGGUUGAAAUCUCACCUUACAUGUUGUUAACCUCCGAAAAAUGUAUUAAAAAUUAUCAAAAUAUGAUAAAAAUAUUUGUAAAAUAUCUAAUUUUAGUUUGCUAUAAAACAAACUUAUAAUAGUUUUUUUUGUUAAAGCAACCUAUUCGAGCAAAACCCACCCGAUAUCACUUAUCCCACAAAUCAAAACCCAUCAAUGUCGACGAGUACCGCCGAGGAGACUGCGGCGGCGACGGUGGAAGGGGUGGACCUUCUAGGGCAACCGACCUUCACGGAGCUCGACAAUGGUCGCUUCCGGUGCGUUGAGACUGGUCACGAACUUGUUGGCAAGGAUAAGGACUCUUAUUCUCGGACCAAGCGCUGCCGUCUUGGCCUUAUCGAUCUCGCUUUGUCCCGUCGGAAAGCUCCUCUCAAUAUGUUUGAGCAGGACCCUCUCUCUCGGUACUCUAAACUUUUUUCGUUUAUGUGCAUACAAUUCAUUAUCAUCAUACUUGGAGAUUUGUAAUAUGAGAAAUGUUUAGCUCGGUGAACCGGUUGAUUUCUUGAUCUCCGUGGAAAUUAAUAGGAAUUUCAUUGGAAUAUAGCUUUUGGUUGAUGGGUUGUUUGCAGCUUGAGAAUUGAUAAUGUUAUGAUGAAGUCAAAGUCGAGUAGAGUAGUGUUUAUUUGGUUGCUGUUGGUGAUUUAAUGAGCUUCAAUGUGAGCUCCAUUAACUUGGAAGUUGGUGAUUUUGGUCUAAUUGAGUUUGAAAUUUGUCUUUUCUUGGUAUUUGAGCUGUAGUUAUUUAGGUAUUUUGGACUGAUUUUCCCUUUCUUGUCAGUUAUUUCAUGUUCAGUUGGAAAUCAAUGGAUCAAUGGCAUUGGCUUAUAUUAUUAUUAUUUGUUCUGCAGUUCGAAGCUAAAAUGUAAACUGACUGGUGAUACGAUCAACAAAACAGAGGAACAUAUAUGGAAGCACAUUAACGGCAAACGAUUCCUCAACAAAUUAGGUUUGUACUUCUCAGUUUACAUGGAUUUUUUAUUGUAAUCUUUUAUUCUUACCGAUGAUGUGCUCAUGACAAGUUCUGAUCUCGUUAUGCUCAAGAGACAAAUUGCAUGCUGGUUGGUGCUAUUAAGUGUUGACAAAGUUUGUAUUGUAAUUGUAGAGCAAAAGGAGUCAGAGAAAGAGUUAAUGGCUAAAUCAGGAGAGCAGCAAAGCAAGAAGAAGGCCGCCAAGGCGUUGAAACCAAGUUCAGAAAAUUCAAAGAAGAAGAAGAAGAAGGAACAGGAGGAGACUAUUUCUGAAGCCCAGGAAUGCAAUGGGGAAAGUAAUGCAGAGGACGCCUUCUGGAUGCCUCCAGUAGGGCAACGCUGGGAUAAUGACAAUGGAGGAGACCGAUGGGCUUCAGGAUCAGAUUCAGAGCAUGAAAGUGAUAAAAUCAUUGCAAUGGGUAUGUUGUCAAUUUUGCAAACUUCACAUUAUGUUUACUUUUACCUUUUCAUUUAAGUCACAAGCAUGCUAACGAGGAAAUGUAGUAGCUCAUUGAAUGCAAAAUCUGGAAUGAGUUGGGUAGUAUGACAUGAAGUGUGAACCUGAUGUAUAUUAAAAUAUGGUUUAAACCUUUAUAUGUUACUCUCUCGUUGUUUUCUUUUACAUAGUAACACUUGUAAUUACUUGUAGUUAGUUACUUUCUGUUUAGUAAUUGCAGAUGUUAUAGUUAAUCAUAGUUGUUAGUUAGUUUGGAGCUGGUUAUCUUUUGUACAUAUAUUUAAAGGGGACUUCUAUUAUUGAACUAAUAAGAGCUAAGUAUUCCCUUUAAUUGUGAAACUUUCACGGUAAAGCAGGGAGUUAGAUUGGGGUUAAUGGUUGUGGUAGAGAGAUCUUGGGAGUUCUUUCUUGGGUUUGGUUUCUGACUUAUGGGAUUUGGUUUGGGUUAGGUUGCUUGUCUUUUGGCUGUUUGGAUAUCUCCUAUGCAUUUAAAAGGUAGGAACCUGUGUUUAGUAAGGAGAUCCAAGAUUUAUUGAUUGAGUUUCUGAUAUAGCUCUAUUGGUCAACCAUCAAAAGAUUUGUUUAAGUUACCCUGUGGGGUGGGAAGGGUUACAUUCUUUGGGUAUUGGUGGAGUUCUUUGGUGAUUUUAAAGAUGGCUCUCUCCUUGUAUGGAUGGAAAGCCAUGAUUUUCAAGAUCUGAUAGAGCACUGGUGACUAACCAAUUAUUUUAGACCUCUGAGAGAUUUUGUUACUUGUCUGCCACAUGAUGAGAUUUCAGUUGCUACACUGAGCAUUAUGCUAUUGAUGUUCCAGCAUAGAAUGUUGAUAAAUCAAUUAGGGACCCUUGUAAUUCUAUUAAAGCAUGUUUUAUUGCCGAGUCAUAGAAUAUAUUUCCAGCAUUUAGGGAGCUUGAGCUUUUCAUAGAAUAUAUUUCCAGCAGUUAGGUUGAGCUUUUCCUGCACUGUUAUUUGUUUCUUCUGCUGGGGAGCUAUGCACGUGUCUAAUUUCUUCAGCAUGGAAUUCAGUUUCCCCUUCGUCUACUUCCUCUUCUACGUUGGCCUCCACUUUGGGGUGGGUGGUUUUUGGCUACAUGAUUUUGCUGUUGAUGAGCAGAAUUGUGUCAUUCCCCUUUUGCUAACUUGCAGAUCUCCUUCCCACCAAGGAGAAGGGAUCAUAACAUGUAGGAUCCAAUCCAGGCUUUUGUUGCCCAUGAUUAGGUAGGGUUGUACGUAAAACCUCUAUCAAUCAAAUCAAUUGAAAGUGAAGUGCGGGGCAUUUGGUCCACCGAGUGGAGUUAAUAAGUAUGAAGUUAAUAUGUUGGAGUUAGUAAGUUUGUGUUUGGGGUAAGAUGAGUUCUUAGAUAAUUAUGAAAAGUAGAUUAAGAGGGGAGUUGUUUCUUAAGAAGUUGGAUAGGAAACAAUUACAUUGAUUGAUUGUAAACAAAUUAGAUCAAUGGACUUCUUUUUCUUGGUAGAAAACAAUUACUUGAUUGAUUGAUUCAAUGAAACGAUAUGAAAAGAAUCCGUCUAUAAAGAUUACAAAAGAUUUCAGGAACGUAAACAUUAUUAAUUUUAGUAUAGGGGUGAUCCUACCAAGAAUUCGAGCUAAGUGGAAGCUUAGCCCAAGUCUUGGGUUCAAGCCUCUAGGUAGAAUGUAAAAAGUGAGAAGAACUCUUUUUGUCUAUCGGAGGUUGUUGAUGCAUGCAAAAUUUUCAUUCAAGGAGUUGACCUGAUGCUGCAGAUAUAUUAAAGAAAGAACACAACUCUUUUGAAGCUUGUGGAAACUGCUCACUUUCUUUGUUUUGAUGCAUUACUGUCUAAACGUCUAACCGGUUGGAUGACAAAUAAUUUUUCACCCAACCCAUAGGAUCUCGUGUCUACAAUAUCUUGAUUGGCUUUUUUAUGGAGUAAAAAUUUUACUUUACUGAAAUUGGUUUUCUUUCCUCUUCAGAUGACAAGGAUGAUAAAGAUGAACACGGUGGAAACAAGUCAGAUGAAGAUAAACACCAUGAAAAAGAGUCAGAUGAAUUGUCUAAGCAGUAUGUAAAAGAAACCGUUAGCUUACACAUGCAUCACUUUUCUCAGUCUAUCCCAAAUUAUGUCAACUUGUCAAGUCCCAUGUUGAUUGUGUACUUACUGAAUGUGUUGAUCACAGGACCAAAAGAAUGUCCAUAGAGAUUGGACCCAGCAGUUUUGCUUCAAGAAAGAAGAAGAGUAAGAAAAGCUCUACGUGAACAAUAUUUCUUCAACAAGCAUCCCCAACAAUCCAACUAUAUCCAGGUUGCUUAGGCAUGCACAGAUGCCUCCGCUCGCUAUUUCCGAUAUGCUGCAUCUUUCAUUGGUGCCGAAUUUUCCAGCUUUAGCUUCUGCUUAUUUAAUCACCUUUGUUUUAUCAUCUUCCUUAAGGUUUUUGCUCUUCUUAGCUUUAGCCUGAUUUUCUUGAUAGCUUUCUUAUACAAGCAAAUUGCAUGGUUGUUGAGCAGGCUUCAGUUUGGCUCUCUUCCUCCUUUUGUAGAAUUAGAUAAUAGACUGGUCCAUAAUAUUCAUCACAUUUCAAAUUGAUUCUUAAUAUCCCUUUAUUUUAGUUCCAAUUUCUUUUCCCCGAGAAAAUAAAUAUUUCUUAAUUUUAGAUUAAAGAUGAAUUGGGAAUUCUGUCUGAUAAAUAUUUUGCUCGGAUCGAUUGGCUUUUUAAAAAGCACGAAUUUGAACCAAAGAAACUUGCGUCAAACAUAUAGUUGUAUGCUAGUAAAUAACAAUGACUAAGAAUUGAGAUAGAUUGGGCCGUUUGGUUUGUGGGUGAAGAGGGUGGGAAUGGGUAUGGGCUUACAAAGUCCACGUUGGGUUGACGAGUAUUUUAUUUUUACCCUGGAAGAAAUAUUUUUCAGAGUUUAUUAUUCAUCACGAUUUACAAUCUCAUCAAUAAUCAAAGGUUUGUGAUUCCUUUCCUCAUGCUUGGGUGAUCUCGAUGAAUUUUGCCUUGAGUCUCAAAUCGAAAUCAUCUUGUUUUUCAUCUUGGGGUAACUUUGCCUUAGUUUUAAAAUUUAAAUAAUUUGUUUUCAUUUCGGAACAUCUAGUACAACUUUGUUUCGAGUUUUAAAACAUUUUUCUUCUGUUUUUCAUCUUGGUGCAUUUUAGAGGAACUUUGCCUCUUAGUUAUUUAUUUAUCCUCUUAAGUUCUUAAUAUCAUAUCCUCUUAAGUUCUUAAUAUCAUUUCCAUGCGCAGCCAAACAAGUAGGGAAUAAAUGAUGACUAAGAAUUAUAAUCAAGGAUAUCUGCUUUUGGCUAUGCAUGGUAAAAUUAAUUGAUAAACAAUAAAUCUAAUUGAAAAGUUUGAGAAAAACUAAUUAUUUAACAAUUAAAUAAUAAUAUUAAUUAAAUUAUUAUAAAUUUGAUGGAUUUAUAUAACCAUGAUCAAAUAUUUCAUAAUUCUAAUUAAUUAAUUAUAAAACUAUUAAUAAUAAUUAUCAUUAACUAAUUACAAAUAUAAUCAAUUAAUUGAUAGUUUAUUUAUUGCAUCAAUUCUUUACCAUUUAUUUAAAAAUAGAUAUGAGUAUAUGUGUAUAUAAUAAACUAAUUUAUUAAACUAAAAUAAAAGGUAUAUAUAUAUUAAAUUAGGGUAGUUAAACGCUAAGGUAGUUUUAUAAACCACAAAUUUAAUUUUAAUAUAACUAAUUUCAAUAAUAUAAAAAUAGAAAAAUGUAUUAAAAGAAAAAAGAGUAGGGAGAGUAAGAAAAAUUCAUCAUUUUGUAUGAGUAUAGUUAAUGAACAUAAAAGAUACAUAAAAAUAGUUUUGAUUUUAUACCAAAGAAGGAAAUGGUUACAGUCAUAUUCAUUUCCACCCUUAUUCUUCCCUUAAUCCAAAUGGUCCCGGAAGGAUUAAGAAGAGUUUAAGAGACGUAGAAUUUUCCCUCAUUCGUCUACCUUUUGAGUUUAUGAAACUAGCAAUGAAGAUGAGAUGUGUAAUCACUUAUUAUGACUUGCAAUAAUGAAAUUAAGUAAAAAGCGUAAAUUGUAGUUCGUUGGUACAUUUUCACGUUAAAAGAUCUAGAUAAUAAAGAAAUGUAAUAAUAUGUAGAAUCAAUUUAGACAUGAACUCUAAUAUCUUUUUAUCAUCAAAAUAUAUAGAAAUUUAAACAAAUCAAUUGGCAAUUAUUGUAAUUUAAAUGUUCGAGAUUUUAUACAUAGUAUUUAAUAUUUGAUAACUAGGUUUAAUAGAUUUAUAAGUUAAAUUGCCAUUAAUAAUGAACAUUACUUUUUUACCACUUUAGAUUUUAUCUUUAUUAUUAGGUUUCAAAAUUGUAUAGUUUUAUUAUUGUGUUUUCUUUCUAUUUAGUACCUAAAAUUUUAAAAUUAUAGCAUAUAUAUAAUUAGGUCGACACCAAUUUUUACCACUAUAGGCAAUUAAUUAUAAAUUAUAAAAUUGUAAUUACUUUUAAUUAAUUAAUUUAUAGUUUAAGUCAAAUAUGAAAAUAAGAAUUAGCAAUGUAUUGAAGUAAAAAUAAAUGUAAGAUAUUGAAAUAUGAGUACCAAACAAAAACAAAAUUUAAAAUUUACAAGUAAAAAAGCACCCUUUUGUAAUCUUAAUCUAAGAGUAAAAUAAUGAGAAGCACCCUUUUAUAAGUAAAAUAAUUCCUUAAUCUAAGAGGAAUUAAGCUUAAAAUUAACUUAUAAAGUUAAAGAUAUAUCAUUAAGGACUAAAUAAUAAUUAGACCCAAAACUUAUGAUCAUAAAAACUUAACAUCGAAAUUAGAUAAAACGAUAUGUAAGAACGACGUCGUGUUGGCCUUCUUCAUCUUUCAUCCCGCGUCGUCCCGUCUGACUCUGAACUUCUCAGUCAGCCCACCGACGGUUCGGUUAAGUGAUUCUCCACCGCACCGAUUGCCGGAAUUUUUAUCACAUUUUGUAUGGCUUUUAUAUCCGAUCUAAUGGCUUUCGCUUUUCAUCUCUUCCUCUCAAAUAAAAUCCUACGAACUCGCCGCCAUCCUCUUCUUCUCCGGUUUCUCCACUUGCUACUCCGCUACUUGCUCUAAGUUGAGAGUGUAGGUGAGAGCAGUGGAUAUUUUGAUUCUGAAGUUGCGAAAAUACUAAUGGCAAAAAUGAUCAUAAUUGAUAAAUUGCCUCUCAAGUUUGUGGAAGAUGAAGGGUUUAGAAGGUUUUUGGAGCAAACUUUGUGUAAAUAUGUUCCACAGUUUGUCAUUCCCUCUCAACCUACAUUAGCUAAGUAUAUAUUGAAAAUAUACUCGAGUGAGAAGAAUCCCUGAGGAACAUUUUUGUGGAACAAAGUCUUAGAAUUUCUCUCACAGUUGAUACGUGGACGUCGGAUCAUGAUAUGAACUAUAUAGUUCUUACUGCACAUUUCAUUGAUGUCAAUUGGAGAAUGCAGAAGAAGAUUCUUAACUUUUGUCCAAUUGAGAGUCUCGAUGGAGGGAGGGACUAUUGGAAAAGGAGUAGUAUCUUAUUUGAUGAAAUGGUGUAUUGAAAAAAUAUUGACUUUCACCAUAAACGAUGGUCGUUCAAAUGAUGCUGCCAUUGCUUAUUUAGUUCACCAUUUCAAGAAUACGUUGGUUAUGGAUGGUAAAUUUAUGCACAUUAAAUGUUGUGCCCACAUUAUUAAUUUGAUCGUAUGUGAUAUCAUGGAAGAUUUUCAUGAGUUGAUAUCUAAGGUUCGAAAUAUUGUUAGGUAUGUGAGAUCUACUCCUGAACGAUUUAGGAUCUUCAAAAAAUGUAUUGCAGAGCAGAACUUAUCUAGCCAGAGUGCCGUGUGCCUUGAUUUUCCAAAUAUGUGGGACUAUACCUACUUGAUGCUUGAGGGAGCAGAGAAGUUUGAAAAAGCAUUUGAAAGACUAAAGAUCUAUGAGAAGGCUUUUUUGGAAGAGGAUAUUCCCACUAGCAAAGAUUGGGAGGUUGUCAGAACACUUGUUCCAUUUUUAUCGCUGUUUUAUAAAGCGACUUUAAGACUCUCUGGUUCUCUUCACGUCCCUUCAAAUGUGAUCUUUGAUGAGAUAAGCACCAUUCAAAAUUACAUAAAAAAGUAUACUUCCAAUUCUGAUAAUCUUGUUCUCAAAGACAUGGCGACAAAAAUGCAAGUGAAGUAUGAUAAGUAUUGGGGGAGUAGUGAAAAUACUAAUUACUUGUUAUACAUUGCCGUUGUUCUAGACCCUCGUUACAAGUUGAAAUUUAUGGGAUAUUGCUUUAGUGAAAUGUUUGAGGGUAGUGUGGCAAAAGAGAUGUAUAAGAAGGUUGAAAUUUGUCGAGGUGCACACAAAUUAUCUCGAUAAUAAUGCAUAUGAAGAAAAUUUGAUUUCAUUUCAUUUCAUUUUAUUGCAUACACUUUCUAUUGAUUUAUUUUCACCCUCACAAGUUGUUUCAAACUUUUGUAGGGAACAUCAUCAAACUCUUUACCGUGCAAAUUUUGAGUCGUUGAAACCCAUUUUUCUAGUAGUGAACACCCCAUGUGCAGAUGAGGUUUUGGUUGUGAAUGAUGAUGAAAAUGUGGAUGUAUCACUAUCAAAUUCCACUACAAAAGAUCAAAACAGUAGGAAGUGAAAAGGUAACAUGAUGAUCCUUAUGCGAAGUGCAAAUACUUCAGGUGCGUCAUAUACUAGUCUUUCAAAUAGAGAUGGGAUGGAAAAUGUGGAAGCACAUCCUGAGAACUAUUCCGAUAACGAUAAGUAUCCUUUUCGUAGCUCUUGUUUGAAUAAAGCAUAUGAAGAGAGUGUGAUUUUUGAAAGUGUGCGGCCGAUGUAGGAGAGAAUUCAAAAUCAUUAGGCUCAUCACUCAGUUGAGGUGUUUUUGAUGCAAAAGUUGCCAGAGUUCCAAUAGCAAAAAUGAUCAUAAUUGAUAAAUUGCUCCUCAAGUAUGUGGAGGAGGAAGGGUUUAGAAGGUUUAUGGGGCAGAUUGUGUGUGAAUUUGCUCCAAGGUUUGAAAUUCCCUCCCUACCCAUAAUAGCUAUGAAUAUAUUGGAAAUAUAGAAAAGAAGAGAAACAAUUUGAAAAACAUUAUUUUUGGUGAACAAGGUCCUAGAGUUUCUCUCACAGUCAAUACUUGGACAUCAGAUGAAGAUAUGAACUAUAUAGUUCUUAUUGCACAUUUCAUUGACGACUAUUCGAAAAUGCAGAAGAGGAUUCAGUAUGUCCAUUGUGAAUAACCGAGGAGAGGUUAUAGGAAGCAGAGUUAAAAAAUGUUUGAAACAGUGGGGUACAAAAGUUGAAGAUGUUUUAAGAGAAUUAUUUAAUGAGUACAGUAUGUCCAUUGUCAAAAACUAUUCAUCUACGUACUCCUAUCAUGGCCCAUAAUUCAAAUACCGGAGAAAGUUCUCAAAAUGAUUCAGAGUCCUGUUUCAAGGACUAUAUUGAUGAAUGGGAGAAAGAGUUUGAAAUUGAAGAGGCAGCUACAGAGAUAGAAAGAUACUUCUUGGAGCCACUUGAGAAACGAGAAAUUUUUGACGUAUUAAAACGGUGGGAAAAUAAUUGUUAGAGAUUCAAUGUUCUUAGUAAAAUCGCUCGAGAAAUGUUAGCGAUUCCAGUAGUAUCCACUGUUGCUUCUAAAUCUGCAUGUAGUUAUAGUUGAAGAGUGGCAGAUUCUUUGUGUUUUACAUCCACUCCAAAUUUAGUUGAUGGUCUUGUAUAUGCUUGUACAAUUGGCUAAAAAAGGAUGCUACUACGAGUAUUGAUCUUCAAAAACAGCUCGAGGACGUUAUUCGUAUGGAAGAAAGUAAGGAAAUUUUAGCUUAUGAUCAUGUGUACUAGGGUGUUAUCAAGCUUGAAGGGGAAGAAGCAUCGACCAUGGAGGUGGGCUCAAUGCUUCAUCAAAAAGAUGACUAGGAAGUAAGUGGUUUAACUAUGAACUCUUUAAGACUUGUUCUUUUGUUUGUUGAAGUUCUUGAUGAUGGACUACUGUACUUUGUGAAUUGUCAGACUUCAUUUUCAAGUUUUCAACCAUAUCCUUGAUGUGAUCCUUCUUCAUUUUGCAUGCGAACGGUUUGAUGGACGUGAAUAUUUUGUUAGUACAUGUUCCGAAUAUGUGUUUUCUAAUCCAAAUAAUUAAAAAUUUAUCCGAGGUGGUUAUAAUAAUAAGUUAAUAGUUUUACAGCAGAUAUAAUCUCAAUAACUAACUAAGAAAUCGUGUAUUCAGUCUAUGUGGUCACCUACUUUGAUGUACGAAAUUUUUGAGUUUGUAACUAGCAAAUACUUUCUUGCAAGGAUGAUAAAAGUCAAUUUUUGCGAUGCAUUUUUACAAGGGUUCUUACGUUCUUAGUCCAUGCAAAGAUAACAUACAAAAAGGACAUUAAAUCAAAUCAAUUUUUAAAAAUGAAAAGAACAAAAACACAAACAAAAAACAUCCGGGUUAGGUAUUUGAUUUGGUAUUAUUUCGUACGACAUGUUUUUCACUUAUUUAUUUAGUCUUCUAUUUUUUUUUACAAUAAGUAAUAGACGAGUGAUUUUGAUAGAUAUUGGUAGAAUAUAUAAAUUUUGAAAUUUUAGUAUAUUUAUAAAUAUAUUCUUUUAGCAUAUUUGUCAUUUGCAGUAAUGUAAUCUAUUCAUUUUCUAAUACGAUUGGAUUGAAAAAUGGUAUAAUUGUUUUACGACUUUGAUUGAUAACAACAAACUUAAAUAAAAACGUGAGUGAGUUGUUGUAGUUGUCAAUUUUUUAGUAAAAAGAUGACUAAUUCACUCUCUUUUAUAUUAAGUAGGUGACCUUUCUAUUUUUAUUAUAAGCAAGUAGACAAUUCAAAUCCUUUAAAAUUUACCUAAUACAUAUUUAAUAUAAACAUUUUGAUUUUGUUGAUUGGAUUUGUAUUCUCUUUUCUAUGAACAAAAAAGAUGAAGAAUAAUGGGUCAAACUUGAUUUCGUAAUUAUAUGAUGACAUUAAUCUUGAAAAUAAUUAACUAGAAAACAAAACUUGAGGAUGAGAUUUUGCUUGUUUGUUAAGUAUGGAUGAGAAGCAAUAUAAUCCACGUAACCCUUUGCUUAGUUGGCUAAGCAUGCAUCACUUCACAUGACACGUCCCUUCCACGCCUUCUGUGUUGCCAUUGCUUUCUUCCCAACUGGAUCAUAUUUUGUUGGAAUAAUUCAAUACAUAUCAUUAUGGAUUUCCAAAAAGUGGAUUUGCAAAACACUUUCUAAUAAUAUGAAUUAGAGAAAAUAAUAUUCUCUUUAUUUACAUUCAUAAAUUUAUUCUAUUAAGUAGGGAGAAAACUAAGUUGAUAUUAGUAAAUUAUAUAUUAAGAGUAUGUUGACGUCACACACCAUAAAUAUAAAAGUAGAUUAAGGUAAAAUAUUUAUAUUAAUGUUCAGUAUAAGUUUGUAUUCACAUUUUGUUAAAACUCUAUUUAUCGGAUUAUAAUUUAUUUAGACUAUUUUAUUUCACUUCAUUUUUUAAAAUUUCCAAAUCUAUUUUUUUAACUUUCUAAACAUUCUCAUUUGAGAGAGAAUUUUUAAAUUUUUAUGAUGAAAAUUUAAUUUUACUUUUAAAAUAUUAGAAUUGAGUGAUUAUUUAUUAGCAUUAAAAUGGAGAAAUAAAUUGAGGUAAGUGAGAAAAAUAAAAUACUAAAAUCUGAUGUGGAUAAAAAGAAAAAUAGCUUCACAAAAAAGUAAACUAUAACAACCAACAAAUCAUAUAUUAUAUUACAUAUAAAAGAACUUAUUUUAUUGUGGGUUACACAAUUACUUUAUAAUAUAUAAAGAAAGUAUAGUUUUGAUACCAUAUGAUAUGAUAUGAUAUGAGAUGAUAUGACAUUGUAUUUAUUUAUCUAAUUUAAUAAGUGACGUGCCGUUACAUUUAUAAUUAACAUGAAAGUGAUUAAUUAUAGAGAUUCUUUUUUCUUUUUCUUUUUCUUUAUUUGAAAGAACAAUCAGGAAGAUCCCGUUGUCCAUUCAAACAAAUGGCGAAACUCAUUGGAUUCCAUUGAAAAUAAAUUUCUUUUCCGUUCUCAAAAGUCUUCAAAUCCCACUAAUUUCAGGCAAUAAUUCAGCAUUUCUUUGCUGUGGAACCCCACUUUAAUGCUAAAUCAAGGAAUCGUUUUACCAGAUUAACAAAUUUCAAGAUUCCCGUUCGAACAAACAAGUCAAAAAUCUGUUCCACUUCCCAAUUUUCUUUUUCCGAUUUGAUUUUAUUGUCUUCCUUGUGCAUUUCUCUUUUGAAGUGGAUUGUAAUUUUGUCAAUUGCCCAAAAGAAGAAGCAAUUUGGAGAAAUGGAAACGAUGGUACGGAUUUCGUUUUCGUGCCUUUUCGAGAUGCUUUGCAGCUUUUUAAGCGGUUUCUAGGAACUGGGGGUUGAAGGAGAAUCUUGUUCAUUUUUAUUUUUCUUCUGGGUUAUGGGGUUUUUAAAUGGCGUUUGUUAGUUUUAGGAGUCUGCCACAGAUUUGAAGUGAUCGGGUUUUUGGUUUGCAACUUGUGAGUUCGGAAAUUACUCAGCUUUUUUUUGUUUGUGAUCAUGAUUGGAAGUUGUCAAAUGGGUUGAAUGUUUUGAAUGUUGAAGUUGAAAAUAUUUAAAAGUCAAGUGAAAUCGUGUUGUUUAUUAGGAUCUUGGAUCUCUUUUCUCUUUCGUAAAUGUUUUUUCCUCGUGAGAAUGCAUUUAUAUUUUGAGAACGUUGCAAAUUCAUUUCCAUUCUUCAGCCAUUUUUGACAGACGGCGGCUCUAUCUUGUUUGAAUGUUCCUUGUUUUCAUACCUUCGUUUGGUUGUUUCUUCUCUUAGUCGGUAAAGAAGCGUGUCGUAAUUGAAUACACAGCUUGCUAUUUUUUCUUUUAAAUAUAAAGCUUGAGAUCUUUUCUAAAACUUCAUUUGCAAGAGAGAAUAAUUUAUACCCUUUGGCUUGCUGAACUGCUAUUUCAUCCUUUUGGAUAUACGGGUAUCUGCCUUUUAGCUGAGGAUUUUGGUUUAUUUAGGCUGAUUUUAUUGCCUUUAUUUGUUCAUCAGACAAGAAGAGGUUCUUAAGUUUCGGAAGAAUUUGAUAGAGUUUGAAAUUCAUGGGGGCUGCGAAUUCAAGGGAGGAACCUUCGGUUUCAUCGUCAUGGAAUGGUGCAUAUGGCCAAUCCCCCCCUUAUGCUCAGGAAGCAUAUGCUCCAUCCCCAUAUGGUCAAGCAAGUCAGAGUUAUGUGCCACAGCAAUCAUUUUCCUCGCCACAGUAUCACCCUCCUGAAAACUACCAUGGUGGUGCUGCUGCUGCUGAUAAUCGUAAAAAAUUUGAUAGAAGAUACUCAAGAAUUGCUGACAACUACAAAUCCUUGGAGGAGGUAUGAUAAAAUGGAAUGUUUCGAAUGGGGGAGUUUUCUUUAAAUAUUAAAUUUACGUUUAACUGCAAGAAUAUAAUGUUAAUUAGUUGAUAGCCAUUGUUUAAGAGUUCGUUUUUUUCCUACCUGACAUGUUCUUCGCUUGAUGUAGCUGUUAGGGUGAAAGUAGUGUUAUUUUUUGUGUUAUAAGAAGAUGGACACAUGCUUUUUCAUAACUAUGUUCUGCAAACUUCAAAUAAUGAGGUGAAACUUGUUGUCGAUAGGUAACAGAAGCUCUUGCUCGUGCUGGGCUUGAGUCGUCCAAUCUCAUUAUUGGGAUUGAUUUCACAAAGAGCAAUGAGUGGACCGGUGCAAGAUCCUUUAACAAACGAAGUCUUCAUGACAUCAGAAAUGGCCCCAAUCCAUAUGAACAAGCCAUAUCCAUUGUUGGAAAAACGUUGUCUGCUUUUGACGAUGAUAAUUUGAUUCCGUGCUUUGGAUUUGGAGAUGGUAAAUUCUUGAAUUUUCCUCGUUGGAUUUACUUUUCUCUUUCGAACUUCCAAGACUUCUCAUACUACAAAUUUCUCAUGUAAUUUGCAGCAUCUACACAUGAUCAAGAUGUCUUUGGUUUCUAUCCAGAAGGGAGAUUUUGUGACGGAUUUGAGGACGUUUUGAAUCGUUAUAGAGAAAUUGUUCCCCAUCUACGUCUUGCAGGUUCUAGAACAAACAUACUCAUUCUUGUAUUUCAUAAAAUUAUUUCGUACAUGUAAUGGUUCUUAUGAGGUCGUUUAUUAUUAUAUAACAGGACCAACUUCAUUUGCACCUGUUAUUGAGAUGGCAACAUCAAUUGUGGAUAAGAGUGGUGGUCAGUAUCACGUUCUGUUGAUAAUUGCCGAUGGACAGGUACUAAUACAGUUCAAAAUAGUUUACCAUUUUUCUUUGAUAGUAAAAAAUGAUGGUAAAAAAAUGAUAAUAUACAAGGGCACACAAAAAACCGCGAAUGCACAGGAAAGAACAUCCCACUAAAAAAAGGGACUUCAACUAUGUAAAUGGUGUCUAUCGAAUCAAUAAUCUUUACCAUAGAGACUAUUUAGUAGGAUUUUAUCAAACCGUAGAGAUUAAAUUCUAAUUAUAAAUCAUAUGGACUAAAUUCUCACUUUCUCCAACCUCCAAGGACUAAAUUUACAAUUUAAUGUUUUUCUUUGAAAAAAACAGAAGGAAAAAAACUCAACAAUUAGCCGUAAAGAAAGCUUUUUAGAUUUAUGAUCUCAUUGAUAGAGAAAGAUGAUUAAAUUUGGACAUUUGAAAUUGAAGGGACUAAAAUCCAAGUAUAGGACACAAAUGGAGUUGUAACCCACAAAAAAAGGAUAAAGAAAAAAAGUAAAAAGAAACUCAUUUUGAUUGAGAAUUCACAUGUGAUAUAGCAAGAUAUCUGUUCUGUUCCUGUAUCUUGUACUGAAAUGUAAAAUAAAUAUCUCAGGUGACUAGAAGUGUGGACACUGAGCAUGGGAGGCUAAGUCCACAAGAAAAGAAAACAGUUGAUGCCAUUGUGGCAGCAAGGUGAGCAUAGGAUUUAUGCGGUAUACUUUUUAGUUAUAACACUCUGAACAGUUUGUAAUAAUUUUAUUUGUUUUCAUUUCAGCAAUUUCCCUCUUUCAAUUAUUUUAGUUGGUGUUGGGGAUGGACCAUGGGACACAAUGAGAGAAUUCGAUGACAACAUCCCUGCUCGUGCCUUCGAUAAUUUUCAGGUAAGCAGAGGUGCUUUGUUGCCUUUUUUUAUAAACAAAGAUAUGCUUGCUUAUCCUAUGACUGGAAAUUUAAGAUACGUUAUCUUUUUCUUUUUUUGGUCCGCAUCUCUUUAGUUUGUGAAUUUUACCGCAAUCAUGUCAAAGAACGUUCCCCAGCCCCGGAAGGAAACAGAAUUUGCACUUGCCGCUCUUAUGGAGAUUCCUUCUCAAUAUAAAGCCACCUUGGAACUUAAUCUACUGGGGUAAGAAGCGUUUAUUCCCUUAGUUAUUUUAGUAGGAGAUAUUUUAAAAAGGGAAUCAUCAUCUUUAUUGCCACAAUCACUUUAUUCAUUCUUAUCGCAGGACUCGGAAAGGCAGUGCUCCCCAAAAGAUUCCACUUCCUCCACCUGUUCCAGCAUCUUUCAGCACACCAAAACCUCCUCAAUUCUACAAUUAUGAGCCAAGUGUGCCUCCGUAUCCUGGGAAUAAUAAUCCGAUCGAAACUGUUCGUUCUAUUGGGAAUAAUAAUCCGAUCGAAACUGUUCGUUCGGUUGAUCUUUCAUCAUACGAUGACAAGGUAACACUUUGUUUUUCAUGAUGUGUAUUUGUUUGAGCACUGCCCCAAUGUGACUAUGACUGUUGUGACUAGUUCUUUUUGUGUAAAGUCAGUUUUGGAUGUUUCUUAGAGCAGCGAAAAGUUCCUAAAAGAUCAGUUAGAUUAUUUGAAGUCAUUAGAAAUUCUGAAAGUAGUUCAUUUAUGUAUAAGAUCAACUGGUGAAAUGCAUUAUAACCUCAACCUAAUAGGUCGGAGUUCACUCCAAAUAGAAACGUUGCACUUAAAAGGUAUUUUUAUCAAAAGAAAUGUCAAAAUUCAUAAGACGCUUGUAUGUUGACAUUAUCAUGUCCAUUUUCAUUGUUCCUUUUUGAGAGUUUUUAUCAAUAACAAAAGCUUGUUUUUCUUCUCACAGUUGUGCGGCAUUUGCCUCAGUAACCCAAAGGACUUGGCAUUUGGCUGUGGACAUCAGGUAUUCUUCUGCCCUUCAAGUUCAAAACUAUUACUAAAAUUUAGAUUCUUUACACUCACAAAUGCGCUCGUCAACCACAGACUUGUGCCGAAUGUGGACAGGAUCUUCAAAUAUGCCCGUUCUGUCGGAGUUCAAUCCACACACGGUUAAAGCUCUACUGAUCAAGUCUCAACUUGCAACCGAGCCAUACUAGUCGAAACAAUCGUGAAAGUUGGUGAUUUGGUACAGGCAUAUCACUUACGACGUCAAACAGUAUAUUUGCCCUGUAGAUGUGAAAAUGUAGGCUACCAAUUCUAUUCAUACCUUUUAUUACUGAAGGAUUUUUUUUUUCCUUCAAAGUUUGAUGGUUUUGAGUCUUCUUUUUAGUCCAGUAGCCAAACCUUUCUUUGCUAUUUAUGUACAAAGGUGAAGAGGUGUUGUAAAUGAACUUUGGCCACUGGAAUUUGAUUCUAUUCUUUCUUCAAUUUAUCUAUCCACAUGUCUUUUUGUACAUAAGAAAACAUAUAAUGCAGUGUAAUGUUAUAAGUAUACUUUCUGCUUCUUUUGUUUUUUGUUUUGUUGUAAUUCUUUACUUUCUUUUAUUUAUAUAAAUGGAAACUAAGAAGAAAAAAAGUGAUGUGUAUAUCUUCAAGAAUAAUAAUUGUGCAUUUUGGCAAUACUCUUUUGCCACAUUUGUGUUGGAGAAAUCAUCAAGGGUGCUCUGAUAUAUCUAACAAUUUUAGGGGAGAAAUCACAAUACUUUUACUGUUAAAAAUCACUGAGUUCUUAAAAAAUUCUUGCACCAUAAACUGAUAGUCCAAUCCAACUAAUCCCUCACUAACUAACUAUGAUUUAAAGUGUAAACAUAAAAUAACUAACACUAUCGUGUGUGAGGCAGUAAUACUUACGAGUGUUUUUAAUAUUUAUUAUUUUCUUACGUGAUGACAUGAUUGUUCAAGGUGCUUGACCGAUUGAUGUGUUGAGGUUGUUGUGGAGCUAAGAGCAUGUCAUGUUUGAUGUAUUUCCUUUCCUAUAUAUUUCUUCUUAGAAGAAUAAAACACGUUUUACGUUGAAAUCAUUCCUUUUUAGAGUUAUUAUAGUUGAGUUAUAUACUAGUUUGUGUGUAGUGUAUAUUAUUUUAGUUUGAGCUAUAAUAUUCUGUCUAAAUGAAGAUUUUAAAAUAGUAUUUACUUGUGGUUACUAUAAUCUUUUGCAUAUUUCACGUUUCGAACGACUUGAUCACGUUUUAAAAGAUUCUAAAGCUCAGUUAUUUUGGAUUUUUAUUGGAAAAUGUUAUCCAAUAUUCAUAGACUUUGAAAACAUUUACGUAUCCGAGUUAGGAUUUGGAUCAAAAUUGAGAAUUUGAAUUCGACAACGGAUGGUCUUACCAUCCCUUUACAUCAUCCCUCGCAACGGUUAAAAAUUCCAUUGGACCGAUUUGUUGAGACAAGGCCCGUAAGCUCGACCCAUCUUGCACAAAAAAAAAGCCCAACAUCGUCGAACCCGCGCACAAACGCGGGAGGGUUUUGGUGAGAAGCUCGUUGGAGAAACAGAGUGAGCUCCGUUUCACUUCGCUUCGUCGAUCGAUUUCAGUGUCAAUGAAGCUCCUUCAAUCUCUCGCCGGUUUUGCUCCCUCACCAUGAAGAAGUUCUUCAGUUCUUUAUCCCCAUUCAUUAUUUUUAGCUUACACCUUCCUCGUUUUUCCAUUUAUGUUCAGGUCAAAGCCGCUCCCUUGUCCGUUUUCUUGGACAGCGUCGAUCCUUUGCUGUUUCUACGGAAGAAUACAGAAAACGGAAUUACGCUGAUAAUGUUGCCGAGUACAAAACUGUAAUUGCCUCCCUCACUGCCCAGAGAAGGUCUUCUUUCUUUCGUUCUUUCUUUCUUUCUUUGAUUGAUUGAUUUGUUGUUCUUUUUAUUCGUGGGUAUUUAAAAUGGUUUGUUGUUCAAUACAUUUCUGGUUUAGGUACUUCUCAUUGACGGAUGUGUAUGACGAUAUGAUGUUGGAUGGAGUGCAGCCUACAAUGGACGUUUUCCAUUUACUGAUAUCUGGAACCAUGAAAGGCGCUCGUUUCCAGCAUGCUUUUUUCUUCAGGGAUGAAAUGAAGGCCAUGGGUUUGAUUCCUGAUGUAGGUAACUUCUUGAAUAUCAAUUGAGUCUUUUUGGCCUCUUUCUAUGCUUGGCUCUUUCCAUUGAUCAUUACCUUUUUUCUGUACUUGCAUAUAUGUUUUGCAGGUUAGUCUGUAUAACAUGCUGAUCUCAUUAUGUGGUAAAUGUAACAACUCUGAAGAGGCUGUCCGGGUAGGUUUCUAUGUGUUUUUGAAAUGUUCUUUAAGGUUGUUUUGGAAGUUCGAAGGAAAAUCUGGACCCGUUUUUUAAUUGUCAACUAUUUUAUAUUUAAAUUGAAGAUCUUAGAUGAGAUGAGGAGAUAUGAAGUGAAGCCCAAUUCACAGACGUACAUCUGUCUACUUAAUGCUUGUGCAGCUGCUGGUAGAUUAGAUCGCGUGUAUGCUUCUUCUUUCACAACCUAACCUCUUAUCAUUCAGCCUGCAAGGAUUAUAGUCAUGUUUAUUGAUCUAUGUCAUGUAUAAAUGGAUGAGAGUGAAAUUAUCAGCAGUAAAUUCACUUAUUUUCUACUUGGUUGGUUUAAUAGUUGUCUGGCAUUUUUUAUCAAUAUACUAGGUAUACGAUUGUCAGAGAUAUGACUUCUGCUGGCCUUGGCUUAAACAAGUUCUGCUAUGCUGGACUUAUAGCUGCACAUAUGAACAAGAAACCUGUGGCAGAUGAUUUUGAUACUAAAGUAAAAAUCAUCUCAGCUGUUCUUUAUGUCCUUGUUAAUAUGGGGUUUGUGAUAUAUCAAUACAAUGCUACUUUUCUAUGAUUAGGUGGUUGAAUUUGUUGAACGGUCAAAGGAAUGGUUAUCGGUCGACGCAUCAAGUGUAACAGCUGAAAAUUUUAUGAUGGGUGUUUCAGAAGAGGAAUUGUACAAUAUUCCGACUGCUGAAUAUGUUCAUAGACGUGGAGGAUUUUUGAACAAACAAUUGACUAUUUAUCAUGUUGCUUUAAAUGCUUGUGCAAAUCUCAAGAAUGUGAAGGUAUCUGACUCAUAAUUUCACAAUAUUAUUGGAUAAACUUAAUCGGAUUAGGGUUUCUUUAUUUCAGUUAUGUUCUACAUAUAUGAUAGUCGAGCCAUUCUGCUAUUGUUAGGUCUCCUGCUAUUAUUUCUUACGUAGUAGAUACCCUCUAUUCUCCUUUAUAACUUAAUUUUUAUCAAAUGUUUUCAUAUAUUACAUGUUAACUUCCUCGUCAUGUAUUUUCAUAUAAAAUACUUUUUUGUUUCUUAUCAGUUUUUUGUUUCUUAUAAUCUAAGUAGGUUAUGGAGACCAUAAUGGAUAUGUUAAAGAAGGAUGGAAAAACUCCCGACGUCUACAUGAUAAUGCAAGUUAUGAGGUAAAGAGCUCAGUCCAAAAAUUAAAUUCUGUUGUCUAUGGCUCCAUGCAGUUUCUAAUUAAAUGUCACUGGAUAGAUCAAUUUGAUUGGACUAUUGCAUUGAUUGCAUGGGAAUCACUCACAAUUACCCCAGUAAUUGAAAGCCAACAAUUUUGUUUGAUUGAGCUGGUUUUCUUUAGCUGUUCAUUAGUUCGCUUCUUGUUUUGAUGAGAAUGACCAGGGUGAUAAAUUUUAAAGAUCAGAUUGUUAUAAGAUAAUAACUAUAAAGUUUGCGUAGAUCUAAUGGAACUACUGAUUUGGCCUUGUUUGUGCAUUUGCCUGCCAUUGAUCAAGCUUAAUGUAAUAUGGUUGCAAGUUGAGUGUUUUUUUUGUAUGGCUCUCGAUUACACCAGUGAUGGAGGCUUGUGUUGGAUUGAUUAUAUUAUUGUAGAGGUUCGUGUGAUCAUUCAGUUUUUGUCUCUAACAUGCGCUGUUUAGUAGCUUUUGUAUGGGUGCUUUCUUGUAUUUUCAUAUCCUUGUCAUGUAGCUUGAAUGAAAGUUGCGAGGAUUGUACAUCAGCACUAUGUAUAGGUUGCAGUCGUGUUGUUUCAUUAUUUUUGACAUCUCAUUUAUAGGAUUCUUGGUUAUUAGAAUUCCUAACCACUCAGUGAUUUUUUUUUGUUCUAUUGAAAUUACAAUGUAACCCACUCCAUGUUUAUUGGAAGAACUGCUAAUAGUCUAAUACAGAUUUUCAUCUAAAUAGAUGUGUGGAGUUUGAGGCUUAAUCAUAAAAUUGAUUAUUUUGGACAUAGGAUGGAUGAGUCAAGUCAUCAAUACUAUUCUAGGAUCUUCAAUUUUAUUAGUUGUUCUGUGAUUUGACAGUUAACUUCUCACAGGUGCUAUCUACAUUCUGGAGAUAUUGAUCGUGGUCAUAAAGCUUUUGAGGAGCACUUAAAUUCUGGGGGUUCUAUAGCACCUGAACUCUAUACAGUGAGUUUGGCCCAACUAUGUUUCUGGCUUCUGCUUUUACAGCACUAAAAUAUUACUCCAUAUUAACUGUUCUUAACCAAAAAGGAGAUAUCUUUAUAUAUAUAUAUAUAUAUGUUCUACUGUCCAUCUACACGUUUUCUAUUUUCUUUGGAAAUUCCUGAAAAUCUAGAGUGAGAGUUAACUUUUUCCAAUAUAUUUUAUCUCACUUGCAAAUGAGAUUGCUGUAGUAUAGACACUUCAAAUGAACAAUACGAGAGUUUUUAUUAGUAAGCAUUCAAGGUAACUACUGCGGAUAUUUAGCAACGGUUUUUAUUUGGCUGUAGACGCUUGUGGAAGGAGCCAUGAUUGGUUAUACACCAAAGGGAAUGCAAUUGGCUCAAGAAACACUGGUAACUUCCAAUUUCUACUGAAGUUACAAUUGAAAUUGAGUUAAUCUUAGUAAUGCGAUGUUGAUUAUUGCUUAUUGCAGGAAAACAUGAAUUCCAGGGGCUUUUUCUUGAACCCCAGAUCAGGGAGUGAGCUCCUCCUUGCAGCUGCGGGUGAAAAGGUAGGCCGACGGUUUAUUACAUUUUAGUUCACAAGAGACCCUUGUGGUUAGCAAUUGGCUACUCAAAAUUCUUACACUUGUUACUUCGAGGUCCAUAUGAUUCAAAAAAUGUGUUUAAUUUUUUCAUAUUACGAUGCAGACUGGUGGUUAUACAACUGCCAAUUAUAUAUGGGAUCUCUUGCGAGCUCGAGAGAUAACUCCUUUAUUCCCUGCUGUGGAUGCAUAUUACAAGGGAUUGAAGGUACUUCUCUUUCCCUGAUCUUUAAUUCUUUUGUUAUGAAAUUUCUUAUUCUUGGUGUUGAUAUUUGAUAAUUAAUACAUGCAACUUCCUUCUACUAGUAGUUGAGGUCUGGUUGAAUUGAGAAUUUGUCAAUCCAACAACUCACUGCAUUCAUUUCUCUGAUGUUUUUGGGUUUCUUUUGGUGACAUUUUAUUCCCGUGUCUUUGUGCAACUAAAGUGUAAUUACAACAUUUGAUUUUAACCAUGCCCAGUGGUAAAAAGGGAAACCGUCUCAAUAAGGUAAGAGGUCAUGGGUUUAAUCAAUGGUGACCUACCUAGGAAUUAAUUUUCUACUAAAGGGUCAAGUGGGUCGAGACACUCACGGAUUAAAAAAAAAAAUAUAUAUCACAUUUGAUUUUAAACGGUGUUUGCUAGGUUAAAUCAAACCUUAUGUCAAGUUCUCAUAUCAUUUGAUAACGGUGACAUUUGAAUUUCAAAAUGCAGAAACGCGAGAUUCCAGAAGACGAUCCUAGGCUUGUAUUAGUUACUCGAAUUCACGAAAACCUUCAAGCCAGAUUUGGUGGUGACCGAGCAUAAUCUAAAUCAGAUUUGGUGUGUCUCCACAUUGAGAAUAAUUUAUGCUCCAAUUUUAAUUGAUUCUUCCAUCAGUUGAAGGUAUGCAUUAUGAUGGGGAUCCAACGGUCUAGGGGUGCAAGCCUUGAGAAUUAUGUAUUUUGGAUAGUGAAUGUGGAGAUUUGAUAGCAAGUUUUGAGUACUUGUUUUGGCCUAGUUUUAAUAUUAAUUUUAGCCUAACGUUCAAAGAAUUACAAGUUUGGAUUCCAAUUUCUUUCUUUAUUUUGUGUAUAUUAUACAUAGUGGUUUUAGUUUCAUUAUUAUUUCCAACCUUUUUUUGGUAGGGUCUAUUUUGGUUCGUAUAUUUUUAAAAUAUCUAUAUUAGUCUCUUUUUUUAUCGCUUAAUAACAUAAUCUUAAGAAUGUGUAUUAGUAUGUCAAUGUUAACAUCUUUUAAACCGCCAUAAUUUGAUGUUAAUUGAAGAAGUUUUAUAGCAAAGAUUACUAUCUUCCAUCGGUAUUAUUUUAAAAUUUAGUGUGCAAAAUAGACGUUUAAAAUUUUAGUUAAAAUUUAUAGACUAAAAUGUAAUAAACUUUCACACAAGUUUUAUAUUAAAAAUUUGUUUUACAUCUCACCAAUUUUGGAAAUAUUUAUAAAUAUAGCAAUAUUUUAUCGAGUUAAAUUAUUAUUAAGAGAAAUAUGUGCUUUAUAGACAUAUCUAUAUCUAUGUAUAAUCAAAAUACACGAUUUUGAUUAUUUUAUUUAAUUUCAUAUUCAACAAAAAUUUCAAAGAAAAAAAAUUAGUUUAUCUAAUUGUUCUAUUUAUAACAAAAUUUCAAAAAGAAAAAAAAAAAACUCAUAUGAUCUAAUUCUAAUUCAAACAAAAUCUCAUUUUGUCUCAUUUAUAAUUCAUGUUAAAUAACAUCAAUUUUCUUUAUCUAAUAGUUUCGAUUAAAUAGAAGUUUUGCUUAAAAAUAAUCUAAUUCUAAUUUUUUUUUUAAAAAAAUCUCAUUUUAUCUAAUAGUUCAAUUAAACAAAAGUUUGGCUUUUCUACUUCAUGUUUAUAUCAAUGUACAAAGAUUGUUUUAUUUUAAUCAUAAAGAUUUGGACAUAUUAAUUAUAAUUUUUCUAAAAAACCUAUUUUUUUAUAAUAAUUAUAUGGAUUAUUUUAAUUGUGAACACUAAUAAUUUCCCAUCUAAAAGGGUUAUGAAGAUGAAAUUUGUUAUAUAUAUAUAUAACAUUAUUAUAUCUACUUCUAAUUCUAAAUAUAUAAUUUUUUUUAAAAGUUCAUUUUACCUAAUUCUAGUUUUCAUUAAAUGAAAGAAAUUUUAUUUUAGAAAGUCUCAUUUUAUUUAAUAAUUUGGAUUGAAUAAAAUAUUUUGACAUAUUUGAUGAAUUAUAUAUUUGCAUGGAAGGAAGAAAAUAAGAAUGUGUUGUAAUGAAUAAGAAUGUGAAUCAAUGGAUAGAAGGAUACAAUAGUUAUAAUCCAACGAUUCUUAGUUAUGUUGUUGAUCUAAUGGCUUCCAAAGCGAAAAAAUAGUGAAAACGAUUCAUUAAUCCUCAUGCAUUCUAUUGGAUUAUUCCACUUUCUUCUUCUUCUUCUUCUUCCUUUCUUCUCCCAUUUCUUUCCUCAAUUCCUUUUUCUGGUUCAUGAUUGCAGGUAUUAAUUUUUUACGUUCUUCCUCUCGCUUUGGAUUUCUUCUUCUUCUUCUUCUUCUUUUGCAUUGCCGCCAUUGAUGGAUUUUGAUCCAUUUCAGUUUUUCUGUAAUUCGAUUUUUAUUUAUUUUAUUUUUCUGAAUGAUGAUGACGACGAUGAUCUAUGAAUGUUGAUGUUGAUGUUUCCAUUGAAAUUAUUAGUGUGAUCGUGGUUGUGGUUGUGGGAAAUAGAGCUUCAAAUCGCAUUUUGAUGAGAGGUCACAAGAGAAGGAAGCAGCACAUGCAUCUAUGAAGAAGAUUGGGGUACGCAGGUCGCUACCGCACUACCUGAUGCAAUUGUCGCUUGUCGACAUUGUUGUGCUUCUUCUUCAUGCGGUUUCCCCACGAUUUUCUCAGAUGGAAUGGCAGAUCCUGCUAGUUAUGGGAAUCACGAGCGUGACUUUGAACAAGUCAGUUUUUCUUUCUUUCUUUUUUUCUCAUCAAAACUUUCCCUCUCUCUUUUGUCUCUUCCUUUCUUCUAACACACCUAUUUCCAUGUGUUUUUGUGAUUUUCAAGGCACUUAUCGCUUUGAAAAAAGGAACUCAACUAAUUAAGUAUAGCCGAAAAGGAAAGCCUAAGCUCUGUCCAUUCAGAAUCUCUACCGUGAGUAAUUAUUAUUUCCUUUCUUCAUACACAACAUGUUUAUUACUUAAUUCCUUUAGUAACAGGUUUGUUGUUUUCUGGUGUUAAUUACAUGUAUAAUGCAAUUUCUUUUUAAAUUUUGUAAUUCACUCGGUUCUGUAAUAAAUGAUGAACAAAUAGUUUAUCAACUUUUUUGUAUUUCUUUUACUGGAACAAAAUUUUAAUGUUCUCAGAAAUUACGCCAUACGGUAAAAUGGUGAAUAACUUUCCACGUACAUUCCACAAAUUUGUCUUCAUUUCUCCAAAGACUUUCCUUUGGUAGCUUCAUCAAUAGUUGAAGAUAUGUAUUCCAGAUUUUGGGUCUUAGCAGGCUCGACGUAUGUUUGCCACAUACGAAGAGUUGAGGGGGCAUAAACAAAACUAAUUAAACUUAUACAUCUGCUGUUCACUUCCACAAGCAUUAGAUGUCAUAGACUAUGUAUGUCUUCGAACUGUAAUUUUACUGCAACUAAUUUUCAGGACGAAACGACGCUGAUCUGGUAUUCACAUGGAGAAGAAAGAACCUUGAAACUAUCAAGCAUCUCACGAAUUAUCCCAGGACAAAGAACUGUGAGUUAAAAACUGCACCAAAAUGGCUAAGUAGUAGAAUAUGUAUACACCUGUGAUUAACUAUAAGGAACACAUAUAAUGUAAGAUCUUCUUGAGGCAUGGCUAUAUUCUUCUCUUGGAAUAUAUAUUGUAUUUAAGUUAUGCUUUAUUUGGUAUUUCAUUUAUGUUAGAAACCUAUUCAGUUCCAGGCCUAUGAAAUUUUGGAAUUGCAUUUAGUUUUGUUAUUAUUGAAUAAGACUUUGGAUUAAUUAACUUUAUCAACUUCCAGCAAAAGUCACUUGGGUUCUUUCUUCUCUAACCAUUCUAGGUGGGUCUAAUGGUAAAAAGGGAGACAUAGUCUCAAUAUCUAAUUAAGAAGCUAUGGGUUCAAUCCAUGGUGGCCACCUACCUACGAAUUAAUUUUCUAUUAGUUUUCUUGACACCCUAAUGUUGUAGGGUCAGACGAGUUGUCAGAUUAGUUGAGGUGCGCAUAAGCUGGUUCGAACACUCACAAAUAUUAAAAAAAAUAAAAAAAUGUUUAGCUUUUGUCCAUAUUACUAUGAUUGGCGUUUUGAACUUGAAAAUAAUAGUGAUAUAUCUCCUACGUUUUUCCUCCUCUUUUCUCUUUUCCAUUUACAGGCCGUAUUCAGAAGGUAUUUGAGGCCUGAAAAAGAUUACUUAUCAUUUUCAUUGUUGUAUAGAAACGGGGAACGGUCACUUGACUUGGUUAGUGAAAAUCAACUUCAAAUAUUCAAAUUUCAACUUCUUAUCUACAGCAUCUCUGAUUGCAGAGUAAUUUCAGUGAUUUCUGUUAUCUGUAAUCUUUUUAUAGAUCUGCAAGGACAAAGGUGAAGCUGAAGUCUGGUUUCUUGGCCUUAAGAAUUUAAUUUCUCCAAGACAACAUCAUGGACGUUCUAGGAGUGAUUUUUCAGAUGUGAGUUUUUUCAUUGCAUUCUACAGCAUUCACUUCUAUUAUGAGCACUGUCUUGUAUUUAUUUUAAAAUUUUUUUUUUUAACACAUUGGCAGUUAGAUUUAUUAUUAUCUUCUUUUGGUAUUGUUAUUGCAUCGAUGUUGAACUCACAUGUAAGACGGCAUGAAGUAGCUGUGCAAUUAUUCAGGAUAAUGCAAUAGCACAAUGGUUUUACAGAUAGUCUUUCUACAGAAAAUUAUGUGAUACUUGCUAUAUAGCUGGAACUCAAUGCACCAUACCCUGGAUGGUCCUCUAAUACACUCGAGGAUGAGUUUAAUAUUCUCCAACACUAUCCACAUGUUGGAGAUUUGAAAGGCAUCUCUUUGCCAUACCAUUUCUAGCUUAUAAACAAUGAAUAAGAACUAAUGAGCCAUAGAAUAGAAGUGUGUAUUCAAAACUACAUCACUGAUUGACCCAAAAGUGGAUAAAGGCAUAUUUUAUUAUACAUCACCAACAAAAACAUAUCUACAAUUUCUUCCAUUCCUUGGUAUUUUAUUUGAAAACAGUCAUAAUUUUUUAUUCAAUUCCUAUAUUGUAGUUCACUGUUCCCAGAAUAAAACCAUGUUAAAAACUUGAAACUAUAGCAGCCCCAAACAUUUCAAAUUGUAUAUUGGUUGAUCUUUCAUUUUCUAUUUUUUUUUCUUCCAGUUAUGGAGUAAGUAUAUGUUUUAACCAAGUUGCUGAAUAUGAUAAAUCUUCCAAAUUUGGGCAUGUAUUUUUUAGCGAUCUUGAUUCCUUAUGAUAAUCAUAGACGACAUGGGUUGGGCAGUAACACUUUUUAGCUGGUUAUCAUGUGGCUAAUUUUCUAAGCUAUCCUAUAAAAAAAAAAAUUAUAAUUUACUAUGGAUCCUUAAUUUCCAGGUUCAGGAUGCUAACGAAUUCUUUCAAAGUAGUCGACCUUUUGGUGCAACUUUAGAAUUUAGUAACAGCUUAGCUCGUGGAAGGGAUUCUAUUGAUUUAAAUUCUCGUGAAUCUCAUUUGCAUCUGGUAAGUUCAGAUGUUGGUUCGGAACGUGCAAAUAUGCAACUAAGAACAAGUGGUGGAGAUGGUUUUCGCAGCAGUGUAUCAAGCACUCCUAGUUGUUCAAGUGGAGGAUCUGGACCAGAUGAUAUAGAAUCACUAGGUGAUGUUUACGUAUGGGGAGAGAUUUGGACUGAUUUAGUUUUACCAGAUGGAACUUCAAGUCAAAUUCCAGUUAAAAAUGAUGUGCUCACUCCAAAGCCAUUGGAGACGAAUGUUGUUCUUGAUGUUCAACAGAUUGCUUGUGGUGUCCGACACAUUGCUCUUGUAACAAGGCAAGGUGAGGUUUUCACUUGGGGUGAAGAAUGUGGUGGACGUCUCGGUCAUGGAAUUGAUAGAGACUUUAGUCGCCCCCAUCUUGUUGAGUUUCUAGCAGUUAGUCAUGUAGACUUUGUAGCUUGUGGUGAGUAUCAUACAUGUGCCAUAACCUCUUCGAAUGAUUUAUACACUUGGGGUGACGGUAUUUUUAAUUCUGGAAUUCUUGGUCAUGGUACUGACAUUAGUCACUGGAUACCCAAAAGAGUUGUCGGUUCGCUGGAAGGGCUUCAAGUUUUAUCUGUUGCAUGUGGCACGUGGCAUUCAGCAUUAGCAACUUCCAAUGGAAAACUAUAUACAUUUGGUGAUGGAACAUAUGGUGUCUUAGGCCAUGGUGAUAGGGAAAGCGUGGUAUAUCCAAGAGAGGUGCAACUAUUGAGUGGACUUAGGACCAUCAAGGUUGCUUGUGGAGUCUGGCACACUGCUGCUAUUGUUGAGGUUAUGAGUCAGACUGGUUCAAAUAUGUCAUCUAGGAAGUUGUUCACGUGGGGUGAUGGUGAUAAAUAUCGCUUGGGUCAUGGAAACAAGGAAACUUAUCUUCUUCCUACUUGUGUUUCUUCACUCAUAGACUACAAUUUCCACCAGUUGGCUUGUGGACACAACAUGACAGUGGCUCUUACCACCUCCGGUCACGUUUUUACCAUGGGUGGUACUGCAUAUGGUCAGCUAGGCAACCCAAGUUCAGAUGGAGUUAUUCCUUGCUUAGUGCAGGAUAGAUUAGUCGGUGAAUUUGUUGAAGAAAUUUCUUGUGGUGCAUAUCACACAGUUGUUUUAACAUCAAGAAAUGAAGUAUUUUCUUGGGGGAGGGGUUCCAAUGGAAGAUUAGGGCAUGGAGAUGUGGAGGACAGGAAAGCCCCAACACUCAUAGAAGCUUUGAAGGAUAGGCAUGUUAAAAGUAUAUCUUGUGGGUCAAAUUUUACUGCAAGUAUAUGUAUACACAAGUGGGUUAGUGGAGCAGAUCAGUCCGUUUGCACUGGUUGCCGUCAGGCAUUUGGUUUCACAAGGAAGAGGCACAAUUGUUAUAACUGUGGGCUGGUACAUUGUCAUUCGUGCAGCUCCAAGAAAGCUUUGAAAGCAGCACUUGCACCUACCCCAGGCAAACCACAUCGUGUAUGCGAUUCUUGUUAUGCCAAACUUAAAUCUGCUGAGGCUGGCAACAACUUUUGUGUGAAUAGAAAAUUGACAGCCAAUCGUCGUUCAACAGAUUACAAGGAAAGAUUUGAUAGAGGGGAUGUGAGGCCCUCUCGCAUUCUAUUGUCCCCCACUACAGAACCUGUUAAAUAUCAUGAGAUUAAAUCGGUUAGACCAGGGAGUAGACCAACUUCUCCUUCUAUGGUUAGAGCUUCUCAGGUCCCUUCCCUUCAACAACUGAAAGACAUUGCAUUUCCAAGUUCGUUGAGUGCCAUUCAAAAUGCUUUGAGACCUGCACUUGUGGCACCGCCGUCACCACCACCAAUGGGCAAUUCCAGACCUGCAUCACCGUAUGCAAGGAGACCAAGCCCUCCACGCUCAACUACUCCGGUGUUCUCAAAAAGUGUUAUUGACUCUCUUAAGAAAUCAAAUGAGACGUUGGUUCAAGACAAAUCAAAGCUUCAAAGAGAAGUAUUAACUUGUUUCCUUAUAAAUCCAUAUUUUUGUUUGGUCACUGUAAUAUUCUUAUGCUUUUUCUAAAGAAGCCUAAACCGAAAGAAACUUGGUUUCAUUCAUAUAAAUCCCGUCCUUCCUUGUUUAUCAGGUUAAGAAUUUGAAGCAAAAAUGUGAUAUUCAAGGUGCAGAAAUUCAAAAUUUGCAAAAGAAUGCAACUGAAGCAGCUUCAUUAGUUGAAGAAGAAUCCUCCAAGUGCAAAAUAGCAAAGAAAUUAGUUACAACAAUAACAGAGCAGGUAAUCCAAAUAUAUUAGCAUUUGAGUUACUUCAUUUUUUGUUCAAUAGCUUGUUUAAAUAAUUGAAGAGAGUGGUUUUGAUCUCAUUGGUAACCUCACUAAGUUUAUUUGCAGGUUUGUGAAAAUUUGUUAUUGUAUUAGAUAAGACAAGCAACCUUCUUAGCUCUUAACAUAUCAAAUUACUAAUUUUGCAUCCUUCAGUUGAAAAAAGUCAAAACAUGUUUGUCCCGCAAGUGAAUGAAAACAAGUUAUCUUCUUAAGUUUUUUCAUGACAAAACCACAUGAGAUGUAUUGCUAACCAAUGAUUCAAAUAUUAGUCAGGCAUGAUGAUUAAUGUAAAUUUGUUCCAUUUUCUUAUAGUUGAAGGAAAUGAAAGACAAACUGCCACCUGAGAUAUGGGAUGGUGAAAAUUUUAAAUCCAUGUAUGCCCAAGCUGAAGCUUUCUUAAAUAUGGUUGAGACAUCAAAAACUUCAUCCUUACCUACGAGUCAUGAAAAAACUAACAAUCUAACUGCACUCAACAAUGGAUCUACUCCCUCACUUGACGAUUCUUCAAAGAGGAUAGAAGACGAUGGUUCAGGAAGGAAGGACUUAACGCAGGAGAAUGUAAAUAGUCUCCUGGAAAGUAAGAAAACUUCAGAAAAUGGCUCGAGAUCUCCAUUAUCUUCGACUGAAGGCGAAAAGCAAGUUAUUGAGCAGUUUGAACCUGGUGUUUAUGCAACUUUGGUUGUGCUUUCAAAUGGUACCAAGAUUUUCAAACGCGUUAGAUUCAGGUAUAUCUAACUCUAAUCUCUCUCUCUCUCCCUCUCUCGGCUCGGGUGCGCACCUACAACACCCUACCAACGUAAAUCUAUAGUUACUUCAAUUUAAUUUCUUUUCGUUUUUGUUUGCAGCAAGAGAAGGUUUGAUGAGCAGCAAGCAGAAGAUUGGUGGAGUAAAAACAAAGACAGGCUGCUUAAAAGAUACAACCCAUCAACAAGCACAAGCAGCUCUACGCCAACCGGUUCGCCUAAAACUCAACCAGUAUCAUCUACAGAGGAAAGCAAUGAAAUUCCAUCAGCCCCCCCAUAAUUAUUGGAUGUAUAAUAAUCCAAAGGUUUGCUUUAGAAUAGCUGCAUCAUCGAUGAAUUCGUAGAUUUUAUUAGCAACAGAAGGCAACAAGAUGGAGAAAAUUCAAGUUGAAAAUAAGGCAAAGGUAAACGUUUAAGUUCCAAGUCGGAAACCUCAGAGUGAACCAUUUCUUCUCCUUUCGUUUAAUCUUUUUAUUCAUUCAUUUCAUUUUGAGCAUCUCCUUUUUUUGGAUGCACACAACCCACUUUCUUACAACUUUGUGAUGAUGUUUACUAGAAAUAGGAAAACAAAGAAAAAGGCUCUAAUUUUAGUGUUCUACUCAUUGAAGCUCUCCAUUCCUUACAUCCUUCAAACAAAAUUAUUUCAAUCGGAGGUUUGGUUUAUGGCCCUACCCUUUUCAUUUGGUGAACUUACACCUUUCAAGGCCAUUAAUUAUAUAUAUAUAGCUUUAACUUCACAAUCACUGUGUGUAUAAUACGAAACUUGGAAUUCCCAUUCACAAACUUUAGGACUUCAAAGUUAGAUAGUUUCAGUUCUAAGUCCCAUUUCAUAUGGAUUUAUUUUGCUAUAUUUCACAACAAACAAUCCUUUUUGUUUAUUUGAAAACUAUUUUCUUUUUUCUUCAUAAUAGGAUUGAGGUUCGGAGAUGACUAAAUUAUGGUUAACAUAAUAAUAAUAAUAUAAUUCAAGUAUUCGUUUAUUUAGUAAAUUCUAUCAUAUUUGAAACUUACAUAAGACAACAUUUGAGAAAAAAAGUUCAUUAUUAGAUUUUCAGAUUGAUAUUUGGACUUUAUUACUAAAACAUAACAUUGAUUAGUAAAAUAAUUAAUAGAUAUAAAUUCAUCCAUUCAUUCAUUCAUUAAACAAUUGUUUGAACAACGAUGUUAAUUGUUAAACCUAUGAUUGAUAUUUAGAAAUAGUCCGAACUCUCUCGAUUCCAACUUAAUUAUAUGAUUAAACAACAUAAUAAAAUGAUUAGGAAAAUAAAUCAACAGCUCAUUCAUUUCUUAAAUGAAAACGAUAUUUAGAACAUAUUUUCUAAAAUUAAUAAUAAAGGAAAAUAUGGUUUAGAGAAAAGAAGAGAACAAUGUAAGGAUUGCAAGGGGACUGAAUAAAACAUUUAUACAUUUACACAAAAGUAAGAAGAGAAAUUGCAUUUGUUUGCUUUCUAAAUAAUCAAAGAUUAGGAGCCAAUAAAAAUGGUGUAAGAAUCUGAAAAUUUAGAUUAUAACAUAACAAAAGAAUUCUGCACAUUAUGGUUCCAUGAACAUUUCUACUUGAUGUUUUGAUCUUAGAAGUAAGACUUACAAACUAUAAGCAAUCUGUGUAAUCAGACAUUAAUUAUCAAUAAAAUUUGAGAGCUACGGUAGAGGAACACAAAACGGAAACCCAAAAGAGUUUAGAAAAAAACAGCUCGGUGAGUUCCUCCAACCAUUAAAACUCGGUUGUCAGCAAAUUCAUCAAAACCCUCGAUACUCAAAUUUGGUUGUUUCUCGGACCACUUGGGACAUCAAAAGUUUUCAUAUGACCCCACAAAAUUCUUCAAAUUAGUGCAAUUGUGAUUCAAGAAGUAUGUUUGUCGCAAUGUUAACGUCGUUUCUGGCCUGCACAAGGGCCUGCCUGGCCGAGUUUCUGUCGAACCCCAUUGAAACAAGUGUAGCAAUGGCGUCUUCCGAUGGUUCUGUGGCAGUUGGCACAGAAGGAUAGUUCCUCUAAAAUUAUAGGAGGAAACAAUUCAGGUUUUAGUAUAAUUGAGAAUGGGGGAAUCGAGAAUCACAAACCUCGUAGUUAUUAUGUUAACAUAAUGGUAUGUCAAUUGAACCAUCCUCAGUUUGACCAAGAGAAAACAAUCCAGUUUUUAGGUUAAAGUAUCAACUUAAGUAAUUCAUGUUUUCUGUGUCACCAAUACGAACUUAAUUACAACUGUAAAGAUUAGAUUAUGCCAAUAAUAGCAAUGCCUAUAUUGUGACGACUAUCAGGACACAGUAAGUUCUCGUGCUUAAAACCUAACAAGUCAGAUAUUGUUCCUCGAAUCAUUUAGCUUAUCAAAGUAUGUUUAGAGAAACCAACACCAAAUAGAAGCAUUCGUCAAAUGUACUAACCUCAACCUGGCGGCUCAUGAAGGAUGGCAUGUUUCCUCUAACAUCUCUAUUUGGGGCUGCUGGAGGAUUCCCCGCAGAUGGCAAAGAAAGUCUUGAAAAAAAUGAACUGAUAAACUCUGGAAACUGUAAAAGCCGAAGAAUAAUAAUAACACAUUAUUAGAAAACUAGAAAGACCUGAUUGAAAAGUAAGAAAACCUACAUCAAACUGACUCCAAAUGGAAAGAGACUAAUACUAAAAAAUACAAAACAUUCAAUUAAAAAGACAAAUAAAGACACAAAAUUAAUGAAGUGCACCAACCAAAUAAGAUGAAAAACCUACAACUAAGAAGCACCAAAAACUUAAAGAGAGCCCCCAUAAGAAGCUAAGAGACUAACCGAACUAAAACAAAACAAACCAACAAAGUGGGGCAUCAAACCAAAAGGUCCAAAAUAAAACUAUAAUUAUAAACAACAGAAUUACAAUUUCAGAAAGAAAGAAAACUAAGAAACCAAUGUGUGCUUAAGCAAAAUUUGAAUUUAACCUUGGCCUUGCGGAUGCCAAAUACAUUCAAUCGAUAUAAGGAACCAGCAAGAAUUCCGCAUAUCCCUGGUAAGAUAGAUCUUCUCCACGAAGACAGAAGGAGCUGCAACACCAACAAUAAAACUAGCUUACACAGCUGAAGAAAGUAAAGCAGGUUAUCCAAAAGAGUAUAAAACAAACAGUCCUUAACCUGAAGACCAGCCAGAUAUAUGAAAGACUUGUCAGAGAAACGAACUCCAAAUACACGGAACCGUGUUGAAACAGGAAUAUCAAAGAAGAAGGGUACAAAGGAAGCAAACAAAAGACCAUAAGGUCCAGAAGUCACUAGAUUUGCUGCAGGAUCUGCUCAAAAAGAAAUAAAAAUACAUAUUAACUAAAUGAAAAUCAUAAGCAUGGAUGUGUUCAGUUUAUAGGCAUGGUUGGAAAGAACAACAAAAGAAACUUAGGAAAACAAGUCAUCAGUUAGCUAGAACGUGUAUCGAGGGAGACAUGACCAAAAAACAAACUUAACGUGUUUGGAUCACAUUAAGAUCCUGAGUCGGUGAGAUUUUGAGCACACGUUAAGUUCGCAUUUUGGUCAUGGCUCCCUCAAUACAAGUUCGUUUUAGCUAACAAACCACAUGUUUUCAUACAUUUUUUCGUGCUCUUUCCAUAUAUGCUUAUAAAUGGAGAAACAUUUUAAAGCAUUUUAACUACCCUGAAAAACUUGGUAUAAAUUUAUUAUUAAUAUUUUUGUUCCUAUAGAAAACAACUUUCAUUGAGAAAAAAUAAAAAUAAAAAUACAAGUGCAUACAAAAAACCAAGUCUACAAAACAAAAAUACCAGUAGAAAAAAGGGACUCCAACUAUGCAAAACAGCACCUAUAGAAUAAUUACAAAAGGUUUUUGAAACCAAAGUCCAAAGAGAAACAUGAAAUCAAAACCCUAUAAAAACCCUAUUAUUUUAUUCCCCCACAUAACCUAUAAAAAGUGAUUCUUCUCUCAAGAGGCAAAUAGAGCCAUUGCGGUGAUCAUAUCACUAGAGUCCUUGGACUCACAGGAAACUCAAAGACUCACAACGCCAUAGAAUAUGGUCCAAAUCUUCUGUCUUCAAACAAAGAAAGCAAAAAAAUGAACCGACUAGCAAAGGCAACUUCCUCACAAGUCAAACCAUCAUGUCAGUGGUGUAAAACUUGCCAAGUAAAAAACGUCCCUUCUCUAGGGAUCUCAUUCUUUGAAGCAUUGAAAAUAUCAAAUUACCUAAGGAAGAAUGGUCACUCAUACUACAAAAGUGACUUACAGAAGAAUCCGUCCAAAGGAUUGGGACUCCAAACUCUCACUUCCUUCUCCCACGCCUAAAGAAGUGGCCUUUGAGUAAAUAAAGAAGAGAGGCCACAUUCACUACUUCCAAAUUGAACAAAGAAUGAACAAACCCAAAAGAAAAGGAAUAGAAGCUCCCUGACCAAACUAAGAAGUUAUGAUUCAAUUUUUUUAAUUAAAAAAAAAAUGGUAAAAAACCAAACUUUCAUUGAGAAAAAUGAAGGAAUAUGCAAGAGUACAAAAAACAAGCUGAAAAAAGGUCCACAACUAGCUACAAGAAUGGUCUCAAAUCCAAAGGAAUUACGCAACGUGGAAAUUAAAAAGAAUCCAAUUAACGAACUUCCCAUAUCUCGAACAACUUCUCCAACCUCCUAACAAUUUUACUAUUCCACCUAAGCCACGUUCCACGCAGAAUUGCACAAAAUCAAGCUAGCCAGAAAGCUUUUCUUUUCUCAUAAAAGGGAGAACUCAUAAGGACAUUCAUAAGGACCCCCUCCAUCAUAGAAAGACAAUCCCUAUUAAACAUCACUGCCAUACCAAACACCCUACAAAGUAAACUGCAACCCCAUAAAAGAUGACCAAGAUCCUACUGACAAUAACAAAACAAUUGGGCCACAAGACAAAGGCAGACAAUCGCUAAACAUGAUCCUACGUGUUCACUCUACCAUGUAAAACUUGCCAAGCAAAGAAGUGAAGGACUUACAAUGUCGUAAGAACUUCCACUUUCCAAAUAGAGGGAAAAAGUGUGGCCCCGGUUUGGGAAGCGAAGUAAGAGCGAGGCAAAAGGAACAAACUUUGGCUCAAUCGAAAAAAAUGAUAUAAUUCAAUUCACCAUCCAUUCAACUAGCAUCUCUAAAUCACCAUCAUUGCUAGUGCUGUCUUGUACUCUCCUUAAACCUAAAUCACCAUCAUUACUACUGUUGUCAUGUACUCUCCUUAAACCUAAAACAGCCAAAGAUUGAGGGCUUGUUGUCAGAUUGCGCCCAAAACUUGGAGGACAGCCAACUUGAGAAAAACAUAACCUGCGGUGUCACGGGGCAGAAGUGCGAUAGAAUGAUUUCCCAAAAUUUUUCCCACGCGAUGCCAAGGUACAACCUUGACCAGCCUAGAUGUUGGACCCAAUUUUCCCCCCAAAGGUAUGGCCAAGUCACACGAACCCUAAAGUGGGUUGUGGGGGGCUAACUCACGUAAGGAGGGAAGGAGAGGCGUGCACUUUGUGGAAAUAACACUUUACUCACAAGGUUAUAAAAACCACAAUCAAGGACAAUAUACAAAACCGACUCUACAAGAGAAUUUUGGACAGCAAUUCACUCUUACAAAAGUAAUCAAAGUGAAUGUUAUGUGUGAUGUCCGACAACCCCAAGACUCUCACUAUUCAUAUAGGUGGGAGGAGCUAAAAUCUAGGAAGUAGGGGGGAGUGGUCCUAGUGGAGGUUAAAACGUCAACUACCCAUUACUCCAGGACCACUCAACAUGUCCAAUGAUCUCCUACCUUUUAGGAGAGAACAUGCCCACUAACUCCUAUAUUUCUGCUCCACUUUCCCACUUACUAAAUAUUGGACACCACUAUCCUAUUUUGUAGGAAAAUAAUGAAAUUUCAUUUGGAUUUUCUAAUUCUGAGUUUACAUCAUAGAUGAGUAGGUAGAGACUCAUCAAAAGAAAAAAGAAAAAAAGUAAACAGAAGAAGAAACUAAACAGGUUUUUUUUAUAUAAUAUAUAUAAAAACUUUCCAAACACUUGCCAAGAAAUAUCAAAAGACCAGGCACGAUUGUCAAUAUACCCAACUAACUCCCCAACAAGUGAGCUACUUGCUAAGAAAAACUUUGGGUCCUAUUUUACAAAUAUUAGGGGAGAAAAAGUAACAAGAGGAGGGUAGUUCAGAGCUACAAAAUGAAAAGUACAGGGAUGGACAGCAAAAAAUAAACAAUAAUUAAGCAUGGGUUAAAAUUAUCCUAGCUGCCAAGCAUACUAGUAUAUUAAACGAAAAUGCAUACCUUUAAGUAAUGAUAUUGCAAGGACCUCAAAAAGUAAGGAGGAUGUUAUAGAGAACAAUAUAAAGACCUGUAUCACAAUGGAGUAUUAAUAUAAAUCUAUUUAAGAAAAAAACACAUAUCACUAAGGGAAAAAACAAUUAGAUUUUUGUUGUGAUCCAUUCAUUUUAAGGAUCGUGACUGGUAGCUUCAUUAUGACAUAUGUUUUAAUGAGAUCUUGCAGCAUGAAUUGAAUAAAAAACUUACCGAGUAUUUGUUGGAACCUAUUUGUCUCUCAAAUACUCUGAAGUAAUAUAGCAGAAACAGUCCGAACAUCAAUUCAGGAGUAGAUGAAAAGGCAAAAACUGACAUUACUAACUUCCACAAUCGGAGCUUCACAAUUACAUCCUGCCAUAAGGAUUACAAUUAACUGGUCAAAAGUCUACUCCCUAGUCCCUACCAGGAAAAUUAAGAGGUAGAAGAGAGAUAAAAUAAGUUGAAUCUAAGUCCUCCAUAAUAGGAAUAUAUCAACAAAGAUGGAAUAGAAGCAGUCAGAACAAUAAAAAAAUAUAUAUAUUUCUACAAGUGGAUCCUUUACCACGGCUCAUUUGAACCUAUAUGCCUUCCAAACUUACUAUGUUCAUUCACUCCCAUACCCCCCCGUCCCGGGGUUUGAGGAAUUGUAUCUCUCCCUCCCCAAUAUAUGUAUAUAUUUUAGGAAAAUAUCAAUAUAUACCUUUGAACUAAUAAUUCUAUUAAUUUAAACCCUAAACUUUUGUAAGUUUAUCAAUUUAUACCCUCCAUUACAUUAUGUUUAGAUAAACAUCAUAUGAAACUUAUACUUUUAUCAAUUAAACCCCUAAACUUUCAUAAAAUGAACCAAUUUAGACUCCCAUGGUCUUCGUUAAGAUUUUCUUUACAAAUCGACCAUGAGUCAAUGCUAAUCUUGUUAAGUUGAUAUUCGAAAAGAUUACACAUGUAGAACUUAUGCAUGAAUCAUUUUCAAAGAUAAUCUUAAUUUUUUAAUCAAACCAACACAACGUGCAUUCUAUAUAUAAGAAUGUGUAAACAAAAUAGGUCCUCUGUACCAAACGUGUAGAAGUUAUUAAGUUAAAAUCCCUUUGAAAACAUCGAAAACAAAUUCCUUCGAUGCAAGAUUACUUCGAGAAAGAGAGAAGAAAAACAAGUCAGAAAUGCAUGGAGUUCAUAGAAAAAUCAAUCAUCACAUCAAAAGGUUGAAAGAGGAAAACUGGGAGAGGACCCUUUGGUUGGAAAUUCAAAGAUAAUCUUUAUAAAUGGCCUAAAUCCAUUCAUUUUGAUAACUUGGGAAUUUAGUUGCAACUAUUAUAACUCCUCACAUGAUGCUUUUUGAAUGAAAUCUGAAGGAGUGUGUAUAUUGGGUACACUUAAGAAAGUCCAAGGUUUAAACUAACGCAAUUGUUAGUUUGUUUUUAUUGAUACAAUCCAAAAGUUUAGGGUAUAAAUUGAUUUUCCCCCUAUUUUUAAUAACCAACCUUACAUUGAGAACAAAUGAAAUAAUAGAAAUGAAAAGGGUCAAACAAAAGGAGGAAAAUCGUAGUAAGCAACUCCAACCAAGCAAAAGAAAAACGUGAAGCCAAUGGAGAUACAUGAAACUCAAUAAGGAACCAAACAUAGUUCAAAAAAUUGUUGAUAAGAAAAAAAAAUCAUUUAUGCAUGAAAUUCACAAAAGAAUUGUUGUCCAAUAAAACUUUAAUUUCUCUCCAGCCAAAUUUCUCAUAAAAUGAAAGCACUGCCUGCAAAGAACUCAUUGGAAGUUCCCUUGAAGCAAGAAGCACCAACGCUCUAUUGUCUUGAACUAUCCUUGAUUGCUUCACAUUUAACCAAUCUAUCAGCCUUCAAAAAUCGGAUAUUUCCUCUUCUAGUAAGCUCCUUAUCCAGUAGAAUCUUUAUCUUCUGGUCACCAAAUCCUGAAAAUCUUUGAUUGCAACUCCAAUGUGUACAGUAGCACGUAAUAACACUAGUACCCAUUCAAAAGCUGCCCAUCCACCCAACUAUCCUCUCAAAUUUCAACUUUAUUGUUAUACCACCAUCUUAAUUUCAAAAACUUCUCAAAAUUAAUUCUUAGCUAUUAGAUGAAAGACAAUCAAGGAUAGUUGAUACCAACUAAUUUCAUUUUCUUCUUUCAAAACAACUUGCUUAUUCCAUUCCAAAUUUGUUUACAAUAACUUUGUGUCAAAUUUCCUGACUUCGUCCAAAGAAACUUCAAGACUAUUUUUCCAACGACACUACAUUCCCCUCUCUAAUAUUCCAGUUCUUUAACCCACCUUUUUUGAUGGGAUAUGAUGUAUUAUCUCAUCUCAACAUCUCAUUAGAUAACUUAACUGGAAACUUACAUUAUCUAUACCAGGCUCCCAAAAUGUUAAGAAACGUGCAUCACCUCCUGAUAGGUACACCUAUUCGUUCGAUAGGUUAUUCACAUGCCGCACAACCAACCACAAGGCAAUAUCUAAUACUCUUUCCACAUUCAACAACAAAGAAAGAUAUAAACCCAACUAGAACCAAAAAAUGGCGGAGAUGGCUACUAUAUUCAAAACAAAAAGUGCAGAGAUCAAUUGAACUAAGUCCUUACACCCAUGAGGGAAAAAAUCAAUUACCCAACAAUCAACAAGGCCAAUUCGGUAUAUAAUCCUAAGAUUGAAAAAGUAGCUGCCAGUCAACAGAUACAAGCACAAUAAAUCAGGGAAUUGAUAAUCAAACAUUGAAAGAAGCAAUAAGGGUCAUGUUAAUGAAAGAAAGAAAACCCAAAAUCAAACCAAAGGUAGUGGAAGAGAAGUACCUGAUAGGACAAACCAAGCUUAAUUGAACGGCCUUGGAUCCCGAAGAAAAUAGUGAAAAGAGCGGAGGCGAUGAUGAAGGUCCGGGUGACGGGGGCAUUGUCUGCGGACACAAAGGUAGAGGAAAAUGGAUCAGAAGAAAUUGAGGAGUAAAAUGGGUGGUUAAGGAAUCGAAAAGAAGAGUGGAAGUGAACGUACUAAAACCGGAGGGGCCGCCGUUCAUCGUCUCAGAGAGGAAGCAACGAUCCUCUCAGACGGUCACAGCCUUCUUCUUCUUCUUCUUCUUCUUGUUUCUCUAUUUGAUUUUGAUUUGUCGUCUUCGUCUGUUUGGAAUUUUGGAGUGGAAAUUCGAUAUCUCUUUCUCUUCCUCUUCCCCCCACCUCCUCGCUACGGUUGGAAACUACUAUUUAUAUAUAUUACAUAAAUUACCCCCAAAACUUUGUAAUUUGUUUACAAAUAUCAAACACUUACCGAUACAACAAAUGUAGAGUUUAUUUUAAAUUAUAACAAACACUUCAAAUAUUUACGCCGACAAUUUCAAAAACUGUAAAAGCCCACAUAUCUAUGUGUUAAAUAUCAAAAGUUAAUUCAAACGAGCACGUGAUUAAUCGACCACAAGCGCGAGGGUAAUCUUCUUCUAAACGACCCUCUUAUAGCCUAAAUGAAUGAUCGAUCGUUUCAAUCAUGAUACACAAUUGUAUAAUUUUUUUACGAUGAAAAAAUUCUACAAUUUUAACAACUGUGUUAAACAAUCAUGUGAACGACAAUACAUCGUCGUUUAGAUUGUGCAGUUCUUUUUAAACGAUGAAAGCAUGAGCUUGGGUGAUAGUUUACUCUAAUCUUUUAAUCCUCUCGUAUUUGUAAGAAUGAAAAUUUUAUUUUUGUUGAUCAUUUUCCAAUUUCAACUUAAGCUUAUUUGUGGUGAUAGUUUAAAAGAUUCGUUAUCAAAUAUGAUAUUUCUUUUGGUGUCCUUUUUCUAUUUUGAGAUUCAUUGUUCUUCUAAGUUUAAAAUGAAAAUUUUGAUUUUAGGACUUGAAUUUUGAGACACCUUGGUAUGGGCUUGGGUCUACUUCAUUUUGGGCCCAACUUUUGGGCUUGGCCUUAUUUCAAUUUACAAUUUUGAUUCAAAUUGAUGCGUAAACCAAAUUAAUCUCAUGUCUAACUACCACGUGGCGAAAAACUAUAAUUUUGUAUUGAUUUUUAAAAUUAAUUUAAAUUUGUUUUGGUCACGACAUGUAUUGAUUUAAAUUGAUAUAUUAUUCUCGUAAUAAUAAUAUUUUGUGACCAUUUUAUGUUUAUUGGUAUUUGAAUAAUUUGAUUACUUUCUUAAUUUCAAACUUUAAUUUAAAGCAAGAAGAUGGGUAGAAAGGAGGAAAUAACUUUUAAAGUAGAGUCCUUAACUAACAAAUUAACAACUAUUAAAAGGAAACAUUUGAGGGUCUCUUAGUAAAGUGGUAGAUUGUUGCAAUUAUUCUAUCACAUUUAGAUGAAUUUGAUGUUGAGAUCUAAUUACUAAUUAGUAUAAGAAAUUCAUGAAAUUAAAACAAUAAAUUGAUUGAAAAGAGUAAAGUUGCAAGGCUUUUAACAAAAUAGAUAUCUUUAUCGAUUUACCUUUCAUUACACUUGUAUAUCUUUUCUACCCAAUGUAUUAAUCACAGAUUGUCAUGUCAUUUACGAAAAAAAUGCAUAAUUAAAUUUUAAAUUAAUUAAAAGUUGACACGUGUUCCAAAUUGAAAUUGAAGACAUAAAUUGUACGUUUUAAUGAUGACAGUUGAAGGUUAAUUAUUUUUAAAUAUUAUUUAUUUGGGUUAAAGUUAAAGCAAAAUAAUAAUAAUGACGCAAAUGCUUGUGAUUAAGCCUAUGGGUUUGAUUCAUGGACCAACCAGACCGUCCAAGUCCAUAAAGCUUGCCAGAGAACUUUUAUAAAUAGAGGAAUUAUGAUCAUUCGUAGAUUUAAUAUUUUUACUCCAAAAGGCCUAAAAGAGAUUUUUUUUUUCCAUGCUAAAAGAUUGAAGUUAUAAACUUUAUUGCAAGACUCCAACUUUAAAAACAUCACGUACUCUGUUUCCUCAAAUCAAACAUAAACAUUCAGUAGAGAGAGAAUUAAAGGAUGAAAAUGAACCUCAUCGAAUCAUAAUCAACAUUAACACAAGUUAAACUUCACGAAUUAAAUUUCUCUGAAAUUCUCAACUGAACAAACUCAAUUUAUUGUUUGUGUUACUUUUGUAUAAUAUAGAACUGCAGAUAUAUAAAGUUAAAAUUUUAAUACGAUGAAUGAGUUAAUUAAUGAAAAUGCGUGACAUAUUAUAAUAAGUGUUUUUUAUUAAAUUGGACUUUUAUAAGUAUAUACAAAAUUAUAAAUCAAACUAUUUGAAUGGAUUCUAAGUUAAAACUCAAAUGAAUAAGACAACAUUUGGCAAAAACAUCAAUGAUCAAGUCAUACAAAUAAAUAUGUUGCAAUGUAAAAAUCACUAACAUCACUAAUGAUACAAAAUAUCCAAAAACACAUAUAAUCACAUCUCUAAAUAUUAAAAUCCAUAAACUCAAUCAUCAAUAAAAAUAACUCUAUGAAAAUUCCUAACUAUAUAUAAGACUACAAAAUUAAAAAAAUGGUAUAGAAAACUCUUGAAGAACUCAUGCCACUCUUUCUAGACAUGAAUUCAACAAUCUCCAGCUUUGGAUUCCAUUCUUGGUUCCCAAGAAAUGCUUUCUUGCCUAUAAAAUUCAAUAGAAAAAGAAUAUGAACUUUUCCCGCUCUAAAAUUCAACCAUAAAAAGAUGCAUUUAUACAAAAAGUUGAGCAACAUUGCAAUUGCUAUAGUACAUGUCACGAAGCUAUACCAAAAUUUUUCUAAACAUAGCAACGCAACUUAAUUAUACAAACGGUGGUCUUACAAAGUUAUGCUUUAUAGUUUUUCGGUUGUUGCAUCAUCGUCUUCAAUAACGAAACGCUAUAUUGUGCAUUGAGGUGUUGUUUAAGCGUGUUUUUAAAGCUUGGAGCCGACCUUUUUCAAAGUUUCCAAUUCUUUAGUUAAGGACCCAAAAGCUUCAGAUUAUUAGUUUGAUUAUUAGUUUUCUUAAUGAAAAUAUCGAUUGUGUGUCAAAAUACUCAAAAUCUGUAAAUCAAAUAAAUAGAUUCAUGAAAGUAAUAAAAUUCACGCAUUUUGUUUUGUUGUGCUUCAAAUGUCUAUAAUACAUAUUGAAUUAUUUGUGCACAUUUUUAUGUUAAGUGAAUUAUAUAUUAUACAAUCAAGACUUUAGAAUCAUGUUAAUGUGACAAUGACGGUUCAUGUUGCCUUACGACAUAUGAAUGAACUAAAAGACAUCUAACUCAAUAAACUCAAUCAUAAUCAACACUAAAAUCUCGCUAAGUUACUAAAUGAUCAAGCUUGAAAAACCUCCAUAUUGAAGAUGAGAAUCUAGCCUCCCAAAGGGAUAACUUUGCUCGACUCCAUAGUUCAAUCACAAAGCUAAAAACCUAAAGGCUAAGUUACAAAUCGUAAACGGAAAACUAGAAGGGUAGUUGAAAAGUCGUCAAAUUCAUCUUCUCUUCUAACCUAAAAAUAAUGGAACAAAUAUCUUUAUAAGUUAUCGUGAGCAUCGAGACUUUACGUACUAUCGCAUGCAAUGGGGAGCAAUCUACAUUAGUUGACUAACAUUGCACAUAUUGGCUACCCUAUCUCCCUUCGAGCAUUGUAUCUCGACAUUUAGACAAUGACAUUUUUAUAACUUUCUCAAACAUAUUUCCUUUAUAACUCUAAUUUGUCCAAAAUGCUUUGAAUGACUCCCACCGCUCAAUUUCCUCUAAAUAAAUCAUUUAAGCUCUUACAAAUUUCUCGAAAUAACAUGAUUAAUCAACUCUAACCUAACGCACUUUAAAUGUUAUAUACUAAUAAGAACUUAACAUGAUAAUAGUUCGAGACACGUGUCAAAAUCUGAUUGCUCAAAUCCUAACUAGUAGCUAAAGAAGAGAUGGAAAAAGAAUUGAAGUGGGAGUGAGAAUAGAGAAGAAGAAAGGUACAAAAAAGUGAGAGAGGCACUAUGAGAAAUCCAAUGAACAAAACCCACCAAGUGAGGGAUCUUGCUUUUCUUUCUUUCUUUCUUUCUUUCUUCAUUCCAAUUCCAUUCUAUUCCAUACCCUUCUUUUUGGUCAUACCAUUUUGGCAUACCAUUUUUGGUGGGUCACCUAACCUCAUACCCACCCAUAUAUUAUUACAAAAGAAAUAUAUAUAUAUAUAUAUAUCUAUAUAUAAAACAUAAAAACAAGUUGGGUCCCACAUCCAUCAUUUUUCUAAAUUAACAAAAUUUCCCUCUUAAUAAUAAUCAUUAUUAAUUUAUUACAAAAAAAUUUUAAAAAAAAAAAUUCUCUAGGUGUUACUGCCCUUUAAACUACUUCACCUCCCUCUUUCCCUCCCCUUUUUCUGCCUUUUGAAAUAAAGCUAAAUGCCUCUAUUUGGCACCACAUGUGAGUUCUUAAAGACAGAAAUGCCUUUUUUUUUCUUUUUUAAACUUCAUUAACUUCACUUCUGGGUUUUCUAUUGUGUAUUUUACUUCCUUCAUUCACUUGUCUACUAUAUAUAUUUAAUUGCAUUCACAGACAUAUUCAAAACCGUACCUGCAGGCAGAAAGUAAACACCUACCACAAACCACUACUCCCCAAAAUGUAGAAAAAAUGUUAUUUGAAAAAAUUACACAAUACGUUCACCAAAUUGCAUGCCAACAUACGAUCUUAAUAAGAAAAGUUCAUGUCAAUUUAUAUUGAGAGUUCAAUACAUAACAACUACUCUACUUUAUUUAGAAGAUUGUAUCAAUGUGUGGAAACCUUUUCUUUUUAUAUUAUAUGAAUGUAAAUAUAUAAUACAUUAUUAAUACGUGGAAUAAUGGGAUUACAGACAACAUUGAAGAAAUCAAGAAAAGGAAAUAAGAAUGAAUAGAAGAAAAUAGAAGAAAGAAUAAUAAUUAAGUGGAGCAAAAUUUAAGGGAAACAAAUGGCAGCUUUAUUUAUUUAUUUAUUUAUUUAUAAAUAAUCAAUAGUGAAAUUAAUAUAAUUAAGCAUCGUGAUUGGCGGAAGUGUUUUUGACCAAAGUAAUUUAAGAUCAUUGAUUAAUUAAAUAAUUAAGAGUGAGAGGAGGACUCAUUGUUCUUAGGAACUAUAUAUAUUAUGUUAUAUGCUAUAUUAUUAUGUCAUUGAUUUGCAUAACAUCUGUAUCCCAUGUUCUUACAUGUUUUCAAUAUAAACACUUUUCCCUAUUUUCUCUUUUACUUUUAUUUUAGUCCACUUGUAUUUUGCACUUCAAAUAUAUAUUUGCUUCUACUUUUAAAUUAAUAUUUUUGUAACCAUAUUAUUAUAUUCUUUACCAAACUUUAUUAUAUUCCAUGGGGAAAAAAAAAAGAAAGAAAGAAAGAAAGAAAAGAGAUGGGUAAUGGGAUUAGGAUGCCUAAGGAAUAAGAAUUAUUACCUUUUUUGUUUUGCCCUUUUGGGUGCCACAAUACCUCCACUCUAAAUCAAAGCAAGAAUCACUCCCUCUUUUACUAACUCUUGUUAAUUAUAGUUAAAUUUAGCUCAAACAUUUUAUAUAAUCAUUCAGCUUCCCUAAUUUAACACUUAUGUCACAAAUAUAAUUAUUACCUACUAUGGUUUUGGUAUAUAUAUAUAUAAUUUCAAGUUUCUUCUUGUGUUUUUAUUUAACGUUAAACGACCAUAAUAAAAUAGACAAACAUAUAGUCAAUUUAUAAAUACAAUAUAUAUAUAUAUAUAUAAGCUCUCCUUUACAACAAAAUGUAGAAGUGAGUAUGAUAAGACCCAAAAUUCGGGUCGACCAAAACCAAUGGUAAGUUUGUGUUCCUUUCAUAGUCAAAAUCCAUUUGAACAUUAUUACUUAAUCAACCAUUGUCGAUUAUUCGGUUAUUGUUUGGUUAAAAAAUCGACUAUGAUCGAUAGAUUUAUUCAAUAAUUUGUAAGAUUUCUUUGAUUUAAAAAACUUGUGAGAUUCGAGUAGAUAACAAACUAAAAUUUUAGAAUCGUCAUAAUCAAAUUAAGAUUGCACCAUUGUUUCCAACAAAACAAAAAUAAGAUAUAUAGGCCAAAAAAAUAUAUAUAUGUAAUUUGGUCCAUUUAUAAGUAAUAGAAGAUACUUUAUUUUUAUUUUUUAAAAAAAGUAUUAAACUUUUGCACGAUAGUUAAUGUCAAAACGAGUAUAUAAUUCAAUUGAAUGUAUUAACGAUGCAUAGAUAAGUUGAUCAAUUAAAUUCUACGUCAAACUAAUUCUAAUUAUGUGAUUUUUGUAUUUAUCACUUUUAGAUUAAAUUUAGAUUUAAUCCAAAGAGUUAGAAUUUAAUCUUAUUUUUAUAGUUUCAUUAAAUGACCUUUAAAUAGUCGAUAAAAUAUAUUUUCACAAAAAGUUAAUACUACAAAGGUUAAAUUUAAAACGCUUUAUGAAAGUAUAAUUAGAGAGUACCAACUUUCUCUUUUCAUACGUCAACAAGAUUUUUUAAUCGUACACAAUUUAUUUUAAGUUGUAUUUUAAAUAUUAUUCAACUUAUUUAUAGUAAAAUAUCACUAUCUAUUAAACAUUGAUAGACAUCUAAUAAUGUCUAUCAUUUAUACACGGUGAUAUUUUGUAUUCUAUUUGAAAAAUAAAACGACCGUUUUGUCAUUUAAAACAAUUACCAAUUACUUAAACGAAAACAUGGAAAGUGUGUUCUCAUUUUUAUGAAUAUUGAAAAAGAUUUCAAUUCUUUUAGUAUCAACCAUAACGUUAUAUAGAGCUUCUCGUUGACGAGUGUUUGGUAUUAACAAACACAUUAUUCUUUAGUUUCCUUUCCUUACCUAAUAAAAUCCUAAAAGCAUUUAAAAGAUUAAAUCUUUUCAUUUAUCAUGAGAAAGAAAAAAGAAAAAAGAAAAAAGAAUAAUUCUUUUCAGAAAAAAAAAAAAAAGAAGAACAAAAGAAGGAAUCAGAAUUUAUAAAUAAAAUAAUUAUUAACAAAUGAAGUUCCUUUUCUUAAUAUUUUUGUUUAGGGUUAAAAUUAAAUUAAAUAGAUUCUUGAGCUUUAUAAAAGAAUGGUUUAGUGUAUUAUUAUAACAUUUAAUUUAUGCUUUUUUUAGUAUUUAAUUGGUGUGUUUAAACUUGUAAACGUGUAUUAAUAGAUUCUUAAUUUUAGUUCCAAUAAUUUCAUAAACUAUCAAAUAAGCUAUUGACUUAUUUAUUAUUUCUUAAUUAAGAUGUGUUGACUUAUUAGAAUACAAAUUAAUGAAAGUUAAAAAAUAAAUCUAUAACGUCAUUUCAGUUGGUAAACGAUAAAUGUGUUGAAAAUAUUUAUUAAAUGUAAUAAAAUUUCAUAUUCAGACAUUGAUAAAUAACGUCGUCACACAUUAAUAGAACAUACAUUAUUGUUGAUUUAUCAAAUAUGAAGAAUAUCAAAAUAUAUCCAACAAUAUUGUUGAAAUGCGAAACGUGGAAUACUAGUAUAUCAUUCGAAAUGAUAAAAUUAUAAAGUAUAGCAUCAUUAAUUCAAAAUGCAUUUCAAAUAUAUUAUUAGUUUGAAAUGUCGAUAGUGAUAUACUGGUUCAAAAUUCAAUUUUAAGUCGAUCAUUGGUGUAACAAUAGUCUAUCGAUAUAUAUUCAAAAUAGUUACCAACAAGUCAUAUUGGAUCAUUAUGAGUUGACGUUAUUGCACUAAAAAAUUUAUAUAUAAGACAAUAUAAGUUAGGAAUUAAUUUUCUAGUAGUUUUUUUUUUUUUUUUUGAAAAUGUAUUGUAAUACAACUAGAAGUGGGAGACUUGAACUUUGGGAUCACUUGUCCUCGAAUACAUACAGAUGUCAGUUGAACCGAGUUCAUAUUAACAAAAAAAAAAAAAAAUUAAUGACACAUUUAUAUAAGAAAUAUAAAGUUUCCUUCCUUAGCAUCCAAUAUAUGUUUGUGUGUAUAUAUAACUGGCUUUGUAUCAAUACUAUUAGUUGGCCUAGUGGCAAAUAGGUUCGGGUUACUAUAAAAGUCCCGAAUUAUUUUUACUGAACUAUAAAGUCUCUCAUCGACGAAAUUUAUGCAUUCGUCACUAAUAGUCUAGUGUUUUUUGUGAGAUUAAUUGAUACGUGUAAGUUGGCUUGAACACUCUAAAUUUAAUUUUUCUCGGUAAUCUAAUCCAAAUUUACAAUUUUAAUUAGGAUUUUAUUUUCCCUCUAUUAUUGGAAUUGCCCUUUCAACAAAUAUAAAGAAUAUUUGAACAUUAACCAAACAUAAAGACUGCAACUCGAAUUUAUUCUUAUUCCAAUCAUAAAACUUUAUCAACAAAGAAAAUAUACAUUUUUCAAACAUAAAAAUUCAAUAUUAAUAAUAACUAUCUUUCUUUCCAUUCUCAUUCCAUCUAACCUUGGAAAUAUUAUUGUUUGUUUGAACGUACCAUACCAAGAAUCAAAUCAUUCUUAUGCUUAGUUAACAAAAGUAAUCGAUAAGAUUAAGUACGUGACUAUUACAUUUGAAACUAUACUCUUUUUUUACACGUGAUUUUGAUAUGAUCCUAAUUACAAAACGAUCUAUUCUAAUGAAUUAUCUUGGUAAAUAAUUUUUUCAUAGUUAAAAAAGAACAAAAAAAAAAAAAAAAUCAAUCACUCACUCAAGGGCCUUUUGAAAUUAACAAGCUAAAAAGGGUCUUUUUUUUUUUUUUUAAUUCUCUUUUCUAAAAACAUCUUUUGCAAUUAAUUCUUAACACUAAAUGCCCUAUUGAGUAGAAUGACUAUACAUAUUGACUUUAAUUUUAGUUGCAAUCAAUUAAAGUACUUCACAUGAUGUGAAUGAAAAUGAAAGUACGACAAAAAGGAGAUUUGUGGAUCAAAUAACCACUCAUGUCAAUUACCGUUGAACUAAAUUAGGAUUUGAAAUCCAAAUUCGACACUCGAUAGUUUCAUCAUUUCUCUGCAUCCCCUACAACCCUAGCAUUACAUCAUUAUUUAUUACUUAUACAUCCUGAAAGCUUUUAAGAGUGAAAGUUGUCCUCAUAAAACAUAAACCAAAGCCCUUUCAGUAGUAUUUGUCUUCAUUCACGUACUUUUCUAGAAAAUUUGACGUAGUUACUGAAAUGGAAAGUAUACCUCAUUUAUUUUUAAAUUUUUAAAACCUUUAUUAAUUAUACCAUUAUACAUCUAAGAGGGGUUCAUUUACACGUUUAGAUAUUAUUCGCAUGACGAUUUCUUUUAACUUACAUACAUGUGUGUAUAUAUUCUCACAUAAUUCCUAACCUCUAUAUGCAAUACUUUCUCUAUACUUUGAUUUAUAAAAAGCUACAUUUGUCAAGCUAUAGUGGAACACAGAAUUUUGCUUCCAACUUUUCACCUAGCUACCUACUUGAAUUUGAAUUCAACUUUAUUGUUUAUUGUAUAUAUAUAGAGAGAGAUAGAAAAUUAAAUAAAAAUAGAUUAAUAAAAUGGAAAAUAUAAAAAUUAUAAAAAUUGAGCAUCUUUUUCCAAAAUUUUGUCUCUUAUUUUACUUAAAGGUUGAUAUAAGCAAUUCAAUCAAGAAUCCAAUUCUUUGCACCUCCCAAAGACAAUCCCUUUUCAAUUUUUCAUUUUACUAUUUAUCUCAAUCUCAUCUUCUUAUCAGAAUCAACCUUUUAUUUUUACUUUUUAAAAUUUAAUUUCAUUUAUGAUUUACUUUCAUAUUUAAUUAGACUAAUAAAUUUGUGGUUUGAAUUUAUGGAAAUAUUUAAAGAAUGAAAAGGAAAGGUUAAAUAUGAUUUCUAUUUUCUAUAUGUGUGUGUGUGAUUAUAUUUUGGAGAAAAUUGCUAAAAAUAUAAAAGGUAAUGAGUGGAAUAUAUGCCAUUGCUUUUACAUUUGUCUUAGUUUUAAAUUAUAAAAACAAAUCAUGUAUAUAAUUCAAUCUAUAUCUCUUUUUUUUAGAUUCUUUUCGAUAAACUAUCCCUAAAAAUAGAGAAAUAAUUUUUGGGUUGAAAAAGGAAAAUCGUAAUAAUUAGAAUAUUAGACCAACAAAAAAAAAAGUGAUUUUGUUAUAGGAAAUGUAAAUAGUUUAUUAAUUUUUCUAUUUUUGAAAUAAAACACUUUGUUAUUGUAAAAAAGAAAAAAAAAAAACCCAAAACUUAACUUAAAAUGAACCAAAUAUAGUAAAAUUUUAGAUUAUAUUACUCAUAAGUACCGAUAGAUUUUUAUUAAUGUCUACCAAUGUAAUGAUGUCAAAAUUGAUAAGCAUUUGAUAGAUUGAGUUUGUCAUUUAUGUCGUAUUAAAUUUUGCUAUACUUUAUAAAUAUUUUUUUUAGUAAUUUCAUAUUUUUUUAUGUCAAUUAUUUAUAAAUAUUUUUUUAGUGAUUUUUAUCAUUGACAGACUCAUAUGAAUAAUAUAAUCCAUCACUUAUAGACUUUGGAAAUUUAAUCAAACUUUUAUUAUGUUUGAAAUUUUUUUCUUUUGUAUUUUGGUAUAUCGACAAAUAUUUUAGAUAUGAUACAUUUGUAAUUGUUCUUAAAGAUGAAUAUAGAUAUAUAUAAUUGAAAGAUAAUAUAUUUAUUUAUAUAAGAUAUAAUUACGAGUGAAACCAAAAUUAAAGCUAUGUAGACUUAUAUUCAAAAGAAACAUUAUCAUAUAAUUGUAGACAUGUUGAGAGUGAAAAUGGUUAAAAUGUUGAGUGAUGAAAUUGACUUGAGCAUCGAUUAAAUAUCAAUAUCAAUAUCGAUUAAAAUAAAUUAAUAUAGUGAAAGUAUCGAUUCACUUAUAACAUUAAUUGAAAAUAUCGAAAAACGUCUCAUUCUCGGUGUAUUUUGAAGCAUAGGAAAAACACAGUACAAAGGAUCUAUCUAUGUAUAUGGGUGCAGUUUUAACUUUAAUAAUGUAAAGAGAUUUCUGUCAUGUCAAUUUCAUCCUCAUCUCUUCUCUAUGCCUAAUCCUUCUAUGCCAAUCAUUAAUUUCAACUAUUGCUUCUUUAACAAAAAUAAUCAUCAAUAAUUAUGGCCUCCAAUUUCUAAUUCUUUCUAUCAGUUUUAACUAUCAACUAUUCCUUUCAUUAAAUUCCAUUCUAUGCAACAAAAAAAAAAAAAAAAAACGAUAUGAUUGUUGUUAUCGUAAUUAGCACAUAAAGUAGCAAUCUAACACCAUAUGGUGUUACUUUAAACGACGCUUAUUGUAUUAACAUGCAAAAGAAAGCUAAGGUUCGUCAAUAGUAGAGUGUCAUUGUCACUUCAUGGAUCAUCAAGUUGAUUUCCAAAAGAGAUUGCAUUUCGUCAAAUAACAACGUAUGGGAUGAUUUGAAAAAACGUUUUUCAUCAAACGAAUGGAGGAUCAAUGAUUUGUCGAUAUAUCUCCGAAAUCAACUUUAGGAUGUGUUACAAUAAGUUAUAUAAUAUAAUAUAAUAUCAACCAUCCAUGCAAAUAUCGUUCUUAUUUUAUGUUAUUUACGAGAAAAAUAUAAUAUAAUUUAUUAAUAUAGAUAAUAAUAAACAAUAUCAAUUUUAUUUGAUGCCAUAAUAAUGAGACUAAAAUAGUCAAUGAUUAAUAGACGUAUUGAUUAACUAUUGAUUAUAUACAUUAUAAUAAUAAUGAAAUAAUAGUAUACAUUGAUUGCUUAUAAUCAUGACAUAGUUACUUAAUUAAUUAAUCAAUGUGCAUUUUACUUUUUGUUAUUAUUAUACUUUUGGUUCUUUCCCACUUUGUAACGUUUUGUAUUAACUUACAUUAGAGUGAAAAUGAACCUUCAAUUAUGGUAAUAUGUUUAUCUUAUCCAUUCAACUAUAUACUAACAAACAACUAUAUAUUUUACAUAUAUACGUAUAUAACCAUAUACUAUAUCUUUUCUAUUUUGAUUUGCAUUUUUUUAAUAUAGUGAUUGGAUUCUUAGUCAAAGUUCAAACCAAAACAACUUUUGGAAAUACGACCGUUAGGUAUGUAAACACAUAAAGCCUUGAAGAUUUUAUCCAUAAAAACAUAGAAUAGAGAAGAAGUGUAAUGAUAUAUGCAAUUUGGCAAUAAACAUGACUCCAACUGGCAACACUUUAAUUAAAUUGUUUCAAAAUGGCAAAAACUUAGUUUUCUUUAAGGUCAUAGACACUUCAAGGACACAUAAUCAAUUCAAUGCUAAGACACAUGUGCGCUUUCUAUACCUUUUCUUCUACAUCGAUGAAUCCGCGAUUCCAAAUUCUAUUUUAUGUUUUUAAAUCGUUUUAGUUAAGUAAAGAUUGUAAGUUGAGGAAGAAAAGUGGAGGAUUUGUUUAUUUGUGGGUGAAAAAUGAAUGAGAUUAUUAUGUUUGAUAUCAUUGAGAAGUAAGAAAAAGGAAGUCAAAGUUAUUUAUUCAUAAGCAUACACAAAUAUCUAUCUAUUGUAUUGUAUGAUAGGCUUGGGUUAGCUCAUAUUUAAUAAUAUAUAUGUUUUUGUUUAUAAUUAUGAUUAGGAAAGUUUUAAUUAAUGAAUUAAUUUGAGAGAGAAAGAGAAAGAGAAAGAGAGAGAUUUAUUGUUAGUUUUUGGUGAUGAAUAAAGACAGGCUGGAAGGAUCCAAACCCAACCCCACUUCUAUUAUUGUUAAGAGAGAAGAGAAGCCAAAGGAAAAAAUGAAUAAAAAGCUUAUGAAAUCUUUCAUUAUUAUAUUAUCUCAACACAACAAGUUAUUCAAAUUCACCACAUUGCCUCACCAAGCCAUUAACCAAAUACAAUCAAAAAAAUAUUAAUUAUUAUUUUUAGUUUAUGUAUUUUUUAAUUAAUUUGAAAAUAUAAUUCUAUAUUGUAUUUUCCUUUUUUGAAUAUUGUAUUAUUAUUGUAUAAUAUUUUGAUUAAAAAAUGUUAUGUUAGGUUAUAAAUUUAGUACUAGUCAGAAAGAACUUAGUCGGUUUAGUUUGAUAAAACUUUGACAUACCGUCUAAAUGAUUACCAAAUGACUGGCUUUUAGAAAGAAAAUAAUAUUGACUUGGAUUAUUUAUUAAGUUUGUUCGGACUAAUAUAACAAAAUAUCAAAAUAUUUUUUUAAUUUGAUUAUAUUUUAAAAAUUGUUUUAAUAGUUUUUUCUUCUUUUGGGUGGUUUAUGAUAAUGAUAAUUUUGUAAAAAAAGAAAAUUAGAUGGAUUAAAAUUGUAAUUAAAAAGAAAAAGAAGAACUUUACUUAGAAAAAGCAAGAAAAGGAGGUUGGGGGGGGGGGGGGGGGGGGGGGGGGGGGGGGGGUGCUUCUCGUCUCUUCUCUCUCUAUCUCUCUCUCUCUCUCACUCUGCUUUUCUUUUUCUUUUUCUUGCUCCCUCUGCUAAGCAUCUUUUCCUUACUUUUGUUUUAUCUUCUUUUUCUCCAUUUUAAUUUCUUCUUUCUCCCUUUUCUCUUCUUCUUCUUCUACUUCUUCUUUCCCUCUCAUUCUUCUCAAUCCCCUCUCCCUUUUUCUCUUAUUCACUCACUUCUUCUUCUUCUUCUUCUUUCUCACCAUCAUUUACUUCUUCUUCAACAAUUCUCUCUUCUUCUUCUUCUUCUUUUUCUUCUUCCUUCUCCCUUCCUCACUUUUUUUCACAUUCAAUCACACAAACCUUCUCUCUGUUUUUUAUUUCCAGGUUAGUUUGCUUGCUUUCCACGUGGGUUUUCUCUUUUUCUUCUCUUAUCAUCAUACCAUUGGAAUAUUUGGAUGAUAAUCUCUCUACCCAUUUGCUGAUCUCCCCUGAUUUGGCUGAUCAACUCCAUAAUUCUUCCCCAAUUGUUUUUUUUUUGUCUUUUUUUUUUGUUUUUGUAACUGUGGAAUAGAAUUCAACAAGUUUUGUGAGUAUUAUUGGGAAUGGUAUAAGAACAUUGCAAUUGCUGGAGUUUUGGUAAAACAAGGAGGUCUAAUCUGUGAGUGAUUUUAGUUUGUGUGUGUUCAACUGGAUUUCGGAUUCCAUGGGGCUCUGUCAUGGAAAGCCCAUUGAACAAAACCCAAAACCCAAUUCAGAAAACCCCAAUUCAGUGAUUCAAUCUGAAACCCCCAAAACGCCAACCAAUUUCCCAUUCUAUAGCCCAAGUCCUCUGCCCAAUCUCUUCAAGAGCUCCUCUCCGGCCAACUCCAGCAUCACCUCCACCCCUCUCCGCCUUUUCAAGCGCCCCUUCCCGCCACCAUCUCCGGCCAAGCACAUUCGGGCUCUUCUCGCUCGCCGUCAUGGCUCCGUCAAACCCAAUGAGGCAUCUAUCCCCGAAGGAAGCGAGUGCGAUGUAGCCUUGGAUAAGAACUUCGGCUAUUCCAAGCACUUUGCCGCUCACUAUGACCUUGGUGACGAAGUGGGUCGCGGCCAUUUCGGCUAUACUUGCUCUGCCAGAGCUAAAAAAGGCUCCUUCAAAGGCCAACAAGUCGCUGUCAAAAUCAUCCCUAAAUCCAAGGUUGAUUUUACUUACUUGCGUCUCUGUUUUCAACUACAAAUUUGCAUCCACUAAGUUGUUGUAGUAUUAUGGUUCUAUGUUCUUAUUUUCAUCCUGCGCAAUGUCAAGAAUAUCGGUUCACCAUCUCGUAAUGGUUGGACAAUUUAUUAAUUUAUUGGAUUUAUGAAUCUGGAGUUGUUUUUAUUUCGGAUAAUUUUUUGGUGUCUCAUGAUUUUCUUUUGUGUAAUGCGGGGAAUUUUGAGGUUGGAGAAUUUUUGCUUUGAUGAAAUGUUCGUGGAGCCCCUUCUUUUAUUAGCAUUUAAGGUGAUUGUGUGCCUACUUAACCCAAUAUCAUGUUCGUCUGUCUGUUUUAUGUUGGGGAAUUGGGACCAAAAAAGCUGUAUAAGGCACUUCUUUACUUCUUUUGGUUAGUAAUGAAUCAUCCUUACAUUGUUUUCUUUGUCAGUUAUGCCACAGGCUUGGGUGAAAUCGAACUACAAAUCUAUUUAAAUUAACUAAAAUAGUUCCUAACCAGCUUAUGUAACUUGUUCAUAAAAUAUUGAUUGCUAAAAUUAGUUAAUAUAAGAUACAUUCUUACUUUUAAAUUUUUGGUUGAAUUGGACGAUAGUCUUUUUAUAGACGAUGAAUGCCUUUUGGACAUGAAUUCAGCAUUUUGUUACGAGUAGUUUUCUGGUUCUUAUUGGGAAGAAAAUAAUGUGCAGAUGACUACUGCAAUAGCGAUAGAGGAUGUGAGAAGGGAAGUGAAAAUACUGCGGGCCCUCACUGGACAUAAAAACUUGGUGCAGUUCUAUGAUUCAUAUGAAGAUGAAGAAAAUAUUUACGUUGUGAUGGAGUAAGUUUAUAUUGCCCCUACCGACCAACCUCCAGCGUGAUUGAGUAAAUUCACACAACAAUUUUAUUUUAUUAUUUAUGCUCUUCAGGUUAUGCGAAGGAGGUGAACUUCUUGAUAGGAUACUUUCGAGGUAUCCUUUUAUUGUUGCAUGCUACUAAACUGAAUGUACAGGAAGAUCGUUUACUCUAGAACGUCUUCGGUUUGGAUUUCUUAGUUGUUGAUAAUCUUUUGAAUUCUUUAGGGGUGGCAAGUACUCAGAGGAAGAUGCAAAAGUUAUCAUGGUUCAGAUUUUGAGUGUGGUCGCUUACUGUCACCUUCAAGGUGUGGUUCAUCGUGACCUCAAGCCUGAGGUAAAUGGCUAAAAAUUUUGCUCAUUUGUAUUUAUUUUUAUUCAUGUAUUCACCCAUCUACAUCAAUCAAGUUCCAGCAUCUUAAUGGUCGUUUCAUGAUAUUUCUGCUUUUCAUUUUCAAUUUCUUGUUUAUAGUUGUUGACAAAAAUGUGUUUGUUAACUAUUUCCUUUUCCUCGUUUCUCUUUCUUUUUUUUAAAUAUUCUUAAAAACCAUAUUACAAGUUUUAGAAAUGAAGAAAAAUUCUACAAUGACUAUUUUUAUAUAUAUAAAGUAAAUACAAAAAAAUACUUUUGGAUAUUUUAUUUAGAAAGUAUUUUUUCAUGUAAAUUUUAAAUGUUCUAGGUUAGAGUUUGAGUACCCUAAAAAAAGAAACUUACAAUUUGAGAGAACAAAACAUUCAAGGGUUACAAACACUACAACACAUCUCUGUUUAUUUUUUAAUAUAAAAAAAGAAACAACACAAAUAAUAACUGAAAGUUGGUUUCAUUUUUCUUCUUUAAAAAAGUAAAAAACAAGGAAUAGAAAUUAGAAUUCCUAUACAAAAGAUAUAAAUAAAAGAAACUAGGAGUGUUAUCAAAUGCCACAAUUUCUUCGGGUUGCAUUUUGGUUUUGAAAGAAUUUGGAUCUAAUUAAUACAGUUUCUUUAGUACACAAAAAUGUGGAGGUGAGAUUUGAACCUCUAACCUGAAGCAAAGUAACAAGAGUCAAAAUCAUGACACGUAGCAAUUUCUCUUUCUAACAUUUGUUUGUUCAUCUUACUGACAUUCGAAUUGGUUGUUUACUAAUCUUUGUGAUAUUUUUGCACUUUUUUCUUUCUAAUUGUGAUACGCCUUUUACUUCAGAAUUUUCUUUUUACAUCAAAAGAUGAGACUUCCACUCUUAAAGCUAUUGAUUUCGGCCUUUCUGAUUAUGUAAAACCAGGUCUGGACUCUGAACUCUUGUUUUUUUAUCCAACCAUCUAUUUGAAAUUAGACUGCAGAUUUCUGACAUUUUGAUCCCUUUAUACAGAUGAGAGAUUGAAUGACAUUGUUGGAAGUGCUUAUUAUGUUGCUCCUGAAGUUUUACAUAGAUCAUAUGGAACCGAGGCAGACAUGUGGAGUAUUGGUGUAAUUGCUUAUAUUCUCUUGUGUGGAAGUCGACCAUUUUGGGCCCGAACAGAAUCUGGUAUUUUUCGAGCUGUUUUAAAGGCAGAUCCAAACUUUGAGGAAGCCCCAUGGCCUAGUUUAUCUAUUGAUGCAAUUGAUUUUGUGAAGAGACUGUUGAACAAAGACUAUCGCAAGAGAUUGACUGCUGCUCAGGCCCUGUGUAUGUUUGCUGAACUUCAUUGUGAAGAUCUUUCUUUAAUUGCUCUGCUUAGAAAGAUAUAUUUUAUAGCAUUUGUUUGUUUUAUUUUGUAAAGCUCAAACAACAAUUCUUGCAUGUAGGCCAUCCGUGGUUAGCUGAUCACCAAGAUAUCAAGAUACCAUUGGAUACGAUUACUUUCAAGCUUGUCAGAAGUUAUAUUUGCUCAUCUUCACUGCGUAAAUCAGCGUUGGGUGUAAGUAUCAUCAUACCAUUUAUAUUUUAUUGUUUUAUUGUAUUAGGUCAUUUUUCUGUUUUGUUUUUCGGCCUCGUAAGAUGCCAACUUCUUGCAACUGAUUGGUUUGGGACAUCAAUUUUCCACAGGCUCUUGCAAAGACAUUAAGUGCUGUUCAACUAGGUUAUCUUCAGAAGCAAUUUACACUGUUGGGGCCUAACAAGAAUGGGCUCAUUUCCAUGCAAAACUUCAAGACGGUUGGAUCUUUUUCUGAUAUCACAUACGAUGAUAAAGACUUCCAAGAACGUAUUGUAAUGGAAUUAUAAUUUUGCAGGCUUUAAUUAAGAACUCAACAGAAGCAAUAAAGGAUUCGAGAGUUCUUGAUUAUGCCAACGUGGUAAAAGUUCUUUUUAUUUUCUUUCAAUUCUAAUACGUCUUUGAAAGAAAUAUGGGUGACGUGUCAUAUCAAUUAUGUACGCGUUGCAUGCUCUCUGGCAGGUUAGUUCCAUUCAGUACAGAAAAUUAGAUUUUGAAGAAUUCUGUGCGGCUGCCAUAAGUAUAUACCAACUAGAGGGAAUGGAGAGCUGGGAGCAACAUGCCCGGCAUGCUUAUGAUCAUUUUGACAAGGACGGAAACCGACCAAUAAUGAUCGAGGAACUUGCUUCAGUACGCUCUUUUUCUCUGUUUUGUAGAUCGUUUGCUGUGCAUGUGGUUGAAGUGGCAUGUUUUAUGAUAUAUGUUGAAAUGCUUUAAAUAUGUUCUCCAACGCUCUGGAUGACCAGGCACAGAGUCCUGCCUUGGUGGGGGCUCAUGGCGAACGCCCUUGGAACUUAAAAGUUGGCACUAUAGGCUGUUUAUGAUUUUGGGUCCAGUGUUUAGAGAGAUGUCGUAUAUAAACACCCUCUAAUUCUAUUGGACCUCUGCAUCUGAGUUAUCUGUUUUUCUUUUUCCUUUAUUAAUAUAUAUGUUACAUUCUCUCUCAGGAACUUGGACUUAGUCCUUCGGUACCGGUCCAUGUGGUUCUCCAAGACUGGAUCAGACACUCAGAUGGGAAGCUUAGCUUCCUGGGAUUUGUCAGACUUCUACAUGGUGUCUCUUCUCGCGCAUUUCAGAAGGCAUAAAGAAAAACCCAGAUAAACAAACCCAAAAUUUUCUAUUGUUAAACUUCCUUGACCAAAAUUGUUGAAGGAAUUGGAUAUGAUUCUGAACUCGGGGCGUGCCGUAGUGAAGAACCAUAAUAAUAUGAUCCUGCUCAGAAGGAAUAGGGGUGCAGAAGCUUGUUGCCUAAGAAGCGUUGUUGGUGCAUGUUGUGAUGUGAGGUGUAAUUUGUUGUAGUUGUGCAAGUUGUUUCUUACGUUUUGUCAUUGAAGUGAUUGGUGGGGGUUGAAAUUUAGAGGAUUAUUGUACAGUGGAAGAAGAACAGAGGAGGAUAAUGUACCCAGGUUUAGCCAACUACUUAAAACUCAAGAGUUAAGAAGAAGGCCAUUCAUGGCCCUUUGGCUUUUACUACUACUUUUUUCUUUUUUUAAUUUUUCCAUUCUUCAUGUAGAAAUGUUAAAUUCCCCCUCUCUAUCGAUGCUCGUGGUAGGAAAAUUUCCUAUACUACCUUUUUUCUUUUCCUCUUCUCAAUUUAUUUGUGAGUUAAACACAGUAUGCGAAAAGUGGGAUUCCCUGAUGUUAGUGUGGCGUCUAUUGAUACUUAUAACCACCAAUUUAUAGUGUGGAGAGAGGAUGUCUGAUACUAAAAAUUCUCUCUUUCUCUGUUCUUCAAUUAAUAAUAAAAUCUAUAAUAUAUAACAUAUAAUUAAUUAAUUUUGGUUGGAUUGGACUUAAUCCAAUUUUUCACUAAAAAAAAACUAGAACUUUGAAUUCAAUCCAACCCACGCUUUAACUUAAUUUGAUCCGACUCUUAUAAUAUGAGUUGGAUAGCAUGUGUUGUCAGGUUAUUUGGAUAAUUCUUACACUGAUUCACCUAAUUAUUGCAUUUGUUAGAGUUUUCGAAUUCCUUUAAAAAGCCAUAUUACAAAAAAGAACUUUUCUAAAAAGUAAUGUAAAUUUUGAAACAUGUCAAAAAUAGGAUAUACAAAACUAAAAUAGGUGAAGUCGUGCACCCGAUCCAUAACUUCAAUGUAGUGGAUCCCACAUCUUCUAUUUUUUAACUUUAUUUAUAUACAUAUUCAUAUAUAUAUAUAUUACAUUACAUUGGGUUCCACAAUUUUUUAUGUUCUCAUUAUCUAUAUACAUUAUACGUGGGUUUCACAUGUUCUAUUUUUUCUCAUUAUUUAUAUAUACAUAUCCAUAUAUAUAUUAUAUAUAUUAAACAUUCAAAUUCUAAAAAUAUAUUUCUUUAUUAAAUUAAUUUAUAUAUAUAUAUAUAUAUAUAUAUAUAUAUAUAUAUAUAUAUAUAUUUAAAUAUCUCAAUUUUUAAUCUUCAAUUUUUUAAUUUAAUUUAAUUAUUUUUUAAUCAAAAUUAUACCUACAUAUUUUUUCAAUUUUCAAUUUUGUUUAAAAACCAAUAUAUUAAGAAAAGAUGUUAUUAAAAAAUAUAUUAAACAAAUGAAAAUAGUAAUAAUAAUAAUCAAUAGAAGUUGAAGUUACUUAAAAAAAAAUAAUAAUAAUUGAAGCCAUCAAUUGAUAAUUAAAUAAAAAAAAUUAAUAUUUAUGAAAAAUGAAAAAAAAAAAGAAUUAAUUCGAUUACAAAUUAAAUUUUAAAAACUUAACUAAAUCAACAUUUUCUUUUUUUUAUUUAUAUAUUAAAUAUCUCAUUUCUUAUUAAAUUCAUCUUUUCUAAUUUAAUUUAAUUAUUUCUCAACCAAAAUUAUACAUAAAAUUUUCUAAUUUUCUAUUUAAAAACACAUCUAAUAACAAAAAUAUAUUUUUAAAAUAUAUAUUAAACAAAUUAAAAAAAAAAAUUGAAAGAAGUUAACCUUACCCUAAAAAUAAUAAUAACAACAAUAAUUUGGAAUAGAAAGUUAUUAGUUAAGUUUUUGAAUUUUAAUUUGUAAUGGAACCCAUUCUUGUUAUUUUCUUCCAUUUUUCUUUAUUUAAUUCCACUUAACUUAAAUCAAAACAAUUUUCUUUAGAUAUUAUUUGACAACAAUUCCUUACUAAUCUAUCUCAAUCAAAUAACUAUCCAUCAUUCUCAAAUUGUAUUCAACAACAUUAAAAAUUGAUAUCAUAUUAAAAUUAGAUAACAAUUAGUAUUAUUGGCAAAUUAUCAUACACAUUUGGUAUUAUAAUUAGCAAUUAUAUAACAAUCCUAACAACAAUGACAUAAUGGUCAAAUUACGUAAUUACGUAUGCCAUUUUUUUUCUUUCAAUAUGAUUUGAUCUGUCAGUUUCUAUAUAUUCAUGGAAUCAUUUGUGUGUUUAAUUUGUUAAUAUGUUGCACAUAUAUAUUGAUGCUAAAUUCAAACAACAAAACAACAAAACACCAAAAUAUGAUCAUAUGAAAAAUUAUACGACAGAGAGUAAGUUAUAAACAGAAAAACCACCUCCAAGUUAAUUACAAUUACGUCAACAAAUGAUCCAUAUAUAAAUCAAUUACAUCCAACCCUAACUAUAUAGAAUGAGAGAAUAUCAACAACUAAUGGAAUGUUACGUGAAUGUGUUUGUAUUAUAUAUAUUGUAAUUAGAGAGACAAAAGUCUUCGGAUCAACAACCCACGAGUACUGCUUUAACUCUAAUUUGAAUGUGCUGUAUGUAUGUAUAUGAUAGUAAGUUUAAGUUUCUGUAUUAUAAUAUGUAUCUGAAUUAAAAUUAUUGUUAUUUCAUCAACUUUGUAAAAAGUAGAUAGCUAGGGUGUUAUAUUAACACCCCCCACAUUAAUUCUGUUGUGUCCACUCACUCCCUGCUUGUGAGGAAGACAGUAAAAGAACAUAUACUCAUCAUAACUUUACCCACUGAUCUUCUUUUUCUCUAGGUAUUAAAAAGGUGUGUGUUAAUUCAAGAAAAACUUAUCAUAUUUUUAUUAGGUAACACUUUGUUUCACUCAUUAUUCCAUUUAUAUGAUAACCAAUCUAUUGUAAACAUUGUGAGAUCCUCAUUUUAGUAUUGAUUUUAAUAAUUAAGUUGAAUUUACAUGUUUAUAUAAUCUAAUAUUAUACCUCUAUCAUCCAAGAAAAUCACGUAUACAUUUGAAUUUUUGAACGUAGGUAAUCUUUUGAAACAUGGAACUAAAUGAAAACUAAACCCUAUAUAAACUUUUAAAAAAACUCUUUUAAAUCAAAUCAAUAGACUUUAGCACUAAAAUCGAAAAAUCGGUGUUUUUUUAUGUAAAAAAACCAAAGUUACUUAUACACGUGUAAAUCUUGAUACAUACGAUAAAUUAAAUUUAAAACAAAAUUCAAAUCUCAAAAGUAAAAUUGUAACAUUUUGAAACGUAAAAGAAUAAACCGAAAUUAAACUCAUUAGUUAAAAGACUAAAAGUGUAACAUUUUCAAAUCUAAAAACUAAAACAAACCAAACUCAAAACAAAUGGUAUAUUUGGUUUGAUUCUCUCUCAAAAAGUUAAUAUUAUUGCUUGUCUCAAAGCUCAAAGGAAAUAUACAUACACACACAUUGAGAAUGGAAAUAUAUGAUAAGUAAAGUUAUAUAUUUUUGUUUAAUUAUCCCAAAAGUAAAAGCUGUAUAAUUUAGUAAAAGUGAUUUACAAAUAUAGAAGCUAAAAUAAUAUGUAGUAUAAUAAUAAUAAUCUUGAUCAUAUACUAAUUAAUAUUUAUGGAUACACACAAACAUUAUCAUUAUUUAUAAGCCAACCCCAAUAAUAAUUAAUUAACCCCACCCCCAUAUUAUAUUAUAUUAUAUUAUAUAUAUAUAUAUAUAUAUAUAUAUAUAUAAUUUAAAAAAGAAAAGGGAAAAAUAAAUUAUAAAAACCCACCGAAAGCUUCCUCCAAAACCCAAUCUCUCACUUUAGCAAAAGAAAUUUUUUGAAAUUUAAGAAGAAGGAAUUUAAUUUAGAGUAAUGAUGCAACGCCCUGAUCAUGAUCAUGAUCAACCACAAAGCUCUGAGCUUUACAGAUUGCUGGCACAGACCGGAGCCUUCACCCUCGGCGGUCCGGCCUUUCCUCCGCCGCCGGCUUCUACUCAAACCAUGUCCAGCUCUUCUUCUUAUUACCCUCUGGAUAAUAAUAAGUCUCCCCAAGGGGUGGCCGCGCCGACGCCUCACGAUAGAGCUUUGGCGGCUUUGAAGAAUCAUAAGGAGGCUGAGAAGCGGAGGAGGGAGAGAAUUAAUUCUCAUCUUGAUAAGCUUCGUACUCUUCUUCCUUGUAAUUCUAAGGUCAUCCUUUUCUCUUUUCCUUUUAAUUAUUUUACUCGUUAAUAAUUUCUCCAUCUCUUCUUUUCUUUCAUUUCUCCACACCCUAUUAUAAACCCAACAAACACUGACAAAUUGUUAGAACAACAGACCUCUUUAUAUAUUAUCAUUAACAUAGUUUGUCAUUCAUUAUAAACUCAGAAUCAUCCUAGCCUAUUUGAUCUGGGAUUUUGUUUUCCUCACAUAUGAACUUGGCUAUUUGUAUACACAGUCAAAGAAAACUGGAGUCCGAUAUUUAGACGAUGGUGAUGAGAUUCAACUCAUUUCUUCUUAACCCAGCUUUAUAAAAAAAAAAAAGGGAUACGAGCGUAUAUGUGUACAAGUAAAAGGAACAAGAAUGAAUUCUUUUUAAAGAAUCUUUGGUGAACUCCAACCCUAAGAUUUUCUGAACACUACAAACAGAUGUUUGUUUGUUUGUUGGUUGAGUUUAGACAAAUUUAGAGACAGUGUUUGUUUGUUUUCUUCAAAGCAAAAACUGCCAAAACUCUCUCUUCACUGCCAAAAAGUCAUAAAAUACAACCUCACUUUUUUGUUCUUUCUCUCUACUUACAAUCUUCUUACCCCUAUUAUUUUAGUGUGUAUUUAGGAAAGUUUGAAACCUUUAUUAUUUCCAACCCUUAUCUACACUCAUCCGGUGAAUUUAGUAUAUGCUCAAUGGAUCGAACUAAUAUAUAUAUAACUCAAAUUCAAGUUUCGCUCCUUACAUUUUUUUUUCCAACAUACACUUAUAAUUCACAUUUUUUCAAUUAGACGGACAAGGCAUCUCUUCUUGCAAAAGUUGUUGAGCGAGUGAAAGAGCUUAAAAACGAGACGUUGGAGAUCGCAGAGCUCGAAAGCUUCCCCUCGGAGACCGAUGAGAUCAGUGUGCUUUCUGGGGAGAAAUCGGAGGAUGGAAGGCUUCUGUUCAAGGCAUCGUUGUGUUGUGAGGACCGCUCUGACCUCAUCCCUGACCUUAAUGAUAUCCUUAAUUCUCUACACCUCAAAACCCUUAGGGCUGACAUUGUCACGGUUGGUGGUCGAAUUCGUAACGUCCUGCUUAUCGCCGCUAACGACCACCAUAGUGUCGAAUCUGUUCAUUUCCUUCAAAAUGCGUUGAAAUCUCUUAUUGAACGCUCAAAUUCUAGCCUUACAUCCAAGAGGAGGCGCCUUGUACUUCACCACAAAUGAUUAUUAUUCAUUCUCAAUAUCUUCCUUUUUUCAGACUAAUUCAUAUUCUUCUCCUUAUUUUCUUCAUCUCACUUUUAAUCCAAUUUUCAAUCACAUCAACAACCUAACUUAAUUAGAAUUUGUUUUAAUAGUUCGAUAAAACUUUCUCGAGUAGAUCUAUGGAUUUUAUCAAAACGAUGAACAUGAGUUAUUAGUUAUUACAAGGUUUUAUAUCAAAACCUUAUUCAAUUAAAUUCUAAUUUUUAAAAUUAUAUAGUUUAACCUAAAAUCAAAUAGAUCCUCCCAUGUAAAAAAAACGAGAAGUAAAAUUGAAAUUUUGAUAUCGAUAAUUACAAUCAUAUUGAUUUUUUCUGAUAUUAAAACUUUAUUAUUAUUAUUUUUUAAUUUAAGAAUUACAUGUAUAUCAGAAACUUGGAAAAAUGGGUUUUCAAUUAUAAAAAUAAAAAGUAUGAUUUAGAAAGAAAAGAAAAAGUUAAAAAGAGAAAUGAAAAUUAUGAUUGGGGUUUGGUUUUUUUUGUAAGUUUCCAAAGCCAAAGGCAUGAAGAGAAAAAAGGGAAUAUUUUUCCUUCAAGUUUAUAGUACUUUUAUGAGAGCUGCAGGGGCAGCCAGAACUCAACCUCCCUCCCAAUGAUGUUCGUAUUAAUGAUAGCAACGACUAUCGUCUUUCAUCUACAAAAUUUAAAAAAUACGUCUAAUCUUCACGUGAUAUCAUAUAAUUUUAAAUAAACCAAUGAUCUAUAAAUUAAAUGGUAAAAACGGAACGUUAAUGUCAAAGUCAAUAAUGAUGUAAUUUUCUUAAUUAAGUUAGGAUUAAAUCUAAUUUGAUCCCAUGGUAAUUAGGAGAUGCUUUUGUUUACUUUAUUUUCUAGUUCAAAUUCAUCUAUAGUGUACUAUAUAACCCUACUUUCAUAAAUGAAUGGUAUUUAUUUUUUCUUAAAAAGUUUGGGGAUUGAUUAAUACUUAUAAAGAUAAAUUUACAAGGCAAAAUAUAACAGAUGAAAAGAAAAGUAUUACUAUAAAUUAGGUUGGUGAGUCAACCAAGCUAAUUUGAAGAAAAAAAGAAGAAGAAUUUAGAAAGAAAAGUUAUAAUGAAUGUGAGCAAAUAGUGAUAUGAAAUUAUCCAAUUGUGACUUCAACUUCAUGGAAAAAUGUGACCACAAAGCACAAAGGAAAUGUGGAAACAAAAGGAAGAAAAGACCACAACCGAAAGGUAAUGAGCAUUUUGGCAUUGAUAGUGAUUUUAUUGUUAUUAAUGAAAAAUGUUAUUUUAUUGUUUACAUUUACAACACUUUAUUAUUUAUUUAACUUUUUAUAAGAAUAAUAAUAUAAUCAAUAUAUAAAAAAGAAAAACCCAUUGGACUGCCAAAAAAAAAAAAAAAAAGAAGAAGAGAAAAGUGGUCAAAGUGUAAUCAUAGCUAAAAGGCACAUUUUAUUUUGCAAAGAGAAAAGAAAUAUCAUAAUUAAUUAUGAUGGUACACACAUAUGUGAAUGAACAUGAAUUGAAGAACAUGUUUCUUUUUCUAAUUAGGAAAUUUUAAUCACAAACUUUUUCUAAUUUUAAGUUUAUUAUCCUUCAUUAGUCAUAAAAUUUAAAUUUAUAUUUAAGAAAUCAAUUGAUUUUCUUUUAUUUUAAAUGAAUUUGUCAAAAAUAUUUAGAUAGAUAGAGUGUUUGAGGUCAAAGAAAUAAUUAAUUAUAGUUGAAUUACGAUAAUUUAGGUACAAAAUAUAGAUUAUUUUGGUUUGAGUUAUAUUAACAUAUAUGUUUGAUAUAUGUAAACUAUUUUAAGAAAUGACAAAUACGAUAGCAAAUAAAAAAAUAAAGCUACAAGAAGUCUUUUAUAAUUUUUUUUAGAAACUUCUCACACCCAUGUAAUUAUUUAAAUGUACGGGACUUUUUAUAGUGUUUUUGUAAGACUAUAUUCGAUGCUACAAUAAAGUAUGAGAGUAUAGCUUAAUUCUUGUAGUAAGAAAAAAAAUAAAUACUAAACAUUUAAACAAAUAAUUAGUAAAUACGAUAUCAAAUGAAAGUUUGAAAUAAUGAUAUGAUUGUAUCUAAUUUUGUGAGUGUUGGGUGAUUCAAAUCCUCUAACCAAAGUUUAAUAUUUGUUGACUUUAAUUUUCUCUAUAGGAGUUUGAUCUAAUUAUCAUUGAUUGAAUUAAGCCAUGCAUAAUUAAGCUGCUUUAAUUAUGGUUUACACAUUUGGUGAUGCAUAAUUUCAUGCUUUAAUAAUAAUAAAAUAAAACAAAUUGAGAUUUGUAGAUUUGAAAUAUAUAACUUUCAUUUUUUUAUAUUAAUUGUUAAUAAACCGAUAUACUAGAUAUCGAGGAAUUAGUGGAUGUAGCCGAAUAUCUCAACUAGGUUAAUUAUUACCUUUUUAAUGUCUUUAUCACAUUACGUUACUUAUAAAAAGAAUUAAAUAGGAAUUAGAUUUAUGAUUAAUCUAAUAUUAUUAUUUUUUUUUUCUCAAAUUAAGGAAUGUGAAUGUAUCCCUUCCUAAAUUUUAAAUAAUAAAACGAGUAAUAUUUGGGUAUAGCUUAUGUAUGAUCUAUCUUUAUACGUCUCAAUUUAAUUAUUGCAAAAAAAAAUAGUUUUUUUUUCUCAUUUUCUUAAUCACUCCCCUUCAUUAUAAAAUAUGAUAUAUUAUCUCAUAUUUUUGUCCAUCAAUUCAACGAAAGGUUUAUUGCAUUAAACUACAUAAUUAUGGUUUGUUUCUACGACGUGAAAUUUUUUCGUAUUUAUAAAUAUUUUGGUUCUUUUCUUUCUAUUAAUUAGAAUGUUAUAUCAGGGUGUACAAGAAUUUUGUUCACGUCUAAACUUAAUUUUCGAGUUGCUAAAUAAGCCAAAUUAAGUGAAAUUAAAGCAACCCCUAAAUAUCUAUAUAUAUUUUUCGUUCAUAGCCUUAUGGUAAAAAAAAUGUGUCGAGAAAAUCAUGUUAGACAAUUCAAUGACUAAUUAUGAUAACAUAUUAUACGAAAAAUAGUUGAGUAUAUCUUGGGGUGCACUUAUUUUUGUGAAUUCAAUCUAAUCAUCUAAUCUCCUUCCUAUUAUACGAUUGAGUAUGGUGUACCUCAGUAUCCAACUUUUUACUCAUCUUUCUAUAUUAAAAGAAAAAGAAAGUCGAAUCAUAAUAUACAACAACUCAUUUGAAUUGAAGCAAAGUUAAUAGGUCAUUGUUGAAGCUAACUGCAACUCUACUCACUCAAGGCAGGUUUUGAUCAGUACACACUUACCUAAUAUUCUUCUACUGGUAGUUUAUAAUCAUACCAAUUUUGAAAGUCCACUUUUACUAUACAUACAUUCAUUAAACCUUCCAUUCUCCAAAAAAAAAUUAAUAUAAAGGAAACCUUUUAGAUCUCCUACUUUGAUAUCAUGUUAAAUUUUCGAUAAGAAAUAUAUCAAUAAUCCUAGCUACGUUCAACCUCAUAUAUUAUUUGUCCUUUACAUUUGUGUGUAUCAAUGAUCUAACACUUUAUUAGAGUAGAAGAUCCUAGAGGCUAUGUCUCUAUCAAACUCCUAUUUUCUUACAAAUUAUCAAACCAAUAAGUGAGAUAUAAUGUCAAAUUAUUUAUAUAUAAUUAAAUUUAACCAUAUAUCUUUGGAUAAUUAGUUAGUGACGAUUUAACAAAACUACUCUACCAAGACGUUGAAGUGCUCAAGUAGACACACCACACCAAUGUUUAGUAACAUGAUCUCUUAGUACAUAUAUAUCCUUAAUUCGACUUUACUAAACGGCCUAUGACCUCAUCUUUGGUCAUGCAUACGCGUGCGCAUCCGGUCGCCGGAUCAAUGCUAGACUAUAGAAUGACAUAUAUAUAUAUAUAUAUAUAUUAAGUAAAAACGGGGGAUACUAAUUAAGCCAGAGAGGGUUUAUAUAUAAAGAAGGAAAAAGUGUUUAUAGUUAGGGUUAUGUGAAGUAGUUGGAGAAUGUUAUUGUGGGGAUAGAGAGAAUGAAAACAGAGGGGGGAGAGCGUGCAAAAAGAAGAUGCUGAGAGGGAAGAAGGGGCAGCAAAAAUGAUGAUGAUGAUAGAUGUGGUUGGGCACAUACAUUGAUAACAUAUAUAUAUAUAUAUGAAUAUGAAAGCUAAGACAAUUACACGACAAACCACAACAUUACAAAAACAUAGAUCUAUGUGAGACAAAAUCACUUUUGGCGUGGAGGGCAUUUGUGGGGUAACCCUAAUCAACUUUUUUAUUUGGUGCUUACUGCCUCUUUCAACCACAUACACACACACACACCCUACACUUUUUUCCCUCUCUCUCCCUCUCUAAACUAACACAUGUGUUAUUAGGGUUUAUAAAUUAUAAGUUUCAAGUUCUGGUUUGUGCUGACUGCUGCUUGGUUUGUUUCGUUUUUUAAAAUUAUUAUGCUGCUAAACACACUUAGUUUAUCUUUCAAUUUCACUUACUUUAUCUUUCAAUUUUCUUGCUUUGCAUUGAUGUUUUAAAAAAUUACUAAGCUGAGAGAAAAGGAAAACUAAUUAAGAAAAGUUUAAUUUACUUUUAAUGACUUGUUUGGAUCAUUUUAAUUUUUUUGGUUAAUAACUCAACCAUUCUCUUAUUUUCUAAGUUAUGGUAAGAAUUUGAGAGGAUAUAGACUUAGUUUUUAACAGCAAACUAAACAUCUCAAAUACUUACUUUCCAACUGUUUUCGCAUCCUACUUUUUGGUUUUUAGAAAUUUAGAAUCUUUCUUACAAUGCUUUAAACAUUUUUUUAAAUUAAAAUUUUUAAAGAGUUGAAUAUUUUCUCAGUCAAAUUCGAAAAACAAAGAGUAAUAAAUUUAGCUAAUGUUUCAAACCAUUUGGUAAAAAAAAAAAAAAAGAAAGUAGAAAAUGGAAAAGCAAAAAAUUUAGAACAAUGAAAAUAGUGGUUAUUAUAUGCUUAACUUAAAAGCCAAAAUCUAAAUAAUAAUCAAACAUAACAUAAAUUUUAAAGUUUGUGUUCAUUCUAUUGGUGACUUUGAAAAUAAAAGUAUUUAAUUCAUAAUAAAUAUUUAAAGUUUUUUAAUCAUGGUUAUUUAUAAAUUAAAAGUUUAGUAACACUAUUUCCAUUACUUCUUCUUUUUUCCCUUUUGUUGAAAGUAUAUUCAAAAUGAAAGUCAAGUAAAUUUCAAGAAUAAAUAGAAACUUAACUCAACUAUCACAUGAACCAAAAAGGUAAUAAAUAGUUUAAAGAAAAGAAAAGAAAAGAAGAGACAAAUGCAUGGGUGAAUGGAAGGAGAUGUCGGGACAUAGUAAUUUGAUAUAUUGUGGGAAUAAAAACGUAUACAUAUUGUCUCCUUACUCUCUCUCUUUUUCACCUCAGCAUGCGGUCUCCCUCUCUCUUUUGUAAUCAUUGCUACCACACACACUAUUCCUUUUCUCUUUGGUGUUAUCACGCACGAGCGGAUCCAACGUUUUCCUUCUGCUCAAACAUGGGAGAGAGUGAUCAACAAUAUCAUCCUCUCUAGCUAUGUUAUUAUUAUAAGUGUUUCCUACACUCACACUACCUUUUUCAUUACCUUCUUCUUCUCCAUAUUUCAUAUGAUCACCUCACCUCAACACCUCUUUUUUGACUUACCUUCCUCCACCCUCCAAAUUAUAUAUGAAUAUACAAUCAUUUAAGGAAAAUAUAUAUAUGAUAAUCUUUAUAGUUUGUAGCUACCCAGGUGUUUUGGGGAUUUAAAAUGUUUUAUUUUUAGUCUUUUUGUGUUUUCACUUUGCUUUUAGUUUGGCACAUGCAUCUACGUUUUAGAAUAUAAUGCAUUUUAACUUGUGAUAUUAUCUGACAUUUUAAUUUGGUUUCCUAAUUAAGUUAACAAGGUUUACGUUUUUUUUACUCUCCUUCAACAGUUUUUCCCAUUUUAUUAUCACGUUUUUAUUCAUCUUUUAACUCACCAUGUUCUCUUCAAAUUCCACAGCUGGAACUGUUUUUUUAUGCUAAGUUUGCCAUGAGUAUUCGUAAAUAAAUUCAUAUUAUUUAGAGUGUCAAGUAGUUACACCCUCUAACUCAAAUACACUAAACCUCAUUUUUCUUCUUUGGAACAUAAUCUGUUACUGAUCUCUGUCGUAAAUAAUCCAUAGUGACAGAGAGUAUUCUUGAGAGCUAAAGAACAUGAACUUCUCCUUUUUAAUUCAGUAGGUUUGGACAAAGAGUAUUCCUGUUUUUGUAUUAUAAUAAUAAUGAGUGAUUAUUGAUUGUUUUCAUCAUUAGUUGCUUGUUGUUUGUAUGUACUUAUGGUUGAUUUAAUUAAGAGAUUCUGUAUACAUAUCUUGUUUUUAAAUUGAUCCAAUGGCUUGAUCUGAUCCUUGUUAAAGUUCAAUUUGUGUCUACAUUUGAUUCAAAGUUAUAAAUGGAUAGGAGUAUGAAACAAUUAUAAUAUCCAAUUGAAGUUGAUCACAAGAAUUUAGGAUCAGGAAAAAGUGAAAGAAUUAAGUGCAGAAAGGAAUGUAAUUAACGUUAUAUGUUUAUGUGUGGGGAAGUUAUGAUCAUUAUAUACUAAUCUUUAAGAGAAAACAAUGAUCUCUUACUCUUAGUAUUGUUGCAACAGUAUACAUAUAACAUUGGAUCUUUAACUAAGAUAGUCUAAAAUGAUAUACCAUAUUACAAGAUUGACCCAAAUUUUUUAAAAUUUCCAUAAAUGUCUUAAAUUGACUAAUAUUUUAUACAAGUGUAACGUCCAAAUGACUAACCCAUCUUUAUUAUUAAUAAUAUAUUAAAAAAAUAUAUGUAGAUGUAUUAUUAAAUAUAUGCAGUAGUAUAUAUGUAACAAAUCACAAAACAUAAAUUAUUCAGUAGCAUAUAUGUAAGAAAAAAAAUUAAUGGAUAUAUAAUCUAUGUAUAUAUUGGUAUAUAUAUGCAAUAAGAAAAAAUCACAAAACAUGAAAAAUAAUGUGUAUGUAUCAUUGAAUAUAUAGUAGUAUAUAUGUGACAAAUCACAAAACAUAAAUUUAUUAUUCAAUGGUAUAUCAUAGUAUAGAGUUUAGGGUAUAUCAUAGUAUAGGGACAUUCAAUAAAAAAUUAUACAUCGAACAUAACACGAAAAUGAACUGAAUAAUAAAAAAAUAAACCAAAUAGAAGAAACAUAACUCGAAUAUAUGCUAUGGAACAUAAGGACAAAUUUUUUAAGGAAAAAAAUGCUACAAAAUGAAGAAAAAAAGAAAAAUUUAAUUUUAAAAGUUCUGUAUAAUUAAUAAUAUAGAUAAGAUUAUAAUUGUGGAAAGGAAAUAAAUAUUAAUUUAGAUUGAUGUAUUUUGGUGGAAUCUUUGUAUAGCAUUUUGGAGGAAACUAGGCUAUUUGAUACUUGGGCUCAUUGCAUAUUAUUGGGCUAACAUACACACACCAAAUUUUGGAGGAGGAAGCCGUAUUUGAUGAUUGGGUCCUUUGCAUUCUAGGUCCAUUACUUCAUAGAGAUUUGUAGUGAUUAGCGGUAGAAUCUAAAUAAUUCGAACUACCCGAUUCUAAAUUAUAAGAGUUGGGUUGAGUUCGGUUAAAAUAUGGGUUGGAUUUAGUUAAAAUUUUGAUUUUUUCAGAUUGGGUUGGGUCUUGAAUUGGGGUUGAAUUGAGAAUGUCUUCCAAUCCAACCUAACCUAAUUUGAUUUCAUCCCUAGAUUAUAUGAUGUUAUGUUCUUUCUUUUCCGUUUGCUAUUAACAAUUUUUGGCUGAUUUAGAUGCUUUUUUUUUUUUUUUGCAAAGUAUUGUAAUAAAUGUUGAGGUGGGGAUUUGAACUCGGGACCUCUUGUCCACAUGAACAUAAAGGUGUCAGUUGAGCUAAACUCAUGUUGGCUUUAGAUGUCAUUUUCGAAUUUUUGAAUUGACAUCUUACUGGUAUGAUCAUGAUAGAUUAUAAACUAUCUGCGUUUAAUUUUUUUAAAAAAAUUUUUAUGAUCGAUUAUCUAUUUGUUCUAACUUGUAAAGUGAAAAUUUUGGGAUAUAAUUGGAUUAAGGCAACAAUUUGGUAGUCUUCUUUGGAGCUUCUCAACAGUAUUGAUACACUUAUGCAAAACAGCCCAUAAGAAAAACUUACAUUUAUUGGAAAUUUCAGACUUCCACACAAAUUUGAUGUUGCUAUCAUCUCUUUGAUCCAUAAUAUGGAUUACUUUUUUUAUGGAAGCAAUUGUGAACAGUCCAUCAUUAUUCAGCUUUCAUUUUGGCGUUUCACAACCUUGGGAUGAGUUUAGAGAAGGAAACAAGGUUUUCAGCUCAGAUAAUUGUUGUAUUCCGAUGCUCCUUAACGGCCUUCUAGGAUUGUAUAUCACAAUCACAAAACUAUUGGUUCCACAUCUCUUUUAUACUCCCAUUUCGAAGAUUUGAGAGGGAGAAAAGGCAAGUCUUGUAUAAGGAUAGCGAGGAUUUUUCGUUCCAUGAACCAUUCCAGAAGGAAAUUUUAUCUCCAUUUUGAGCUACCAAUUUACAUUUGUUGAGAACCAAUCAAUCCCUUUGAUAAUAGAUCUCCAUAGGGCCUUUAAACUGCUGAAUUUUUCUUUAGUAGGAAAGUCACUAAUAGAAUCUUUUGUGUAUUUUGGUAGAUAUCAAUUUUUUCCAAAGAGGUUGAUUUUCAGAGAUGAAACGCCAUAGCCGUUUGCUUAAUUAUGCAAAAUUUGUGUUAGUGAUUUUGUGAUGCCCAGGCCACCUUUGUCUUUUAGAGCCUUAACUUUAGCCCAUUUUAAGAGGUGAGAGUUGUUAUCCUCUUUGGGAUUUUUCCACAAGAAAUUGCUCCAAAGUUUCUCAAUACUUUUACAAACACCAAUGGAAGCCUUGAAUAUGAAUAACUUGUAGGUGGGAAGACUUUCGAGAGUUGCAUUGAUGAGGGUGAAUUUGUCACCUUUAGAAAUGUUAGAAUAUUUUCAGUUGCUAAGCUUUUUAUUAAUUUUUUCAGUGAUAUUAUUCGAGAAAUUUUUGGAAGUAGGCUUGCCUCCUAGAGGAACAACCAAGUAAUUUAUAGGCAUGUAUUAGACUUAAAUUCCCCAGUGGAUAACAACAGUUUCAACCCUGUUUGAAUCAACGUUGAUCUUUCUGCAAUCACCUUGACAAUAAGUUUAUAAAGAGUUAAUGUUAGACUAAUGGGUCUAUAGUCAUAUGCUUUUUCAUAUUUGUUCUUCUUAGCAAUGAGAGCAAUAUAUGUUUGAUUGACAGCUUUGUUGAUGAAGCCUUUGAUUUGGAAGUCUUUGAAAAUGUCCAAUAUAUCUUUCUUCAUGAAUUUCCAAACACUUUAAAAACAUUUCUUUUGAUGUUGUUGUAUAAUUGAAUCCUCAAUAGAGUUAAAAGAGAAUUGUUGUUGAACUUCCCAUUUAGACUUUAUAAUUGAUAAUAUAAUUAAUUUUUUUUAAAUCAUGCAUAAGAGUUUGGCAAAUUGGAAUAAAUAAGCAUCAGAGAAUUUUGCAAGUUGAAUGUGACUUAAGACCACAUUCAUAGAAUAUUCUUUUGAUGCCUAAAAAAUGGUGCUCAUGCAUAUGCUUAGGGUUUGACAAAAACUCUAUUUUUCUCUUUAAUUUAAUGCUAUGUUGAAUUUUGUAGGAAUCCAAAUGAUGCACGCUUUCAUUCAACUUUCUCUUUCGAAAACAUCCAAGAGUACUUUAAAAAUUUUCUAAUACUACGAUAACAUAGAAAUAGUUUGUGUCAAGUUACCAAUUUAAUUAAUUUUAGUACACAACAAUGAACUUCUUGUUCUAAUUAGUUUUUAUGUUCUUAUAAGUUGGACGUUCUUGGAAUUAUACAUUAUUCAUACAAACGUGGUAUUCAAUGAAAACAAAUUCUUAGUGUAAAAAAGUACCAUUACGAUACUCCAACAACAACAGUAUUAUAAUUAGGGUUUUGGAUGAGUAAAAUGGAGAAAGAAUUCCAAUUAGUUUCUCUUUCGACUUCUUUCUUUUCUUAUUUUCCUUGUGUGGCGUUAAAGUCUUCUUGUUUUAUUUUUUUAAUGUGCCGCCCCCAUACACACCAACCCCACUUGGAACUUUGAUCAAUGUUAUUUCUAUUAUCAUACCUUUGUUGAUUAGUUCUUGUUAUUUCUUAUCAUUUUUCAAUUCCACUUUCAAAAUAUUGCUACACAGAUAUACUAACCAAAUUUGCAAUAAGUUUAAGGAAGAAGGGUAUCUGUUCCUUCAUAUAAUUUUUGUAUUAUUCUGAAGCUCAAGUAAAUAGUUUUCCAACUUCAAUAAUGAAAUUACACGGAUUAAUUAAGCAAACCCAGAAACAAAAAACAAAAGUUAUUGAUACAAAAUGAAAAAUACAGAGUUGGGAUUAAUUAGAAAGUGGAGUUCUUGGGAUUAUUCCGGGAGAUGACAAUAGGUUCAACAGCAACAGCAGCCUUGUUAUUGGUACUGUGGAUUGCUCCUUUGGGUUUGGCGGUAAGAUCGUCGGGUUUGGGAGGAACGACGGAGACAACGAUGUUGUUGGGGACGUCGGAGGAUGAUGAUGGACGAGGGUAGAGGAAGUCAGUGGGGAAGAACUUGUAUUGAAGACCUGCCAUAUAAUAAUAUAUGAAAGAAGAAGAAGAAGAAGAAGAAGAAGAAACAAAGAGAGAGAAUUUGGUGUUUGAUGAUGAUAUAGAUGUGUGCUUAUAAUGGGGGGCUAUUUAUUUAUAGGAAUUGUGUGGAAAUUUCAAGAAAUUUCUGAUCUAUACAAUGUGAAUAUAUGAAAAUAAUUCUCUCUAAUUUAGAAUAUUGGUUUACUUUUAGAAAGCCAUAUUGAGGCAUCAAAUUGGUAGAUCAAGUUGGAGCAUUUGUUUACUUUUAACUGUGGGCUAUGGGCGGUUGAGUAUGACGUUGGUCAUCACUCCUAUUAAUACAUCUUCUCAAAUACACAUUACCUUAUUCAAUAUUUAUUUCUUUAUCUUUAUAUUAUAUAAUUAUUUCUAGGAAACAUGAAUGAAACUUCCUUUCUUAAAACAAUGUUUUAAAUCUUGAAAAACUCUUAUUUUAUAUUAAGUGAUUAAUUAAUAUGUGCAAUUGUUUUAAAUAUUGUUUUUUUCAUUUUCCUUACUUUAAUCACAUCAAUUCUAUAAAUACAAAUCAUUUUCGCCUUUUCAAUCUUGGGUUUAAUUAAAGAAUCAAAUAAAUAAAUUCAAAGGGACGUGUAUGCAAUUUUAAAUUGUACUUUAUUGAUUAAAAAAAUAAUAAUAAAAGAGGUACAUAUAAAUUAAAAAUAGGAAAUGUUUAUGAUGGAAUGAUAUUAAAGAAAAGAAAAUGACAAAAAGGAAAUAUAAUACUAUGAGUAGAAAAGGAUUGUAAUGUUGAGGGUAAAAUAGUCAUUAUGAAAAAAAAAUUAAAGUUUUUGGACUCUAUAGUAUUUUAAUUUUUCCUCCUACAUCUUGUAAUUGGGCUUUACCAUAUAAUUUGGCACCCCAUGCCCUUUGGACCAAUUACUCCUUUCUUGUUUGGCUAAACCAAAUUAAUUGUGUUAGGCCUCAAAAGGAAAAGAAAAUUGUCAUCUUAGGGCCAAAAUAGUCAUUAUACAAAAAAUUUAAGGUAAAGAAUUCUCCACUCAUACUCUCUUUUACAAUAGUUUAGAUAGAUAAAAUUUCGACAUGAUCUAUAUUAGAUAUGUUUAGUGAAUUAGAUCGUGUAAACAAGACGUUAAAAACAACAAUUUAGUUUUAUAAUGAAAUCAAUGAUAAAAGAAGAAAAAAAGGUACCAAUUUCCAUCAAACACUUGUAUGAGUGGAUUGCAAUCUUUGUGUUGAUCAUGAUGUGUGUCGUGAACUAGACUAUGAUAGAAAGGUUUUAGUUUCUACUUAAUGCAUUACAUAUGUGAGUGUUGAAGAGUUCAUACUAUACUUACGGAAUCCUAAGUUUCACUACUUCCUUAUACUUUAUAUAUUAAUUUUAGAGAAGUUAGCCUAUAAACCUACAAUAUAUAUAUUUAUAGACUAUAAAGGAGAGCUCAUGCAUGUAAAACGAGCCUAAGAAGAAAGUGAGAGAACUUCAAACUUCGGGGAAGUCUAUAUUGAAUUUGAAAAGCUUAAAGAGUAGGUGAUAUAUGUUGCACCAAACUAGGAUGACGUGUAGUUUACAAAUUUUUGUGCGCCUUGUCUAUUUUUCUAAUAGUAAGUUAUUCUAUUUACCCGUUAUCACGAUACAUGAUAUUGGGCUUGACGCCUUUUGUAUUAUUGAAUUAAAUUUUCACUUUAAAAACAAAAUAUUAUUAUGUAGUUGUAAACAAGUUAAUUAGUAGGUUAUGGAGAGAAUGAAUGGUUUUGAGGAGAUGAGAAUGGUAAAGUGAUGAAGGUGACAAAUGGGUUGGGUUUGAGUGGGUGAGAUGGGUGGCUAUAUGCUUUGGGAAAUAUUGCCAAAACUUAAGAAGAUGAAUGAUAAUAUAGAAGAGAACAAAAAGUGAUCACGAGAGGUCCAUAAAUUGUUAUAUUAUAUCAGAAACUCCCUGCUAAAUAUAAAACUACUUCUUAUAACUACUUUUGUUGGAAAAGGAAGAAUUGAAAAUAGUGUUAAACCCUAAUGGCAGCAUGUGACCUUUCUCUGUCCCUCACCUGAUCUCUUUUGAUUUCUUCUCUGUUAGUUUUUUUCUUUGGAUUGGGAAUUAGAAACACCAAAAACACACAUGUGAGUUCACAUGCAUUACUGGUGUGAGGUCAUUCUCUUCCAUCAUUUUCUCACAAAAUGGCCUUUUAUUUGAUCCAAAAUUGUAAAGUAUAUAUGAUGCUUUUAAGUUGUUCUCAUCGUCUCAGUUCUGACUGUUUAUCAAAACUUAAAAAUGUAUGUGUAAUUGAAUGGUCGUUUAGAAGCAACAAAAAUAACUAUUAUAUUAAAGGUUCUUUUUAGCUAAAUACGGUAUCAUAUGCUUCUAACGACUUAUCUUAACUCAAAUCUUAAUAUGAAACAUUACUUUUAAACAUCAGUAAUUUUAAUUUUUUUAAAAAUUGGUUGGUUUUGAGAAAGAAGGUAAUUAACUAUUGCAAAAUAAUUGAAGUUCAUACAAAUAAUUAAAGCUAUUUAUAUUUGAUGAGACAAACAAGGUUUUCAAAGACGAAUAAACAAACUAAAUUCCAAAAAUGAUUUGCAAAACAACUUAUUAUAUUUUACUAAUUAGUAAUCAACAAUAAUGAUUAAGUGAAAUAUAGGCUACACCUCAUCUCAUCCUUGAACAAAAAUAUUGUUCAAUGCAUGUUUAAAAAAAUUAAUUAAAAUGUCAUGUGCCAUUUUAUACCUUCCCUUUUAAUUCUAAACCACACAAUAUUUUUUUAUAGCCUUUCUUCAUCCAUACAUCCAAAUGUGUGUGUAUAUAUAUAACAAUAAUGUACACAUUCUCAAAUGAAUGAAUCAAUCAAUACAAUCUCUCUCUCUCUCUCUUUCUCCCUAUAUUUUCUCUCUCUCUCUCUCAAUUCUAUAUAUAAUUUAGUUUUGAAAUUAUGGGAAGGAAGCAAGUAAUAGAGAUACUGUUGUUUGUAGUAAUGUUGCUGAACUGUGUUCUCUUAGUACACAAUCUUGUAAUAACCCUUUCUCCUAACUCCAUUUUUAUUUUAUUUGAUUUCUUACUACCAAUAAUUAUAUAUUUAGGGGUUUUUCUUUCUUUUUUUGUACAUAUAUAUAUAUAUAUAUAUAUAUAUAUAUAUAUAUGAAUCCUGUUGGUUUGGUUCAUUGUGUUUUAUAGGCCAUUAGUGAGGCUCCAACACCACAGCCACAGACUAGUUCCAAUUAUUCCAAUCCCAUGGUAUUUUUCUACAUUGUAAUAUAUGGUGAAUCCAUCCAUUGAUUGUCUUUUGUAUAUACAAAAAGUUGGAAAUUAGUGUAUGUAACUUCCUUUUCCCAUUUUUUUCCAAAUUUCAGCAUGGAGUUACUGAAGGCAGCCUUCAACCUCAAGGUAAAAACUAAAAACUAAUAAUGAAAGGAUUUUUCAUGUGGUCAAUUAUUUUAAACUAAGCAUUUAUGCAGAAUGUGGGGCUAGAUGCACAGGGAGAUGUUCAAAGACAGCAUUCAAGAAGCCAUGCAUGUUCUUUUGUCAAAAGUGCUGUGCCAAAUGCUUGUGUGUUCCUUAUGGGACUUAUGGCAACAAACAAACUUGUCCUUGCUACAAUCAAUGGAAGACUAAGAGAGGAGGCCCCAAAUGCCCUUAAUUACUUUCAUUUCCCAACUCCCUACAAAAAAAAAAACCAUCAUUAAGUUACUUUCUAAUCUCAUUUUCUGAACGUCCCUAUUUUUUCGUUAUACUUCUAAAAAGUGAUGGUUUUGACCUUUCAUGGAGGGUGACUUCUUAAAAGUAUAUAUUAUAUGGAAGGGUUAUUGUUGUUGUCUACACCUUCAUCAUAUAUGAUACCGAACUCAACUAACACUAAUUCUAGUAAAAAUAGGAUAGAUUGAUUCCACCAUUUUGCGUGUAAGGAAUUUGAGAGAAUUAAAUUGAAUAUAAUGAGAGCAUAAAACCUUAAAUAGGAUAUGUUAAUUGUUCAGAAGUUCUAUUUUUAGAAGUUAGAAUAAUCCACUCCAAUUGUUGUUUAUGUGAUUAUGGAGAAAGCAAGAUUAAUUGUCCAACAUGCAAGCGUUUGGCCAAUUUGUUUUAAGAAAGAAAAACAAAUCAAACACCAGCUAUUAAUCAAAACUCAAAUCCUAAUUAAAUUAAAUUGUUCAAUUUAUAAGAAGCAAUAUUCUUUACAAAACAAACAAUUAUUGCGUUAUGAUUAGAGGAAAUUGUCAAGACGAUUAACAAGUAGAAGGCUAACUUAAUUAAUGCGUGAAAAUCUAAGCAUGUGGCAUUAAAGGUUUGGUUAAAUCCUAAGCAAUAAGCAUGCAUCAAUAAAUUGUGCUUGAGACAACUUACCAACUCUCAUCAAAUUGCACUUAAGCAAGCAUCGAUACUUAAUGUAAUCUACCAGUGGCAUAUCUAUUUUUCUCCUCGAACUAAUUCUUAUUGUGGUGAAAUUCCUUUCUUGACAUCUCAAGCAUGAAUACUUAAUGCAACCUACCAUUAGCAUAUCUAUUUUCUCCUUGAAUUAAUUCUUGUGAAAUUCCUCACUGACAUCUCACCAGAGCCAAGCUAGAGCCACAAUUAGAUUGAUACAUUUCCGCUUUGCUUACAAACUUUUGAGACUGCAUGCUGACACUCCGACUGGCAGCCCUUUUUGUCGAUGAGAUCAAUUUAUGGCUGCUGGAGGUGAUGCAUAUGUUUUUUGGUGUUGGCAUGUUGACGAACUCAUUUUCUACAUGAACUGGAAGAGGCCUUCAAUUAAGGGUUCCUUGAUGUUUUUUUCACUUAGAUCAAUUAAAGAUCAUUUUUUUCAAGGACCAUAUUGAACUUCGAGGAGAGAGAAAAAAACUGCUUCCGUGCCGAAAGUUAUGCUUAUAGAGCCUGCAAAUUAUAACUCACAACAAUCCAACAUUUUCACAUAAGACCACAAAACCUGGAUGGCGAUAGAAUGCCAAAUGUUUAAAAUCACAAACAGAAAAGAAAAUAAAAUGUUACUCGAGAAUUUGACAACACACACACAUGAACCCUUUCUCUCGACAUGUACGAAACUCAUACAUAAAAUAAUAUCAACUCAUGAACAGAUUUCCCUCAAAACGUGAUUUUCAAAUAACCAAUCAAACUAGUGAUUUAGAAACUUGAAUCACAUGAGGCAUAAUCAAGUGAACGAGACAUUUCCCCCGUUUGAUCUUCCAUCUCAUUGCAGAGUGGAAAGGAAUAUACAUGAAGCAGAAAUGCCAAACCCGUAUGUAGUUCCUUUCCCUAAUGGCGGAAGCAUAUAGUUCUGUCUAUCUACUAUUUGCAUUUAUGAGAAGAGAGAUUAUAGUCAUCCCUGUUUGGCAUUACAAACCUCUGUCCCGCAAAAGUAUUAGACAGUUGAGAUGUCAACUCGGCUUUUAUGAAGCUGAAAUGCUGGGGUGAUCCAGCUUCCACAACUACAUUGGAUGCCUGACCAAUUAAAGUAUCCAAGACGAGCUUCACAAUGAGCACAAGAUAGUUUCCCUUCCAAUGCACCUUCUUCAACUGGAUAAUAAAAGUAAAAUCAUUCAGCAUUGGAUUUUUUAUACAUGGAGAUUCUAUGGAAUGUUUUCUCAUGGCUUGAACAUCAAGUGCAUUUUUUAAUGGACUUUCUAAACGUUUAAAAACUUGUUUAUUAGUGAAAAAAUAAAAAGUGUUUAUAAACAUUUAGAAAGUCAAUUCAAACUCACCCUAAAUUUUCUAGACCUUAACAGCCUUUUUUCCACUAGGACAAAACAUUAGUCCAAGUAGUCUAUUGUGUGCUGCAAGGCUGUUAAUUUAAUCCAGCUUUUCAAUGACUGCGUCUAAAUUAUCAGAUAUUACAAGAUAUGGCAGAGGUUGCAGGAUUGAUUUACCUCCUGUCAUCCACCGAAGGGGCUCAACAAAAAUGGAUGAACACUCAGGUUCCUCUGACUUAUUAAAAGGGUUUCCACUUUUUCUCUUAUACCAGUCAAAGGACGUCUCACCUUCCCCAGGAAUGUGAUCCACCACAUUUUCCAGCAAGGCGACCAGUCUUCGACAUUUCUUGCAGCGGUAUGCACGUGCAUGGGAAAAAUCUACUUGUUGAGAUGACUGUACCUCUGAAGCAACUUCACGGGACAAGCCUGGAUCUGCUCCAAGUUUAGAAAUGUUGAUUUUUUCCCCACGAUUAUAGGACUCACCUGAAGAGGCAAUAAAUAAUAUAAAUGAAUAAGCAACAAGAAAAUUCACCUAUAAAACCUCGUAAAAAUAAAUUCACAAAGGAAAAAGAUAUCACCCACUAGAGGUCCCGAUGCAUGAGACCACACUAAAGGAGGUAGACGUCUCAAAGCAAAUGCCUAACACAGACGUGUGCUCAAACAUACAUAACAAUUAUUAUAUGAUUGGAAAAACCAUUAACAAAGUAACAUUUAGGUAAAAACAAUUGGGAACAACGGAGGUGACACUCUGUUAGGGGAUGCUUCAGUUUGAUCCUAGGGGUAAGGAUGAUCAUUUCUUAAGUCCUCAUCCUUCCAAGGACUUUUUCUUGUGGCUCAACACUUAGUUAAUCUUCCGGAAUCAGGAAUGACCUUGACGAGGCCAGGUCCAGGAAUAAGUACCAUGGUGGCUCAACACUUUUCAAACAUCUUUUGAUGAUGAUGCAUAAUUAUUUAGAGGCCCUUUGAUAUGUAUACGAUCAUUUCAUUUUUGUUUACAAAUCUUUUGACUUGUAAAUGAAGUUCAGGACACCAAAUAUGUAAAUUCUUUUGCUGGCAAAAAUCUUUUAUGCAUGGCUCCCUGUCUUCGCCAAAAAAGGUGUCCUUUGACUCAAGAAAGCUGUUGUGAUAUAGUGAGAUCAGUGGGUGGCAAUACCAGAGGCAAUGAUCUUGCUCUUUCAACUCCUUAAAUUCAGACUUCCAUCAUAUGUGCUGGACUCAAGAUAACUAAAACUCAGAAUUUAAGAUAACAUCCGAACCAAAUAAGUGUGUGUAUGCACGUAUGUAUACCUUGACUAAUCACAAACCAACUGUAGGACCAUACAACAUACAACUGUCAAGAAAUUCUAGGAUUUUAUCAAGUUUGUUACAAGAUAAAUAAAAGCAUAUAAUUGAAUGUUGGGGGGAGAGAGAAGAAAUAGGCCAAACAAAUAAUAUAGAAAAUCAAAAUUUUUAAGAAGAAAAAUAAAUGAAUUGUAUAACAGCAGUAUGCAUCCAAACAAUUGAACUAGAUUGAAACAAUUCACCAGGGGGCAGUGAAACAAGCAAUACAUACCCAAUACUUUCAGGCGAAAACGCUUGUAUAUAGGACUGGCAUAAUCAACCUUGAAACCCAUUUUCUCGAACAGUUUUAACUGGAAAGAAUAUAGACUAGUAAUUAGCAAACUAGAACGGCUUAAUUAAGGCAUUGAUUCUGCACAAGACCUUUCAGUAACUUAUGAAUUAACAAUAUUUCCAAGAGCACCUGCUCCAUAAAUCCAUCAUUGGGGCUGACAAAUUCAUUGCUUUGUCGUAAAGAAUCAAGCGCAUCUGCAUCAAUGGAUAGUCAUAAAAGAAAAACUAGCAAUUGAUUGGGACCAUAAGCAACUACGUAUACACUGGUUCAAGCAAAUGAUGGUUAUUCACACCUUCUAGAGAUAGCUGUUCGUUUCUCAUAAGAUAUGCUGUGAUGAUGGCAGCACUGCAACGAAUAAAUGAAAAUGAAUUAAAUAAAUAUUUGAUAUCAAGAAAAUUGGAAAGAUCAUCAUAUAGGACUGGAUUAAUCUAUGAUAGAGCAUGAAAUAUAUUUUAAUCAUUCCUAAAUUUUAACUUCAAAGAAUUUGGUACAUCGCUCUUGGAUGGGGAGAAUCUUGACUGCUGCUAAAGAAUAACUCUAGUAUCAUAGUACCAGGUCAUUAGAGAUAAUCAAGAAAAGACCACAGGAUGCUUCUGUCCACUGCCAAUAUUCUCAGGCAUGUUGGUCGAUGAAAUUCAACACAUUCAAAAAUCUUUGGUGCUCCCUUGGAGACAAUGAACUUCUGUAUCAAGUUCUUGCCUUUCUUCUCCUUAUGGGAAGUUUAGUUCUCUCUAGCUCAAUGUCUUUAGAGCCAUUCUCUACAAUUUGUGGUUGGCAAGGAAUAGGCACAUUUUCUUCAUGCUACUUCUGAAAGGCCCUCUAUAUUGAAGACAUACGAGAAAGGGUAGAGUGUGGAAUUUCAAGUAGUGAGAUGAGCCGGAGAGGUCAUCAGCUCUCUCACACUAAGUUGCGUGCUGGGCUAUUUUCUGUUAUCUUGAAGUUCAUACUGAAGAACUGAACUUGGGGAUCGCUCCAUUAUCUCCUCUGUGCUGGGUUGUUUCCUCCUCACAAUUUUUUUUAUAUCCGUGAGUGUUUGGGCCAGCUUAUGCACACCUCAACUAAUACCACAUGGCAACCCACCUGACCCUACAACAUUUGGGUGUCAAGGAAGCUCGUAGGAAAUGAAUUCUUAGGUUGGUGACCACCAUGGAUUAAACUCAUGACCUCUCAGUUAGUUAUUGAGACUAUGUCUCCUUUUUUACCACUAGGUCAGCUCAUGAUGGUUUGUUUUCACCUCACAAUACAAUCAAAUAGUAAGAAUAUGCUUAAAAUAGCAUGUGUUGACUUGCUCCUAGAAAUGCUCACAAAGUGGUAACUAGUACAUCCAAUUUUGGAGAGGUUAGGAAAAGUGGCUAAAAACAAAAAUUUGAAGAGAUGGUAGGAGAAAGUGGAAACAGAAAGAGAUUAAUGAGAUAAAAGAAGCUGAAGAAAGGCUUACUUGUGAUUUUCAAGAGAGCCAACACUCAGCGGUUAUAACCCUAUUACAAGUAUGCAUGAAACAGAACUCCUGUGAGACCCCUAUAUCAAAGAUAUAUGCAAGCAAGAGUAGUGAAGGGAAUUCUCCUACUGAUGGUUAGCAGCAGGAACAUGCUAAGAGCAUACAAAUGGACUGUAGUCUUAAUAGGGAAAGUUGGUUUUUGGGGUGUAGAAUUUAAGGUAGUCAAGUGGGUAGAUGAGGUUACCAACCCUCUAAAAAUAAGAUAGGUAGUUGCCUAUUUUCUGUUAUCUUGAACUUUGGAUCAAUUUAUUGAACUUGAAAAUUCUCUGUGUUUCCUCUGUUUUGUGUUGUUUUCUCCUUAUAUUUCAAUGAAACAGUAAGGGAAUCCUUACAACUUCCUUCAGAAUAGUUUUUGUUAAUCACUCUCUUCAAUCGUGACUUCCAGCAUAAUUUUGGGAUAUGCCCUCAUGUCAUCUGGUAUGAACCACAUAAUUUUACCAGAUGGAAAGAUAAUAACAAUAGGGUUGAUAACAUUUUGAGAGUAUCAUUUCCCUCCCACAAUUUCCUUUUCUUUUUAUGAGAAACACGACUUUCAUUGAGAAAGAAUGAAUCCCGCUUAAGAAGGGAUUCCAACUAUACAAAAUCAUGUUCAUAGGAUAAUUACAAAAGAUCUUCGUCGAAGCCCAACGGGAGACAUGAAAGCGAACAAGAGACCAUCAGCCUCCCACAAUUUUUUAUCCAAUGUUCGUGUAUCUCACUCAGUUCCUCCUUCCUCUAUUCUUUUUUUUAAUGAGAAACAGAAAUUUAUGUUCAAAAGGAGACAAAAGUACAGCCUAAGGCAACUAAGGUUCCCACUCCCUGCCAAAACUAACAAAAGAAAAGUCUGCCAAUUGUUAACUAACCCAAAGUUUGUAAUUACAAAAGAAUUUUGGGCAAUUUGUACAUCUCCAAGAGCCAAUGUCUUGCACCAAAAGCUAAAAAGAACCGAAGAGAGAACUUAUCUUUGAUCACCUGGUUGUUCCUUUCCUGCACCAAAGAAGAGAAUGUUUUGCACAACACCAAAGCACUCUUCCCAACCACCAAUGAAAUACCGUCAAGAACCUCCAAAAGCCAAUUAACAAUCUUUUUUGGAAGGCAAAAAGCAAUGCCAAACUCCUUAAAUAACGUAUUUGAGCUAUUAGCCACAAAAUGGCAGUGGAGAUGAAACAAGCGGUCAAGGUUUUCUUCCUCAUGUAAACACAAACAGCACAUAGAAGAAGACCUCACCCAAUUUUGAAGUUGCCUUUGGAGUUCACGUGGGUGUUCAAACUUCUAUAAGCCAAUGACCAAAGAGAAACUCAACCUUUUUUUGGGAUCUUGAAUUUCUGUUUACCAAAGGAUAGCACAGUGUCUUCUCCCAAUUGGUUAGCAUCAAAAAGGUGGAUUUAGCAACAUAUGAGGCGAGUGAGUCAAGCUUCCAUCUCAUUGUAUCGUGAUCAAUGCUCACAGCCCAACUAUUUAGAAACUCAACCAAAUUAACUAAAUUCCCUAAUUCCCUAUCAAAGAGAGGUCUUUUAAUCCCCAAGUCCUCAGUUUUCUGUCCACUGUCCCAACAAUUAGCAAUGGAAGACCCAUUCUUCGAGGUAUUUGAAUAAAAAUUUGGGUAUUUAUUCCACCCCACGUCAAUAACGUUCCCGCAUUCUUCUAUCGUUCCCCGAGACAAACUCCAGAAAGCUCAAAAUAGAUUUUUGUCCUUUGUGUUAUUUGACUAAAGCCGCUGUCUAUCUUUCUGAUUUUGUAAUUUUAUCAAUUUUUGUCCUCAAAAUUGUGGGAGGUGGCUGCACCAGAUGUCUUAAAAUGUUCCAUAUCUCACAUUCAGCUAGUUUUCAAAUAAUUCAUGUUCAAAAUUUGGGAUGCUUUAUUUGUUAUGCACAACCUUUUUUUAUAUGAUUGUAGUACCUACUUAUGAUCUUCAUAACACCCAUAUCCAGGUAGAACAAACAACUAAUAUUAACAGAAAAUUUAUCCAUAAUUAACGAUGAAAAAUCACAGUACCUUCAAAAUAACCUAGCAGAGAUACCAUAUCACAUAUCCAAAGCAAAAAAACGAGUGGUUAAAAUAAAAUGAAAUGAUAAGUUGCGUAUACCUUCUAGAUACUCCAGCGAAGCAAUGCACCAGAACAGAUCCCUCCUUUCUACCCCGCUCAAUAAAAUCAUAGCACACAUUCAAAUAAUCCAACAAAUCCUCGUUUUCCAUAUCUCUCAGCGGCACUGCCAUCCUCUCCACCUUCAAACCAUUUCCAGCAUAUUCCAGCGAGUACAAGAGCUUCUCAGGUGAUAAAGAACUCUUCGACCCAUCAACAUAGUCACUCUCAGAAGCUAAAUCACACCCAGUCCCACCCACAUACACCUUCUUAAUUUCCUUGCUGGGGAUUAUCAAUCCACUGCGCCAUUCGGAAAAAAACGAAAUCGACUCAGAACUAAGAACCGAAAGCAUGUGUGUGAUAUCUGAGGUACCAAGCUGUAGAACUUCUGCUGCAUCACCAAUAUUUCCAAUGAAAAGCCUCUCACGUACAAGGUGAGGCAUGACAAUA
rnacentral:lncRNA from 1 species